rnacentral:lncRNA from 1 species
UAGAGAUGGAUGUCUUACGUUCACUGAUUGUUCUUUUUAUCUGUUAGCAAUGUAGAGCGGUUAAGGGACUUCAUCAGGCAGGUGUAUGUAAAUAGAAGGUACACGAAUGAGAAGAACGAUGACAAACCUCCAAGAGGACCGAUGGUGAGAAGUAUUUCUUCUUUAAUUAAUUUCCUGUAGAUAAGCCUGGCUUGUCCAAAUAGAUUUGUUCAUUAAUAUAGCAUCAUUGCAGUCUGCUGUGUCAUGAUUCCUUGUAUUUUCAUAUUCUGCAGAGCGAUAGUGAGACACGAAGUUCUAGUGGGUCUCGCAGUCCACCAUACGAAGAUACGUAUGACCGUCGUUACAGCGACAGAUCAAGUCCUGGUGGGAGAAGUCCAGGGUUUGAGCCAGGCAACAAAAAAAGCCCUUCUCGUCCUGAGAUCUUGAAUGAUUGGCGUAGAGAGGAUAGAUUUGGGGGUAGAAAAAAACCAGAAGAGGAGUCCCAUUCACCUGAGCAAGUAAAAGAUAUGGGUUCAGCUAGCCCUCCUGUACUUCGACCCGUUAGGGAAAUUUUGGGUGACAGUGUUAUUCCUCUUCGGGUGAUAGAGCCUCCAAAACCCCAAGUUAACCGAAAUAACGAUGCUUCAGCACUUGCAAAGGUUUGGCUUUAUCGUUGAAGUCCAUAUAGAUACCAUCUAUAUCUCAGUAUAAGAUAACUUUAAUAUAUUCUGUUUGUCCAAUUUCAGCCAGCCGCAUCAUUGAGUAGUUUAACCUCCACAAAUGAGAAUCCACCAGAAGUUAAGCUGGAGACUGCUAUAAGCCUAAUUGAUUUUGAUGAUCCCGAACCUUCAGCUCCAUCUGUUGCAAUACAAGCACCGAUAUCGAUCACACCUCAUCCUGCUCCACCGCCAGCAAGUGCAACUAAUGAUAACUGGGCAUCUUUCGAUGCCGCGCCCAGUGUCCCUAGUAUAAAUGUAUCUCAGUCACCACCCAGUGGUGGAAACACAGUGGAUUCACUUCUCUCUCAGUUGACAGCUCCUUCUUCCGUGCCAGUUCAGACAUCUACACUAUCUGGCGGACCUGUUCAUCUUGGUCAUUCCACGUCACAAAUCUUUGCACCACCUCCAAAUGGACAUUUAAGUGAACAGGUGGGUAUUUCAUUGCAUGGUCUCUCAAAGAAUUGCAUAAAAUUCAGCUUAAAAACUGUUGUGUGUUUUAUGCGUCUUGGAUUUUUGUCACAGCCAUGGAACACGGGACUAGCAUCUAAUGUACAAAGAUCAAUGAGUGCACCGUCAUUGCAACCUCUUCAAGGAGUCCCUCCUGGUGGCCUGCAGACUAAUGAAGUUAAACCUUCCGGAAGAACAGAAUUACCUGCGGUAACAAUUUAUUUAAGCCAUUUGGUCUGUCUUGUUUCUAUAUCUUACCAUCUGUGGGUUUGUAGAUAACAUGCUAAACUGGGUGCAGGAUUUAUUCACUGUAACCUACCCAUCAUACAGUGCACCAGUGCCUGGGUGGCAAGCUGGUCCACCUCAUGCUGUGCACUAUGGCAUGCAGCAGUAUAAUAACACCAUGGUAACAAUUUUUCUGAUAAACUUCUGAAUCGCAUAAUGAAUUUGAGCAACAUUGACAUCGCAGCCUGAUAUUUCAUGCGACAGUCUUACCAGAAUGUUCCGCAUCCAGCCAAGUCAAUAAACCCUUUUGACUUCAGCUCUGAGCCGCCAUCACAGACACAAACAGUAUGUCUUCCAGCUCAUUUGACUUAAUCCAUAAUAGAACUUUUGUGUGAUAACAAGCAUGUCUUGGAAAUUAAUGGCAGUUGAGCAAAUGUUGAUUUGAGCACUUAAUAAAGUGCUUACAAAAACUUAGCUUAUGAGUUGAUUGGUUAAACCCGUUCCCUAUACUCAAUUUCGGCACUUCCAUCCGAGCAAGUUGUUUUAUCAAAGUAUUGAUCGAGUAAUCUAUUAGUGAUUACAUGUUAAAUGAUGUCAAAAAAAAACGGUACAGAAAACUAUGUUCCCUUCCAUGGCGUCUCUGCAAGGUGCAUUACCUCCUUCAGGCAUGAUGCCUUCUCAGGGAGUACACAAUCAUUUCAGUAUACCCUCUCAAGCCUCAAACCAUCUAUCUGCAAUGCCACCGAGUAAAUAUAAAACAUACCUAUUUUUCAUUUUUUCCCCAGUUUACUUAGUUAUCUCAUCAAUUGAAUGAUACGUUGACUCGUAUGAAAUGUUGAUGAAUUAUUGGCUCCCAAUUUUUCAGGGUACAUAUCUCCUCAAAUACCAGGAAGCAUGCCACCUAGGUAUGAUCCUUUUGAUUCAGUUAAUCCAUUAGUGUUUGCUUCCAUCAUACAUUCACUGCAUAUAGUUGGUCUUAGCGCGAAAACGUCUACUUCUUAUUUCAUCUUUCAAGAAUCGGAUCUAAAGAUCAUAACCGUUGGUUUUGCAGCAAUGUAAGCCCUGUUGGCAACAUGGGAGCUCCAUAUGAAACUCAACAAACAUAUAACAAUAUCGGAAGCCCAUUUGCUUCUGUAGUCCCUUCGAACCCACCUUCUUUCCCUUCAGGAGGAAACCCGUUUGGGUAAAGAAGAACGAGAGCAUUAGCUCGAGAUCUGUUGUACUUGAAGAUUGAUUGAGUUCUAAGGUGUACUAUGUAAGGUUAUCAAAUUGAAUCCAAAAACACGGGUUAAAGUGCGUGAACGGUGAAGGAAGGUACGAGUCAUGAACUUGGAAAAGAAUUGGGUUUGCGAGGUUGGGUGUUUAGAUAAAAUUUUUUCAUAUAAAGGUUUUGAAAUAGGUUUCAUUAUUAUUAUUCUUUGAUAUUCUAUAUUUCAGUUUCCCUUUUGAUGUUGUUUUAUUGUAAUAAAUUUGAGGGCGGUUCGGUGGUUCCUUUAGAAAAAUCUUGAGGAUUGUAUCCGUUGUGUUACGUUGUAAGAUGUUAUCAAAGGGUUUGUUUACACAUUUUGAACAUGAACCUUUGUCAAAAAAAUAUUGGCAGUUAAGGAUUUGAGUCAUUAUCAUUGAGUUUAGAAUUCGCUUUUAGCACCUAAUAAGGUUUAUUCACUCACUCUACCUUAUUUUUCAAUUUAAAGCGUGGAUCUACCACUUUUAUAACAUGGUACUAGGCAUUACUACUUUUGGGUACUUGUCCAUCAAAACAUAGCAUCUUAAACUUGUCCAUAAAUUUUUGUCUGCAAGAUAUAUGUACCAAAUGUACUAGUAUAGUUGUUGUAAUAGAUUGAAUCUUAGCAGUUAGCCCCAAAAAAAAAAAGACCAAUGUAGGCUUAAGACUUUGAUGGACAAUUUUUUGAUGAACUGAAACAUAUUAUGGACAAGUUUGUAUGGCUAAAUACCAAUGAAUACCUAUUUUUGGCACCACUUUGUGAAAGUAGCAGAAGCUUUUUUUUUUCUUUUUUAAAUGGUAGAAUGAGUAAAUUAUUCUUUUUUUUUUGGUAAACCCAGUAAAGUAUUUAAAUAUUUAAAAGAAUACCCUAGAAUAGAAAAUUAGUUUUUGUUCCAAACUUUGGUAGAAUUCCAAAAGUAGCACAAAUUAUUGUAUGGAAAUAAUCAUUUAUCCUAAAUGAAUUAUAAGAAAAUUAAAUUUUAUUUUAUAAUGUUUGGGUUCUCUUUUUCGAUUUUGGGGCUUUAAAUGUCUCCCAUUGAUUUUCAUUGAGCCCAAAGCAAAAAAAAAAAAAACAUAGGAUGACCCACGGUACCCAUUGGGUCUAAUUGCCAUAAUAGUAUUCUAGGCUUUUUAUGGUGUUAUUAUGGUUGAUAGGUUUGCAUUUUUGCAAUGGUUUUGGUCUGGGAUGGGUUGUUAGCCUUUAUUAACAUCUUUAGGAAAAGGAUGUUCCGUUGAAACAAAAAACAUAGGUCUGUGCUAUUUUAGAGAAUUGUUCAAUGUUAGAACUUUGUAUAUAGAUAGAGAUGUAUUUGUAAUAAUGUGUAGACGCUUCAUGAAUAGAGAGACUCCCUGAGGGUCUCAGUAAAUAACUAAAUUCUAAUCUAUAAUCUAUAUUUGUAUUCUAAACAAUAUAUGUACAAAAAGAUAUGAUUUCACACAGUUCCCCAAUCUGAAAACUCUAUUCUAUGUUCUCAGCCAGAUCCAAAUUUCUCAAGAACAAAAAGCUCUCAUGUUGUUUGUCUGCUCUUCAAUACCAUUGGAGCCACCAACAUCCAAACUGCAACAACAUUUAUAUAAACAUAUUCAAACAUUACAAACUGUCUCGAUUACUCCUAUAAAGAAAAGCCAGUAAAAUAGACUUUCUUAUUCUUUUUUACUUACUGUAAACGCAAACUGCGAUCCAUUCGUUUACUAUCCUAACCCAAGUACUUGUCCACCCAACAUCAAUAGUCCAUCUAAAACCAAAAAAAAAAAACAGAGACAAGCUUCUAAUUAUCGACUUAUUUUCGGUUAUGAAUAGUAUUGUGUUCAUCAAGAACUUACUUUUCCAUGGAAUGAUGAAUGUUCCAGCCAAUAAGUAGCAUUGCAAAAUACAUUGCUCCAGUGGCAAACACAAAAUGGAAGAAUCCAUAUCCAUAAGGAAUCGCGUCUUCCUCUUGAGUCUCAUCUUUUCUAAACUGUAAAAGCCCUUAGUGUUAGUCAAAUUUUGUGCUUUUUUUUUUGGAGAUUUAAAGAAAUUUUGAGCUCAUAAGAUAACAAAACCUGAAAACAUUGGGAAUCUACUCCUGUGGAGAAUGUCGCAAUCACCAUUGCAAGCAGUGCAACGACAAAGCUCUGCACAAUGUACAUAUACAUGGAAAACAUAUGUUUAGUACUUUCUUGACUGUCUCAAAUUCAGAAAGAUCCAGAAAAGACUCUUGCAAAGGUUUCUGAGAUUUUUCUUACUAUGAUGGUAAGCCAGUCCGUUCUGCUAGACGAUUCAGUUUUUCUGUUGCAAGUUUCUCCCACUGGCUCACUGCAAAACAAAACAAUUACUUAGUGAUCAUGUAAAGUGUGAUUACCCUCUAGUUUCUUAAUAUUUUAUCUCAUCGUUAUUGUAUUAAAGAUAUGAACAAAUGAAGCAUGCCUUCGAAUGGCGCACCAGCAGAUAAACACAACAUAAAGUCCCAUAAGUGCUGGAGUCAAGAAUCCAGCAUUCACCUGUUGAAUGCAAGCAGAAAGAAGCAAUAUUUUGUUUCAUACACAUAUGACAUAAAAAUACAACUUGAGAGAACCUUGAAACCGAAGGGACUCACUUUGGGGUGGAGAGAGAUACUUGUCAUGAGUUGGAUAAGGAACAAAGUCCAUGUGAUGAAAAAUAUGUUGAGAAGGCAUGAUGGAUCAGGCACAUACCAUAUGUACAUCAAAAUCACCCCUAAUAUGCAUACCGUAUACGCAGUAGUCGCUAGUAGCAUCACAUGGACAUGGCUGCAACAUAGAUGUUUCAUUAGAAAACACAAUCAUUUUGUAUUUAGGAACAGUCUCAUAUUGUCUCACCAUCUUUCUGCAUCUUUUUGAGAUUGGAAACAUUCAUUGAGCCAUGUAAUGAAACUGAUGAUACUAAUGAGCUGUAUCAAAAGAAAGACCCUAUAACAACAAGAAAAACAAGAUGAAGAUGAUAUCAAUAAGUUUCCAAGUUAAAACGAUCAUAGAGUUUCUAAGAUAGGAUUAAAACUGUACCCUGCACCAAAAUGGGCAAUCUCCCCUGAAAAGCAAAACAUAGCAAAGGAAAAAAAGGCAUUUUACGUACGCGUCAAUGCUAACUGAAUUUAAAUAGCGAAACAAACGAUUUAAAGUACGGUUAGCCUUAUAUACCGUAAAGCUCAAUAAUGGAAGAAGGCAACAAGAAAGGGAAGAUGGUUAAGCCAGGCCACAUGAGAAGCUUAGCAACCCACCAUCCUGAAUGCCACUUAUCUCUCGAUGAAUGUGUCUUUGAUGUACCAACGGUUGAAAGAAACAUAAUGAAAUAGAACAGCUAUUGAAAAAGUUAAGGCAAAAAUUUAUCUGAAGCAGACUUAAACAUGUGUAUUCAUGAAACAUAGAUUAUAAGACUGAUCGAAGAAAAGGAUACAAAACAUCCCAAGCUAACCCGUAAAACUCCUUCGGUUCCCAAACAGUUUCGGCCGUCUUUACAAUUCUUGAAUUCUGUAAAUAAAGGAUAAACACAAUCAUCAUUCAUCUGACAAAAUUAUUGGAAAGUUUCAGUACAAAUAAUUUUUAAAAAAAUCAUACUUCUCAUUUCUGUCAAGGCACCUCGGCCAUAAUCACGGACAGUCCAAGCCAGCAGAUUUGCCAAGAGGAACAUCAGACCGUACACAUAUCUAGCCAUCCAUGGAUUGUAGCCAUUACGGAACUGGCUAAACCACGAACCGUUCUUGAUUGUUUCAUAGCCUUUGUUGUCAAUGCUUGUACCGGUCUCCAUAUAGGUUCUAAAACUUAGCAGACUCUCUUUUUACGACAUUGGAAGAUCAAAGAUCCUUGGCAAAAGAUUCUUCUUAAUACCAUCAAUCCCGAAUCUCUCCGUCGUUGAGAAAUUAUCAGUUAAUUAAUUAUACUUAGUAUAAGGCUGGAUUAAACACAAGCAAGACACUCCAGGAGCGAGUAGUUAUCUUCCUUCAGGUAAAAAAAAAACCUAAAAACAAGCAAUGGAAGUUACAAUGCCUUUUUUGCUUUUUUUUUUUACCAGAAAAUCAGAAAUUGUUUCCCUUUAUUUAAUUUUCUCUUGAAGAAAAAGCAAACUUGAUUUUUAGAGAUUGACAGGUUCACUUUAUGCAAACCCGUGUUUAAUAGAAACAAAAAUUAGGAUAUAAUAUAACAAAAAAAAAGCAAAAAACCAGACGAAAUUUGAGAUGACUUUUGUUUGUAUUAUGAAAUAUAUGAUCAGUAAAAAUAAGAAUACUUCCUUUAUUUCUGAAGUAUCAUGGUUUAGACUUUUGUUUAGUUUCAUAAAGAUACAUGUUUUUAGUUUUUUUUUUUCGUAAUUAACCCACAUCAAGUGGAAAUUAACCAAAUGUACUUUUUUUGGAAAAAUGUUGAAUUUUAGUCAAAUGCACUUUUUAGGACAAUAGUAGUAUUAUACUGGAAUUAGGAAAAAUUUACAGCUUAUUUCUUAAUAUGUAUAUAAAAAAACAUUUAUAUACUUAUUUGUGUAGUGAUUUGUUUACGUGUUGUGUUCAUAGCGAUUUUCACAGUGAUUUUCCCAGUGUUUCGCGCUCCAAAAUGAGUUUCGGCUGCAAAAAAAAAUAUUUUUACCCUAUUUACCGAUUAUGUAUCAUUUUUUUAUUGGUUUUUAUCUGAUGAUGUGUUAAAUAUAACUUAAAAUAAAUCGUUUUAAAUUAUUAUGGUUUAAUAUUUUAUUUCGCUGUAAAAUCAAACUAUUUCUAAAAUUUUAUAAAAUAAAAUCUAAAAUUUUAUAAAAACUUAACAAAAAAAUUAAUAAAUCAAUAAAUAAAAUGUCUAAUAGAAUGAUGGUAUUUAUUAGUGUAUUUGACUUCAAAUAUUUUAGUAUAAAUAUGUACAUGAUUUAUUUCUAAUUCUUUUGCACCCUUUCUAAAUUGUUUAACUUUUCCUUCUUCUUCAAAAGAGUUUAUACAGUACUUCAAAAAACUACGUCUUAAAUACAUAGAACAAUAAUUAAAAGAUUUUAAACUAUUUAAACUAAAUUUUUUGGAUACUAAUAUGUUUUUAUCCACACUCUUUUAUAUUGCUUUCACGAUCAUGUCUUCAAACAUUAAAAUGUAAGGAAAUCUAAUAAACAAAUAUACUCAAUAAUAGAAAAAAACAAAUGAUUUCAAACUAUUAUUAAAUUUUUAAAUAAUAAAAUAAAAAAUUAUAUCAGCCACGCAAGACGUGGACAAGUUCACUAGUGGAUCUUUAAGAAAUAGGAGAAUAUCAAAUUUCUAUUAUAUAUUGAUGGUGAUGAAGCAGAAGUUAGAUAAAUCCCAUAGCUAUUGGUUUUGGUUGGGUGUUUAGUUUGAAAUCACAUAAAAAAAACAUAUUUGUAAGAAAAUUGAAAAGCCUAAAAUCUUAAUACUCUUAUUAGAAUAUGAAAUAUAUUACAAUUUAUAUUAUAAAUAAAAACAGAGUAAUGAAAUUAUAUGCUCAUCACAAACAUGCACUUCAGUACUUUGUUGCUCGGAUCAAUAAAAUUCAAUUACAGCUUCCUUGUUAAAAAAAGUUAAAUAAGAAAUGUAGAGAAAAAAGAUAACAAGGUUUAUUUUUAUAAAUGAAGCAUAGAACAGAAGAAUAUGUACCUGGAAAAUCUGGCAUAGGUUAUACUUAUAUUAAAAAAACUACAUGUCUAUAUAUAAUCACCCAUAAAUUAAGGUUUUAAUUAUGAUUAGUUACGUUAAUCUGUUGAUAAAUAACCGAAACCAAGGAGGAAAAAGAUAAUUAAAAAAAAAGAAAAGUGAAUAGUGAGUGCCUCCCUCUCUGCCACAAAUCUUUUGAAAAUUAAUCAACGUUUUAGGUAUUGCAGAAAAAUAUAGUUUUUGGAUUCCCAGAAAACGUAGGAAAAUAUUAAAGUCGAGUCCCCAUUUUUCAUUUUCUCGAGAAAUCUGGAAAUCGCGAGAUACAAAUAUAUAAUUUGAAAAAUCACUCUAUGAUUAACAAGCAAGUACAUGCAUGUCUAUAAAUCUGAGAGAUCCAAAAAGAAAUAAAGAGAUUGAAGAUAGAACCUGUUAUUUUUCGGGUGCAAAAAGCUCUUGAAUCUAUGAAGCGAUCGGAUCUGGAGAUAUGGAGAACGUUUAUCAAAAAUGAGAAACUCAAAAAAGAUUUGAGAGAAAUGUGAAAAAGGAAUUAAUGAUUUCAGGUUUCGUAUGAGUUUUUGAUCUUUUUGCCUUUGCUCUCUUUCAAAACACUUGUGAUCUUAUAUAUGUGUAUGCGUGCUUAGAAUAUAAAUUCUGAAACCCUUUAUUUUUCUUACAAUAUAGUUUAUGAUUCCUUCCUAAUUCGUGAGCAUAUUCAAUUAUGAGGAUCCUUUUUUAACAGUCUAUUCCUUUUGAUAAAAGUUCAAUUUUACUUUUGCAAUCUUAUUGUGUCGCCUAAUUCGUAUGAUUAGCUUUUGCUUUUCUGCCGUUAGUUUACUGUCUCUGACUCUCCGCUCGACGCCCACGCCCUCCAAAGUUUCAACUUUCAAGUAAAAUAACAAUGAGGCUAUCAACUUAUUUUAAGAGUUCUUACAGUCUAAUCCAAACAUAUAUAUUUUUAAUGGGUCUAUAAUCCGUCAAAAAUUUAUAAUGGAUUACCUAUAAUCACCGAUUUGUCGGAUCAACCAUUAAAGUCUAAAAUUUCUGACGGAUUGAUAUUUGUUGGAAAUUCCAAUUGAGUUAAGUCUACUUUUUUUUAUAGUGACAUCGUAAGUAUUUAAAGUUCUAAAUAAACUUUUACAAAUUAUCACUUCUUAACUCGAAGAUGUAGCUGCGUUUGAAACAAUUACUGUAUCAGUAGAACUGGAUAUUGGAGUGAUACAAGUAGUAGCGGAGCUAGCAAAAAAAAUUACAAGAUCAGUUUUAAUUUAUAAUGUAUUUUAAACAAAUUUUACGGGAGUCAUUAAUUUAAAUUUUCAAUAUUUCACAUAUUUUUUUUUCUAAAAGUACAAAUAUAUAUAUAUAUUUCACAUGAGUUGGAGCUUAGAAAAAACGGAAUUGGGCGAGUAGCUGAGCUGGACCAAUUAGGAUGCAAGGCGUGAAGAUAUACAGUAGAAACUCUAUAAAUUAAUAUUCGAUAAAUUAAUAAACUCGAUUCAUUAAUAAAUUUCUUUAGUCUCAAACUUAUGAUUUGGUUCAAUUAAUCUUUUUAUAAAUUAAUAACUCUCUAAAUUAAUAAAAUAUAAGAAUCCCAAUGAUAUUAAUUUAUAGAGUUUUUACUGUAGCUGAACCAGACGAGAAAUUCAGAGAGAAUCUAGAAAAAUGGAAGAUUUCCUUAAACUUGGAAGAAGUUCAAGGAAACAAGAGAGAUUUGGAAAUAUUUUCAAGUAGGAUUUUCGGCGUGUAGCCACAAGGUCUACCAGAUAUAAGUAGACCGUGUUGAAGCAUUGUAUGUGUUUAACACAACUACUAGAGAUCAUUUAGCAUAAGGGUGAGAGAUUCUUGCAAUGGAUAUUCAUCAAGGGUUAAAGGGUUCUUUAGGAUGGUUCAAAGAUCACGUAUAGAUCGAAGAACAGGCGAGAUCAAGGUGUCUUGAGUCUGUCUUAAAUAGUGUUAUGAAAACUUGUAUGGUUUGAUAACAUAUUUACUAGUAAUGCACUUUCAAGCAUAGAAAAUCCCUGUGUUACGUUGUGUUCUAGUUCCAAUACUUUAGCUCUUGCAUCUACAAUUGGUAUCAGAGCGGUCAUCUGUGUCUUUGGAACAUUGUGAGAUCUUGAGGAAGAAAUAGAGAGCUAUCAAGAACUUGUGAACAGUUCAAAGAUUAUUUUGAAUUCGGGGAACUAUGGUUUUUGGAAGACUAGGAUUCAGUCACUAAUCAGAGGGAUCAAUCUGCUGGCUUGGAAAGUUGUUCUAGUGAAGUGGAAAUACCAAAGAAGAAUGAUGUAGCAGGAGCUAACGUGCCCAAACCAGAGGAGGAAUGGACCGAGGAUGAGAGCAAGAAGUCUAAAUACAAUUCAAAGGCGUUGACGGCUAUCCGUUGCAGUGUGUCAGCUCAAACUUUUGAACUGAUACAAGGGUGCGAGACAGCCAAAGAAGCUUGGGAUGUGCUGCAGUUAUGAUUUAAAGGAACAACCAAGGUGCAGAACUUACUUCUGUGUGAAAGUAAGUAAUUUCUGGAGCAAGGCUAGUGGCAAUUACUUUAUACAUCUCAAAGCAUGCUUUCGCUAAAUCUUCUGCAAGCUUCAAGUUUUCUAGAUCCUCAAAUGACAAAAUAUUUUCUUUCAGGGCCUUCUCCUUUGUGAGUCCGUUGGUAGCACCAAGAGCAAGUGUACCAGGCAAGAAGCACACCUAGACAAAUAAAAUUAAAUGAAUCAAUCCUUAGGAAGAACAAACGCCAUGAGAUUUUAUGAAAUGGGGUUGAUUGGUUUUUUUCAGUACGAGGUAGUGAGUGAUGCUUACUAGAUGAUCCAUUUUCGGACUGAACUCUCCCUUAGACCCGUAAGGUAACUCUUCUACAAAGACCAUACCAUUUGGAAUUGAUUUUCGCUCAAGCAAAUGCCUGACUCCUUUCAUAGCCGAGAAAAGACAUGCUCGCUUCAUGAUUUGAGAAUUUGAAGAAGGAGGAACAUGAUAUUGGAACCCAAUAUUAAUAAGCAUUUGGACUUAUAAUAUUGAGUUUGUGUGUGAAUAAGAAAUGAAGUUUAAUAAGCAAAUGGGCCUUAUAAAUUCAUUUGAAAUUUGGGUUUGAGCCUAUGGAAACGAAAUGUUCCUAUUGUCUAUAACUAAAAGUGAAAGUUUAGUGGAAGUGUAUUUGUCCCACAUUGCUCACCAAGGAGAAAAAUCUCUUGUAUAUAUAUGGUCUACUCACAAUAAGGGUCAACAGCAUUGUGGAAGUAAAAGGGCAUUCUGCAAAAACACCUACGCGCGCCGCCGCCGUCGCCGAUGCCGGUGCCAGGCUCGUGCUCGUGCUCGUUGCUCAUUGCUCGUUGCUCGUUGCUCGUUACAUUUUUUAGUUGGCUCUUAGGACUCUUGGGCUCUUGGGCUCUAUAUAGCUGGGUGUGGGUCGUGGGCUUCUUAGUUCUUGCGAAAUAAUUUUUGCAUAUUGAAAGGAUAAAUCUUAGGAAAUAAAAGAGCCAAAUAAUAACGGAAGAUUUUCGAAUCCUUUUACUUGCGGGAAAAAGAGAAUAUCUCGUGAAUAUUCCUUUUCGCCAAAGCUUAUUCCUUGCGGAUCAAGCUGAACCUUCCAGUAUAAAUAGACGUCCUCUUCUCUCAUUCUAAAUUAUCGAAUUCUCGAACACACCAAACACACAGCAAAUAAUUAUUUCCAGCAAAUCCCUCUCGUCCUAAUAUCGUAAGUGUCUCGAGAGCUAUAGCGUAGUAUUAUUUCAGUUCGCAGAUUCUAUUAUGGGUGUUGCAUAAUAGUCUCAUCACGGUUGUAUCCUGGGAUUUAAAAGUCGCACCAUACGGUCACACAUUACCAGCAAUUUAUUGAGUUAAGGAAAGAGAUCAUAUCUCGACUCUGUGUUUUUCGUUUGUUUUCAAUCGGUUUUCCAACUCUUGUUUUAAUCUCUUACCUUAACAUAUCAUUUAUAAUAUUGCUAUUUUCUAUUCGUGAUUUCAAUCGGAUUUUCGCGGUCCUUACAAUCUUAACUCAAUAAAUCCGCUUCCUGCUUAUCGCUUCAAUCGGAUUGAAUAUUGCGAAACAGUUUUUAUAAACGGUUUUGAAAAAACGAGUUUUUAAAAUCGAUCUACAAAGUGUCUGCGAAAGUUUCUUAGCUAUUUCAUAGAACUUUUGAUCUGUUAAACAUGAAUCUUCUGAAACGGUUUAUGCGGCAGUCAUAAACAGGUCCGCAAAACGUUUUAGGGUUUAAGAACGUCUUCAAAAGACGAUUCUGGGAACACCUAUUUUCAAGUUCUAAGAAUACCUAUUGGUAAUAUCUGUGGAAGCUCAAAGGGAAUCCUUUUCGGAAAAUGCUGUUCAUAGCGACUUAAACGUUUUAAUCGCUGAUCUGAAUCCUGUUUCUCAAUACUAACUUGGGUUAUUUUCUGUGAACAGAUUCAAUUAUGACUAACGGUGAUGUCAACAUGACUACCAAUGGAAGCUCGGGUGAAGCUAGGAUGCCAGCGUCGGUAACCGCAUGACUUCAGCCCGACAAGUUCGAUGGUUCGAACUUCAAGCAGUGGCAAGAAAGGAUGCACUUCUUUCUGUAAUCAAUGCAGCUAAGCAAGUACCUCAAAGAGAAUCCCCCAACAGUGCCAGAAGGAAACAAAGAUGCUACGAUUCUGGCUACCGUUGAAGCGUGGAAGCACUCAGACUUCCUAUGCAAAGGGCACAUCAAGAAUCGCCUGGUGGACCAGCUGUUCGAUGUGUACAGUGAGGUCAAAACUUCCAAAGAACUCUGGGAUGCUUUGGAAAAGAAGUACAAGUUGUACAAUGUCGGCUCUGGGAAAUUCACUACAGCAAAAUUCCUCAAGUUUGAGAUGGUGGAUUCUCGUCCCAUCAUGCCACAAGUGCACGAGCUGGAACUAAUCUUUCAAGAGAUUAGGACUGAAGGAAUGAAGCUUUGUGAGACAUUCACGGUGAACUGCUUCAUUGAGAAGCUACCUCCAAGUUGGGCAGACUUCCAGAACUUUCUUGCUUACAAGCAAAAGGCCCUGUCUCUGGCAAAUCUGAUUUCUAGAUUGCAGAAUGAGUCACUAAAACGUGACAGAGUUAGAAAAGAAGACAGUCAGAUCAUUGAUGUGGACUUGAUGUGUGGUGUCGAGGGUUGUCAAGUUUUACCCUAAUAGAAAUCAAUAGCCGCAAGUGCACAGCUGAUCGAUUGUAGUACUUAGGGAUCGAAUCCACAGGGAAGGAGGAUCUUUUCCUGCAAAAAGCCUUUGAAAUAAGUUAAAGUAAGGAAGUCUAGAACAAAAACGGUUUUGUGGGGGUUUGGUAGUGUGUUUAAAAUGUAAAAAACGAAAUAUUAAAAGAGAAUACGGGAAUUAAAUGACGUAAUAACUAAACCUAAUGAAAAUGACUAAAAAUGAUAAAAACGGAUAUUCUAAUGCUUAAAUGAAAAUGAACUAAAAAGGAAAGACAAUAUUGAACCAAAGCUUUAAAGAAAAUCGGUGUAAAUCAAUGGGAAAGAAGGCGAUGGGGUUCAGGGAAGUUUUCUCAGGGGUACGAACGAUUCAAAACAUUGCUAGAGAGUAAAUUGGUAAGAUCUUAGCUUAAACUUUUCGAACUGGAGUCACGGACGUAUGAAUACGCCAUUGUCGUGAUCAUAGACAACUAUCUCUCUCAACCCUGACCAGUAGGUUUCCACUCUGGCCCUGGAAGAGAAGAGAUGCAUUAUGUUUAAGACUCGUCCUAAUUCACAAAUCGCCCAUAGGUAGGUUUCCACUUCUAUGUUUGUUUUGCUCUCCCAAACUAGAUCUGAUACCUGAUGAACACUUUCGUGUCACCAAGCAUCUGGAUUAGAUUGUAGUUCAUGACGCUACUCUCAUGCAGUAAAAACAAAUUCAGAAGAAAAAGUUCUAAGAUUCGGCUCAAAAGCUCAUGGAAUCCUCAUCGAACAUAUAAAUCCCUAUUGAAAAUCCCUUAAUCCCAACAAUAAAACUACUCAGACAUAAUGAACGAAAUCAAAGACAUAGUAUUAAGAAGUAGAAUAGAAACCAAAAUUGAAAAAGAAAGAACAAGGGUUCAAGAGAACAAAUCUCUCUCUCCCUAAAAGCUAAAGAAAAAACAAUAAGAAUAUGAAGUAAAUAUUUCGGUGGUGAUCGGUUCUUUUUAUUUAGGGUUCCUAAGACAUGUAUUUAUAGUGCUCAAGACCUCUCUGGACGUCACUUAGGGUUUCUCCAAAUGUGGGCUUCAGAAAUGGGCUUUUUGGGCUUGGAGUUGGCUUGCCGCGGUCGGGAGUGCUCUGACCGCGGAGAAUGAGUGGUUUGCCGCGGUCGGGAUGCUCUUGACCGCGGGAAAUUGCUUGUUGGCCGCGGGUGGAAGUGCUUGCCGGCUGGUUUACAGAACAUCUUGCUCUUCGCGUAUCUUUUGAUUGAACCGUUGGAUUGCCAAGCUGUAAAGUGCACUGGAAAGCUGAUACUUCCAUCUUUAAGGUCUCCAAAUUUGAGCUGGAUCAGACGGUGAGAACGCCUUCAAUCAGGGGUGAACUUUUGACGGUUUGACUCUGAGUUGAAAUCUGGUUUUCUAUCCAUUUUGUUAAGCUUUUCCCUAAGUUACCUGAAAAGAGUCUUGGAACUAUAAAUACUAGAAAACAUAAUAAAAGUACUUAAAAGCAAUUAAAAACAUAGAAAAAGUAUUUCAAAACGAUCCAUAAAAGCGGUCAAAAUACGGUGUUAUCAACUCCCCCAGACUUAAACCUUUGUUUGUCCUCAAAUAAAGCAGAAGCCUAAACUGGUUAAGUAAAAACAAAAAUAGGGAAUGCACAAAUCUCAUAGACAUGAACUCUAAAACUAGGACCAAAGAUAGUGCAUCAAUCCACAACUUAGUCUAGAAAAUUCUCACCAAAGCACAAGAGAUACUAGUCCACUUUUUCCGUCAUGCAAAACUUAAACAAUUUAAAUCUUGAUUUCAGUCAACUAGCUCUCUACAUUCAUUAAGCUCAAUAGUGAGUUCUCAUUAAAGACAUCAUCCAGGGUAGACGGUGUUUGACAUUAAAGGGCUGUUUAAGUGGUGGAGUUAAAGUGUUUUUGGGUUACCUGAAGAUAUGGAGGAUGCAAGAUAAUAUGCAAAACAGCAAGAGAGAUAAGGACCUGUUGAUGACCACAGUUUUCAGUCACUUCUUCUUGCCAAAUGUUGUUGCAUAAUCCUUCCUCUUUUGUUGUAAACAGCCAUUCCCCCAGACUUAGAUUCUUUCCGGGAAUCAGAAAACAAUAUCCAAAACUCCAUAAAAUCGAACUUCAGUUGCCUUGGGACUUAAAAUUCGACCUCUCUAGACUCUUUAAGGCUUUUAUUUCCUUUCUUUUGUUAUUUUAGGAUUUUUUUUUUUUUGGAAAAGAAAUGCCUUUUAAAGAGAGAGACUAGAGGACGAGAUUGUACCAAAAUUUGAGAUUUUUCUAAGGCAAACUGAGCUUCCUCUUGUGUUGAAUCCUUCCGGGAACUUUUCCGGCAAAUUGCAGGUCUCUGUCCUUGGUGACUGAAAACUGCGUCGUUCCUCUUUCUCUCCAACGUUUUUGCACUUAUCUGCAUAUAAGACAAUAGAAAACAAGAGUGCAUGUGGUUUGAAAGAGGAUUGGUUAAGGUGGGGAACUAGCUAAAGAUGAACUAGCCAUUCAGGAUCAACAGAGAGUGGUAAAAGGAUAAAGGAGUCCUGAAUGUAUGAUUCGUUUCCCUGGUCGUCUAAUGCUUCAAUGAGAAAAUUAAGUCCAAAUUAAGUCCAAAUAAAACAGAGCUAGUGUAUCCCUUCAUCUAAAUCGAAAUUAUUCAAAUUUCUCUGGGGUACUUCGUUUCAAAUGUGCUUAGCUACCGCCUAGUCUAGUCCUAAAUCAUGAAUGAGCAUGUCACUAGGAACAGUCUAAAGCACACAGUCAACUAUCAUUGAUUCAUGUUCACUAUUCCCUUUAAAACGUAUUUUGUUUUGAAAACCAGUUUUGAAAAACUUUAAGGAAAAUGCAAAAAGUGUAGAUAAUGCAAGACUCAUGAAAGAAAAGUGGUUAGAAAGGGAUGAAAUCCUCCCCCAGACUUAAAUCACACUGUCCUCAGUGUGAAACAAGUCGAGAUUGGAUGAGAAAAAUGCAUAGAUAAUCGAACUGGUAAGGACAAAGAGAACUUACCUGGAUCCGGGAUGCUGGUGGAGAUGAACCGGAUUCAUUCGACGAGGUUUAGGAAGGUGAUUAGGUGGUGAUGAAGGUGGUGGAAGGUGAUGAAUGAGGUGGAGGGUGAUUGGUGAGGUGAAAUGGGGUGAAAGGGGUGGUUUGGGUCGGGUUUGGAUGUCAACGACCUAGUGCCGCAGUCAGGGGCUGCACGACCGCGGUGAACCAUUGCUUGGCCGCGGCCAGGACUACGCGACCGCGGUCGAUCAUACGUUUCUCGCGGUCAGAACACCUGCGACCGCGGGGGCUUAUAUCGCGGCCUCUUCCUGCUUCUCCUUGGUUCCUGCUGGGCCGAGCAGUCAGGUACCAACCUUCUUUUUGGUUUUUUCUGGUUUUUUGAUUUUUUUGGCUUUUUUGUUUAUUUAAGAAACACCUGAAAACUAAGAAAAAGAAAAAAAUCAAAAAAAAAGAAAGAAAAAUUCUAAAGAAAACAAUACCUAAAUGGGUUGCCUCCCAUUAAGCGCUUUUGUUUUAAGUCGUUUAGCUCGACUUUUGGUGUUGGACGUGACUUAUUCGAAUGAAGAAGACCUUGUCCUGAGACAAGUAUUUUUCGACAUCUCCUUGCUUUGCUUAGCAGGUUCUUCGUCACUCCAAAGUUCUUCUUCAAACUCUUCUGUUGCAGAACGUUUUCCUGCUUUGCUGUUGUAUGGAACAGCUUCUGUGAAGACAUCUUUGUCGAUAUUAGCAAAUGAAAUCCUCCAGUUUGGCCAGUCCAUUAUAGCUCCGGAAGUUGCUAGAAAAGACCAUCCCAGAAUCACUGGAUAUGUUGCAUCUCUCGUCUCGACAAUGUAGAAGUCGACAGGCACAAUGCAAUCUCCUAUUCUCAAAGGUAUUUCAUGAGCUAUUCCUUGAGGUGUUGCAUUUGAAUCAUCAGCUAGGCUAAUCUUUGCCCUAGUCCUGCGCAGGUGUUUGAUACCAAGUCUCAAAGCAAUUGUCUUGGACAUCAUGUUAACACAAGCUCCAGAAUCACAUAGCACGUUUUUAAACAUUUCUCCUCUAAUAGAACAAGAGAAAAGAAACUGACCUACACCUUCUAUUUUGUGAAGUGUUCGAACAGGUUUACCUCUUCUGGCAUGAUUGAACAAGUUUUCUAUCUCAGGGAUUGAUUCUUUGCUCUCACAGAAGUAGUGGCCUAUCAUGAAGUCCUUGCAAGCUCUGGCAGACGUGAUUCCUUCAGGUAAAUUUCGAACCACAUCAUUGAAUUCGUCGAGCUUCUCCUUGCUGAUUUUGUUGGUGUAGUGGCUGCACUCUUCCGGUCUUUGGAGGUGGAUUGAAUAAACAGCAGCAUCAGGUGAUGUUCUGGAAAAGUCAGACGUCUGGCCCUCCCAAAGUAGGUUCGAAUAUCCUCCUUUGUCUCCUUGCAGUACCUAAAGAAAACUUGCAAACAACCAAGAUGCCAUAUAUCAUCGAAACCUGUGUAAAGAGGGAUCGAUUUCACAAACUUGUUGAAUUCAAUGAGCCUUUCUCUGGAUAUUGGUGCUCCUAAUUCCACCAUUUUGUCUGGAUUUCCUCCUUCUAUAAACAGACGAUAGUCUUCAUCCUCGAGGUAGUGCCCUUCAUAUUCAUCCUCAUAUGCUAAAACUAUGUUGCAAGGGAGUACCUCAUUUCCUUCUUGAGAUGUUUUGGAGCUGAUAGCAUACACCGUUUGUUCCUGAAGAGGGGUUUUGACCAUCCCAGCAGAUGUAUCAAAUGAGCAUUGACCUGUAGGAGUGGAAAAGGGCUGAAAGGCAUCUGAAGGAGUGCUGGCCGCGGGUAGAAGCUUCACGACCACGGGUGAAGAGGGCUUUGCCGCGGUCAGGAUGCUCACGACCACGGCUGGAAGCUUGUUGGCCGCGGUCACGUGAGUUCCGACCGCGGGAAUGAGGCUCCGAGUUGUUUCCUCAGUUUCGUCUGCUCCUUUGCCAUCUGAACUGAUUUCUACACCUUCUAACUCUGUCUUCUCCUCUUUUAGGCUAAGAUCUUCGAUGAGGAGCGUCGAACCAUUCGUUUCACGUCCUUGCAUAAGCUUUUCGACCUUCUCCUCGAUUUCAUCGAGGGUAUAGACUACUUUGCCCACGGUUGAGUCUAUCGCCUCUGCUUUCUCUUGAACCUUGUGUACUCGAUCCCAAAUCUCUUCCACGUAAGAAUAGGUUUGGUUGUUAUGGUAGUUAAUAGUCUCUUCUGCUUCACCAAGUUUGAUCUCUAAGGUGCGGAUGCUCCAACCGGCUUUGCGAAUGCGAACUUCGUGUGCUCCAACUCGUUCUUCGAUUGCUUCCAUCUUCCAGCACCUUCGUUUAGUUGGCUUUCGAUGGUCUUGACUUGAGCUGAAAGAUCUUCAAGCUUUCUGUUAAAGCGCAUUGACAAGUCGUCAAUUUUCUUGUCGAUUGUGGAUCUUGCUUGAACGUCGAGUAAGUGCGAGACCGCCAAUUCUAGUAGUUCCAAUCUGUGAAUGGGUAGGACGUUUUCAUUCUUGUGAGGCAAACGACGAGCAGGCUGUUCAGGGUUGGUCAUUUGAGGUGCAUAGCGCUCCUUCUGGAACGUUCUGUUGUCUUCGCUUUGAGUUUUUUCGUAGAGAUCGCGUAGAUGCUUCUCUCUACGUCUGGUGGCUUGAGGAGUGUUAUAGAAACCUUCCUCAUUUUGUAUAUUUCGAUUUAUAGGAUCAAUAUCUUCUGAAAUGGAAACAAAAUAACCGAAAAAUGGAAAAUUGCAGAAAAAGGGGUUCUAGAGUCGAUUUACUAACCUUUCUCGGGGUUUUGCAGAAAAGAAAACGCGUGCCUUCCCCGGCAACGGCGCCAAAAACUUGAUGGGUGUGUGACUUGAUGUGUGGUGUCGAGGGUUGUCAAGUUUUACCCUAAUUGAAAUCAAUAGCCGCAAGUGCACAGCUGAUCGAUUGUAGUACUUAGGGAUCGAAUCCACAGGGAAGGAGGAUCUUUUCCUGCAAAAAGCCUUUGAAAUAAGUUAAAGUAAGGAAGUCUAGAACAAAAACGGUUUUGUGGGGGUUUGGUAGUGUGUUUAAAAUGUAAAAAACGAAAUAUUAAAAGAGAAUACGGGAAUUAAAUGACGUAAUAACUAAACUUAAUGAAAAUGACUAAAAAUGAUAAAAACGGAUAUUCUAAUGCUUAAAUGAAAAUGAACUAAAAAGGAAAGACAAUAUUGAACCAAAGCUUUAAAGAAAAUCGGUGUAAAUCAAUGGGAAAGAAGGCGUUGGGGUUCAGGGAAGUUUUCUCAGGGGUACGAACGAUUCAAAACAUUGCUAGAAAGUAAAUUGGUAAGAUCUUAGCUUAAACUUUUCGAACUGGAGUCACGGACGUAUGAAUACGCCACUGUCGUGAUCAUAGACAACUAUCUCUCUCAACCCUGACCAGUAGGUUUCCACUCUGGCCCUGGAAGAAGAGAUGCAUUGUGUUUAAGACUCGUCAUAAUUCACAAAUCGCCCAUAGGUAGGUUUCCACUCCUAUGUUUGUUUUGCUCUCCCAAACUAGAUCUGAUACCUGAUGAACACUUUCGUGUCACCAAGCAUCUGGAUCAGAUUGUAGUUCAUGACGCUACUCUCAUGCAGUAAAAACGAAUUCAGAAGAAAAAGUUCUAAGAUUCGGCUCAAAAGCUCAUGGAAUCCUCAUCGAACAUAUAAAUCCCCAUUGAAAAUCCCUUAAUCCCAACAAUAAAACUACUCAGACAUAAUGAACGAAAUCAAAGACAUAGUAUGAAGAAGUAGAAUAGAAACCAAAAUUGAAAAAGAAAGAACAAGGGUUCAAGAGAACAAAUCUCUCUCUCCCUAAAAGCUAAAGAAAAAACAAUAAGAAUAUGAAGUAAAUAUUUUGUUGGUGAUCGGUUCUUUUUAUUUAGGGUUCCUAAGACAUGUAUUUAUAGUGCUCAAGACCUCUCUGGACGUCACUUAGGGUUUCUCCAAAUGUGGUCUUCAGAAAUGGGCUUUUUGGGCUCGGAGUUGGCUUGCCGCGGUCGGGAGUGCUCUGACCGCGGGGAAUGAGUGGUUUGCCGUGGUCGGGAUGCUCCUGACCGCGGGAAAAUUGCUUGUUGGCCGCGGGUGGAAGUGCUUGCCGGCUGGUUUACGGGACAUCUUGCUCUUCGCGUAUCUUUUGAUUGAACCGUUGGAUUGACAAGCUGUAAAGUGCACUGGAAAGCUGAUACUUCCAUCUUUAAGGUCUCCAAAUUUGAGCUGGAUCAGACGUUGAGAAGGCCUUCAAUCAGGGGUGAACUUCUGACGGUUUGAGUCUGAGCUGAAAUCUGGUUUUCUAUCCAUUUUGUUAAGCUUUUCCCUAAGUUAUCUGAAAAGAGUCUUGGAACUACAAAUACUAGAAAACCAUAAUAAAAGUACUUAAAAGCAAUUAAAAACAUAGAAAAAGUAUUUCAAAACGAUCCAUAAAAGCGGUCAAAAUAUGGUGUUAUCAAUCAUGACCCAUGAUGCAAACGUGGCUGAGUACAGGAAAAAGGGCAAAGACAAACCAUCCAACAAGGCUGCACAUAACAAGUUUCCUCCACGAAACAAUACUAGCUUUAAGAAGCAAGGUCAAGCACCCAUGAAGAACAAGUUCAAUGGGAAGUGCAACUACUGCAACAAGCUUGGACAUAAGUCUUCAGAGUGUCGCCGAAAGGCUAAGUCUGAGAACAACCAAUUUCACUUGACUGAAGCAGACCUGUGUGCAAUGGUUACAGAGGCUAACUUGGUGUAAGAGAACCCCAAGGCGUGGUGGUAUGACACAGGUGCUACCACACACAUCUGUAUUGACAGAGAGAUGUUCAAUACCUAUCAGAAGUGCAAGACUGAUGAUCAACUGAAGAUGGGAAACAUCUCCCAAUCCAAGAUUGAAGGUACUGGAAAAGUUGUGUUGAAGAUGACUUCAGGUAUGGAGGUUACUCUCAACAACGUGAAGCAUGUUCCAGACAUGAGGAAGAACCUGAUCUCUGGUACUCUAAUGAGCAAGCAUGGUUUUGCGACAACUUUGAGUCUGACCAGCUGAUACUUAUGAAGAAUGGUGUUUUCAUAGGAAAAGAUUAUGUUAAGUCAGGAUUGAUCAAAAUGUCUGUAAUGACAAUCCUGAAGAAAAACAAAAUUGUACCUGAUUCCAAAGAUUAAAUUAAUAAGAAUCCAGUUGCUUAUGUGGUUGAGUCUUCUAAUAUUUGGCAUGAAUGUUUAGGACAUGUUAAUUACAAGUCUAUUCAAAUACUGAUGAAUUUGAAUAUGAUUCCAAAAUGCAAAAUUAGCAAAGACAAAUGUGAAAUUUGUGUCCAAGCAAAGCUCACAAAAACACCAUCACCUCAUGUUGAAAGAACUACCGAACCUCUUGGAUUAAUCCACACUGAUCUGUGCGAUUUAAAAUAUCUACCAUCAAGAGGUGGUAAAAAGUAUUUUGUGACUUUCAUAGAUGAUUGUACAAGGUACUGCUACGUGUACUUGCUGCGUAGUAAAGAUGAAGUCUUGGACAAAUUCAAAGAGUACAAACUCGAAGUUGGAAAACAACUGGCAAAGACCAUCAAAAUGGUCAGAAGUGAUAGGGGUGGAGAAUAUGAUGGACCUUUCAAUGAGUUUUGACAGAUAAACGGAAUUAUCCAUCAAACUACAGCCCCAUAUUCACCUGAAUCCAAUGGAGUUGCGGAAAGAAAGAACCAAACUCUGAAGGAGAUGAUGAAUGCAAUGUUGCAGGAAUCUGGGACACCCCAGAAUCUGUGGGGAGGGAAGCACUGCUCACCACAAAUUAUAUCCUCAACAAAAUACCUCAUAAAGUAACUGGCAAAACACCGUAUGAACUUUGGAAAGGUAAUGUACCUUCGUACAAAUACCUGAAAGUGUGGGGGUGCUUAGCAAAAGUCGCAGUGCCACCUCCAAAGAAGGUCACAAUUGGAUCUAAGACUGUGGACUGUAUCUUUAUCGGAUAUGCUCACAAUAGUAGUGCUUAUCGAUUUCUGGUACAUAAGUCAGAUGUAUCAAAUGUCCAAGUGAAUACUAUCAUGGAAUCAAGGAAUGCUCCUUUAUUUGAACACAUAUUUCCAUAUAGGGAUAAGCAAACUACUAAACGCACUCGUGAAGAAAGAGAUGUGACUACUUCUGUAAAUGAGAUGGAAGUAGAACCGGUUGAAGAUGAACCUAGACGAAGCAAAAGAGCUCGUAAGGAAAAAUAUUUUGGUGAAGAAUUCAUGAUGAUCUUUCUUGUCGAGAAUGAACCGAGAUCUUACACAGAAGCCAUGUCUACACCAGAAGCUCCUUAUUGGAAGGAUGCUGUCAAUAGUGAGAUGAGUUCUAUAAUAGAGAAUCAUACCUUUGAGAUAACUGACUUACCUCAAGUGUUCAAAGCACUAGGGUGUAAAUGGAUCUUCAAGACCAAGCUGAAAGUUGAUGGUUCUAUAGAUAAGUACAAGGCACGCCUUGUGGUGCAAGGAUUCAGACAAAAAGAAGGUCUAGAUUUCUUUGACACCUAUUCUCCAGUUACGAGAAUAACUUCGAUCAGAAUAUUGAUUGGUGUAGUAGCUUUGCGAGGCUUGGAAAUCCAUCAGAUGGAUGUUAAAACUGCCUUUCUAAAUGGAGAUUUAGAAGAAGCGAUAUACAUGAAACAACCCAAAGGUUUCAAGGUUAAGGGUCAAGAACACAAAGUGUGUAGACUCGUGAAAUCAUUGUAUGGACUGAAACAAGCUCCAAAACAAUGGCACGAAAAGUAUGACAAUGUGAUGAUGUCAAAUGGUUUCAGCAUUAACGAAUGUGAUAAAUGCAUCUACUACAAAUGUACUCCAAAUGGAUACAUCUUACUAUGUCUGAUGUACUUGACCAAUUGUACAAGACCAGAUCUAGUGCAUGCGGUAAACGUGUUAAGUCGCUACACAAGUAAUCCAGGUCAUACUCAUUGGAAAGCAAUAACUAGAGUGUUGAACUAUUUGCGAUACACUAAGAGUUAUGGGCUGCACUUUGGUAAAGAACCAGCAGUGUUAAAAGGGUACAAUGAUGCCAAGUGGAUUUAAGAUUCUAGAAAUUCCAAAUCCACAAGUGGAUAUGUCUUUACACUCGCUGGAGCAGCAAUAUCCUGGAAAUCUUCCAAACAGACACUCCUGCCCCGAUCAACCAUGGAGUCAGAGUUUAUUGGUUUAGACAAAGCAGCAGAAGAAGCAGAGUGGCUUCAGAACUUCCUGGAAGAUAUCCCGAUGUAGGAAAAACCAGUGCCAGCAUUACGUGUACACUGCGAUACUCAGUCGGCUAUUUCUCGGGCACUGAAUAAUCUGUACAAUGGCAAGUUUUGUCACAUACAAAGACGACAUAAGACCAUUAGGCAUCUGAUCUCAAGUAGUGUACUCACGGUUGAUUACAUCAAGUCAGCGGAAAAUUUAGCGGAUCUGUUUACCAAAAGCUUACCGCGAGAUCAAAUCAUUAAAUCAUCUAAGGAAAUAUGCUUAUUGCCUAUCAUGAAAGAGGAUGUUUGAUGGAAACCCCACCUAUGCAAUUGGAGAUCUCAAGAGGUUGUUUCAAAGGGACAACUAAAUCAAGCAGAAUAUGAGAAAAGCACUGUAAAAUGCUCAAUUUCCAUGAUGAUAAACAAUGCUUCCUGUAAUUAUGUAAGGUUAAGCUUUAUGGCUUUUAUGAGAUAAGACUAUAGCCUUCAUAUACAUGUAUCUAGAGUAUAACAGGAUACUUUCUGUGUAUAUGACAAGUACUUGGCAAUCACCUAGUGAGUGUGAAAUGAGGCCGUUUCUAGGAGAACGAAGACAAGGCUAUACUCUCCAAGUUCACUCAUGAUAAACCAGGCACGUUCAAAACCACAAUGAACACAAUAGAGAACUGAAUGCUACGAGAAGAAGAAGCUGGGUUGUAUCUGUUAAUUUGGUUUACACCAAAAUCCGGGCGGUUCAAGACAUCAUGUUCACUUCCUAGAGAGUAAAUCCGACAGAUAUUAACAAUGAGUGGUUCAAGUUUGAAAAAACGCUACUUCCUCAGACACAGUUAGUUUUUUUGCUUAUACUCUCGAAAAGUCCGUCUGUCGAGUCUGUAGUCUAGUUUGAGUCUAGUCUGCAUAGUCUAUCGAGUCUUGAUAACACCAUAUUUUGACCACUUUUAUGGAUCAUAAUUGUAUCUUAUGCAGGUGUUUUAACUCUGUUUUCAAUGGUUUUUAAAGUGUUUUCAAUGUUUUAGAGUUUCAAAAGACUUUACAGGAAACUUGGACAAAAGAUAUGCAAUUUGGAACAAACGAGCAAUUUUGGAUAAAUGCAGACCGCCAGAAGUAUGACAAGCGAUGAAGACCUUCUCACCGUCUGAUCACCCCCCAAAAUUUGAGACAUCAUAGAGGAUCCAACGAGCGUUCUAAUGCACUUGUUUUGGAGACAAUCCAACGGUUAGAUCUUCAUAUACUCCCGAUGCAACAAUGACAUAAAAUGCAGUUCCGGAAGAGAGCCAUGUGCCGGGGCCGCGGCCAACACCUGUUUUCCCGCGGGUAGAGCCACUGCAACCGCGGAACUUGGUCGUUCACUUUCCAGACGACUUAAUUAAAGCCCAGAUCAAUUCCUUUCAUUAUUUUUGAAACCCUAAGUGUCCAAGACCACUCCAGAAGCUAUAAAUACCAUCUUUAGGUCAUUCUAAAGUGGGAGAGACGAAUAGAAACACAAACUUAGAGAGAGAGAGAUUUUGUGUGGAACCCUAGAGAGGAGGCCGUCGUCUUAAGGAGACGGAGCCGCCGCUGGAGAGCAUCAUCGUGCCUCCGUCGUCGCCUCUGUUCUUCGUUUUUCUUCCCUGUUCUCUUUAAUUUCCUGCAAUUUUCAAUACUAUGUGAUGAUUAUUUACAAUAUGUUUGAGUAGUUACCCAGUUGGGUUUAAAGGGAUUGUUCAAAGGGAAUUUCAUGUGUCUUUGCUUAUGAAUCGAUAGAUUUAGGAUUAUUAAUCUUCUAGAUGUUCUUUAUUUGCCUUUAAUCUUACUGCAUGAUUCUUUGCUGGCCACUUAGAAGCCGAUCUGACAUGAUAUGUUGUGAAAGCUUUCAUUGAUUGUCUGAACUAGGGUGAAACGAGCGAUUCUUCAAUAGGAGUGGAAACCUACCUGUAGUUGAGUUGUGAAUGUUGAUGAGUCUUGUUCUGCUAUUGCAUCUUCUCCCUUCCAGGAUCAGAGUGGAAACCUACUGAUCAGGGUUGCGAGAGAUAGUUGUUUAGUGCUGAGAAAGUAUGCUAUUCAUACUUCCGUGCCUCGAGUUCUAGAACAUACGUAGUUGAUUACCUUUAUCACUUGUUUAAAAUCAACAUAGCUUAGUCCAUGAACCCCUGCGAAUUCCCUUGAUGCCCAACGUUUGUCCUUAAUUGCUUACAACCUUCGAUUUAGUUUGCUUUUCAAUCGCUAUUUACUUGCUUACAUUCGCUUUGUCUAAUCGCUUUUUACUUGCUUUUAUUUGCUUUCGUUUUCAAUUGUUUUUACUUCCUUUGCUUUCUAGUUUAGAUUUAGUGACAACCAAAAACCCAAAACAAAAAGCCAAAUUGUUUAGUUCUAAUCUGAUUUAAGCAUUGUCGUGAAUUCGUACUGAAACAACUAAGUCUCUGUGGAUCGAUACCCUAAAUACUACAGCGCACAUUUGUGCACUUGCAGACCUUUAGGGGUUAUAAAUUUAAAACCUGAAGCUUAGUAAAAUGAAAACAACAACCCCGCUUUUGCUCGCGAUCAAGUUUUUGGUGCCGUUGUCGGGGACUUUGAUUUGUUUCGUUGCGAAUCCUAGCUUAAAUCCAUUAGAACACUUGUUUACUUUUACUUUUUCUUUUGAAAUUUUCAGGUUUCUCUGCAAUGAGAGACCGGGAACAUGUUCCCGGGACUCUUGGUGAUCAACCAUAUCGUGUGGAUGGUGAUCCAAGCGAUGAUGACCUGACUGAUGAGUUAGAAGAACCGAUUUAUGAUGACAAUGAGCUAAUCGGAUCGACAAAACAUGAAGAUGAUGAUGAACUGAUUGGAAGUUUCGAUUCACUCGAGAAAUUCUUAGGAGAUCGAAGAGCUAUUCAACCAGCCUUACCAGAGGAUUGCAAAACCAAAAUUAAGGUACCUUAUAUCCAUUUAGUUCAACAAAAUCAAUUCCAUGGUUACAAUUUCGAACACCCGAUUGACCAUAUCGAGACGUUCAAAGAAUUAUGUGCAACCAUUACAGCAAAUGGGGAUUACCACAAGUGUAGUCUUUUCCCAUUCUCUUUGAGAGACAAUGCCAGCAAAUGACUAAAAUCUUUGCCACCUGCUUCACUAAAGACGUGGGCAGCGUGUAAAACUGCUUUCCUAAAUCGUUUUUAUACUAGAAAUCGUUCAAAUCUCUUAAGAAACAAGAUAAGAACUUUUAAACAAAAAGAAGAUGAAUAUCUUUUAGAUGCUUGUGAAAGAUUUAGGGAACACCAAAGAAAUUGUCCACACCAUGGAUAUACCGAGGAAUACCUGAUGGGUAUCUUCUAUCGAGGUAUAACUCCAGUGUUACGACACUCUUUCGACACAGCAAGUAAUGGAGACUUCUCAACUAGAUCUGUAGAAGAUGCUCAUGUUUUCAUCAAAAAUUUCGCAAACAGCAUCCGAAAUCAAGCAACCUUUGGUAAUUCUGCACUUCCUGAGAAGAAAGAAGAGAUAUCGGAAGUUAUAAAGUGUCUCCAUCACAUAAUGAAUCAUCUUGGAUUGCAAUAACCAAACAAGGCACACAAUACGUGUAACUUUGAUGGUUGGGACAACCCAAUGGAUUCUUAUGAUCAAGAGAUGAUGAACAUUGCAGAAGUCUAUCAAAUUCAAGAUUUUUCAUUCGUUUCUGAUCACCGCGGGUCCAUUCAUCCGGACCGCGGCAAACCAAGCUUUCACCGCGGUCGUGAUGAUGCUGACCGCGAGAAACUGUCUUCCGAACUUGCCUGGAAAUCACCUUCCGAACCAAUGUUGGCUAUUCAAUCUAAUCCUGUUCCACAUCCUAGUUUUCCCUCUUCUGAAGCUGAAAACCUAAACAAAAAGAUUCUAGAGCUUGAAAAAUCUAGGUCUCAAGAGAUUAGUGAUCUUAGAUCUGAAAUAAAAACGACGCAAGUGGAUUUUAAUGAAAAAUUUUCCACCCUCCUUAGCCUGAUGAUCAAAACUAAUUCCAAAAACAUAGAUAAUUCUGAAGAGGAGCCAAGUGAAAAUUCUUUCGAAAGCUCAAGCGAAGCAGAUCCCUCCGAUUGUGUGAAAGCUAUCACACUUAAUUAGGAGUGGAUUAGCUUACAAAGAGCCUGAAUUUCCUAAAGAUCCCGAAUAUGAGGAAAAGGGUAAGGAAAAAGAGGAAGAAAGAGAAAGAAUCACGAUUGAAGAUGUUGAAAAAGAAGUGGUAGGAGAGAAGGAUGGAGAAGAUGUAAGAGAAAAUACGUCCCGGGAAACUCUUGGAGAAGACCAAAUUCCACCUCCACCAACUCGUGUCUAUAAACCUAAACCUCCAUAUCCUAGAGCCUUAAGAGCCCCAAAGAAAGAAAAAGAAAAAGCUAAGCUGAAGGAGCUAAUCGAUCAAUUAAAUGUGAGAUUACCUUUCGUAGAAGCUUGUGCUAUGAUUCCCGCUUUAAGAAAAUACAUGAAGGGUAUUCUAACAAAUUCUUUAACUCUUGAAAAAGGCGUUAUGAUGAUAACCCAUGAAUGUAGUUCUAUCCUGCAAAGCCGAAUCCCUGAAAAGAAAAACGAUCCUGGAAGCUUUGUACUUUCCUGCACCAUCAAUGAUGUAGCUUUUGAGCGUGCUCUCUGUGAUUUAGGAUCUAGCAUAAACAUGAUGCCUCUUUCAGUAGCAAAACGUUUAGGACAUCACACUUUCCAGCCCACUAAAAUUUCCUUAGUAUUAGCUCAUCGUUUCGUUAGACAACCCGUAGGUAUCUUAAUUGAUGUUCCCGUAGAAAUCAAAAAUGGUCUAUACCAACCGAUUUCGUAGUUCUAGAGCUAGAAAGAGAACCUAACGAUCCACUUAUUCUUGGAAGACCAUUCCUAUCUACAGCCGGAGCCAUAAUCAAUGUUCCUGAAGGAAAAAUCGACCUUCAUCUAGCCGGCCUAGUUAUGCAAUUUGACAUGAACAAAAGUUUAGAAAAAACCGACUUUGGAUGGCGAAAUUUGUUGGAUUGAUGAGUUAGACGGAAUCAUUGAGGAAGUCUAUGAAGAUCUGCUUCUAGAUGAUCCUUUAAGUGUCACGCUUUCACCCGCAAAAGACGAACGCAAUUUCCUUGAAGAAAUUUCGAGCGAAUGCGCGCAUAUGCUUGAUAAGUCCAAAACUUAUAGGAAACCUCUAAACUAUCUAGAUCUUAAGGACCAAACAAACAUUCGUACACCUCCUAAAGACACUUCUGCAGCAAUUAACGAUCCUUGGAGCGAGCUUAAAGCCCCUAAAGUCGAGCUUAAACCUCUUCCCGUCGGACUUAAGUACGCUUUCCUUGGACCAAAUUCUACUUAUCCUGUCAAAAUAAACUCUGGUUUGACGGAAGAAGAAACCACAAUGCUGUUGACUGAGCUGAGAAAGCAUAGAAAAACCUUAGGAUAUUCACUUGAUGACAUACCUGGAAUCUCUCCAGAUCUUUGUAUGCACAAGAUAAAUCUAUAGGAUAAUGCUAAAAACUCAAUCGAAAGUCAAAGGAGACUGAACCAUAAUCUCAUGGAUGUUGUCAAGAAGGAGAUUAUGAAGCUUUUAGAAGCUGGGAUAAUCUUUCCUAUCUCAGAUAGCACUUGGGUUAGCCCAGUUCAUGUUGUUCUGAAGAAAGGAGGAGUCACUGUCAUUAAAAAUGAUAAAGAUGAAAUGAUCGCUACAAGAACAGUAACUGGACAUCGUAUGUGCAUCGAUUACCGGAAACUGAAUGCAGCAACUAGGAAAGAUCAUUUUCCACUUCCCUUCAUAGAUCAAAUAUUAAAAAGGUUAGCUAACCACCCUUACUAUUGCUUCCUUGAUGGAUACUCCGGAUUUUUUUAAAUUCCUAUUCGCCCGGAUGAUCAAGAAAAAACGACAUUCACUUGUCCAUAUGGCACGUUCGCUUACCGACGUAUGCCUUUUGGAUUGUGUAAUGCACCUGCUACCUUCCAGCGGUGCAUGAUGUCGAUCUUUACAGACUUUAUUGAGGAUUUCAUGGAAGUGUUCAUGGACGAUUUCUCUGUCUAUGGAUCCUCUUUUGAAAAUUGCUUAGCCAACCUUGGUAAAGUUCUGCAAAGAUGUGAAGAUAAGCACUUAGUAUUAAAUUGGGAAAAAUGUCACUUCAUGGUACGAGACGGAAUCGUGCUUGGGCACAGGAUUUCUGGAAAAGGUAUUGAAGUUGACAAAGCCAAAAUCGAAGUCAUGACCAGCCUACAACCUCCCACAAACGUAAAAGACAUCCGUAGUUGCUUAGGACACGCAGGAUUCUAUAGGCGCUUCCUAAAAGAUUUUUCUCAAAUAGCUAGACCUCUUACGCCUUUGCUUUGCAAAGAAACGAACUUCGAGUUUGAUGAUUAGUGCUUAGCUGCGUUUCAUAAGAUCAAAGAAGCUCUUGUCUCCGCUCCUGUCGUGCAAGCACCUGAUUGGGAACUCCCAUUCGAAAUCAUGUGCGAUGCAAGUGACUAUGCAGUCGGAGCAGUGCUUGGCCAACGAAAAGAUAAGAAAUUGCACGUAAUCUACUACGCAAGCAGAACUCUAGACGAAACUCAAUGCAAUUAUGCUACAACAGAGAAAGAACUUCUACCUGUCGUAUUUACAUUUGAGAAAUUCUGUUCUUAUCUCGUAGGAUCUAAGGUCAUAGUUCAUACUGAUCAUGCUGCAAUCAAGUAUUUAAUGUCUAAGAAAGACGCUAAACCUCGGUUGAUAAGAUGGAUCCUCCUACUGAAAGAAUUCAAAAUUCGAGAUCGGAAAGGAGCAUAUAAUGGAGUUGCAGACCAUCUUUCACGAAUUCGAGUUGAAGAAAGAUUGCCCUUAGAUGACAGUUUGCCAGAAGAAAACAUCUAUGCUAUAGAUACAACCCCCACGAAUGCCAAUACCGCACCACCACAUCCACUCAUGCGAAGAUCAGAUGCUUUCAAGACCCCAUGGUUUAGGCACAUAGCGAAUUACCUAGCAGCUGAUGUAGAACCACCGCAAUUCUUUGGGUAUAGGAAGAAAAAGUUUCUGAAGGACGUAAUACAAUAUUUUUGGAUGAACCCUAUCUCUAUAAAAGAUGUGUUGAUGGGUUAUUUCGAAGAUGCGUGGCUGAAGAUGGAAGGAAUUUUAUCCGGAUGCCAUAGCUCGUCUUACGCAGGACACUUCGCAACUUUCAAAACUGCUUCAAAGAUCUUGCAAGCAGGUUUCUGAUGGCCUACUUUGUUCAAAGAUACUCAAGCUUACAUAUCGCGAUGCGAUAAAUGCCAAAGGAUGGGCAACAUAAGCAAAAGGAAUGAGAUGCCUCAAAACUUUAUUCUCGAAGUCGAAAUUUUUGAUGUCUGGGGAAUAGAUUUUAUGGGACCAUUUCCUACUUCUUUUGGAAACCAAUACAUCUUUGUAGCAGUAGACUACGUCUCUAAGUGGGUAGAAGCAGUUGCUAGCCCCACCAAUGAUGCGAAAGUCGUCAUGAAGCUGUUUAAAUCUGUGAUAUUCCCCCGUUUUGGAGGUCCUAGAAUUGUGAUAAGCGACGGAGGAUCGCAUUUCAUCAACAGAUUUUUUGAGAAUCUUCUUAGAAAGAAUGGAGUUACACAGAAAGUUGCUUCUCCAUACCAUCCCCAAACCAGCGGUCAAGUAGAGAUAUCAAAUAGAGAAAUCAAGUCAAUUUUGCAGAAAACAACUGCAGUUCAUCGCAAGGAUUGGUCUACCAAGCUUGACGACGCAUUAUGGGCAUAUCAAACAGCAUUCAAGAUGCCAUUAGGAACAACACCAUUCAACCUAGUUUACGGAAAAGCAUGUCACCUUCCAGUAGAACUCGAGUAUAAAGCGCAAUGGGCUAUCAAGGAGAUGAAUAUGAACUUGAAAACAGCUGGAGAAAGAAGACUACUUCAACUUCACGAGUUAGAAGAAAUCCGACACAAUGCCUACGAAAACUCGAAGAUCUACAAGGAGAAGACUAAAGCAUAUCAUGAUAAGAAGAUUAUUCAUAGAACCUUUGCUCCUAACGAUAAAAUGCUCCUUUUCAAUUCUCGUCUUAAGCUUUUUCCAGGAAAAUUACGUUCAAGAUGGUCAGGACCCUUCACGAUAAAGGAAGUCAAGCCAUACGAAGCCAUUGUCCUGUGGGACAGAACCGGAAACUCAUUUACAGUGAAUGGACAGCGUGUAAAGUCAUAUCUGGCUGAAGAAAGAGAAGACGAGAGAUAAGUGAUGUUUUUGAUUGAUCCAUCAUCGGCCAAUGAUGAGAUCAAGGAGUGUCACGACCCCGGUUAAGUCUGAUAGAGCAACAAUGUCAAGCUAAUGACUUGAAACAUGUGCUUAGUGGGAGGCAACCCACUUGGUAUUUUAUUUAUUUCCCUUUGACCUUUAUUUUAUAUUUCCAUUGCUUUGCUUCUGUUUCAUUUAAAUUCAGGUUUUCAAUAAGGAAGAACAAACACAAAAGACGAGCCGCACUCUCCAGCACGAUAAGUUAUUGUUUAGAAGGACGGUCACUGAGAUAUUGUUUAGUUCCUUCGAUUUUCAAAAUUUCUUUCCUGACUUAAAUUUGUUUGAGGACAAACAAAAAGUUAAGUCUGGGGGAGUUGAUAACACCAUAUUUUGACCACUUUUAUGGAUCAUAAUUGUAUCUUAUGCAGGUGUUUUAACUCUGUUUUCAAUGCUUUUUAAAGUGUUUUCAAUGUUUUAGAGUUUCAAAAGACUUUACAGGAAACUUGGGCAAAAGAUAUGCAAUUUGGAACAAAUGAGCAAUUUUGGAUAAAUGCAGACCGCCAUAAGUAUGACAAGCGAUGAAGACCUUCUCAUCGUCUGAUCACCCCCAAAAUUUGAGACAACAUAGAGGAUCCAACCAGCUUUUUAAUGCACUUUUUUUGGAGACAAUCCAACAGUUAUAUCUUCAUAUACUCCCGAUGCAAGAAUGACAUAAAAUGCAGUUCCGAAAGCGAGCCAUGUGCCGGGACCGCGGCCAACACCAAUUUUCUCGCGGGUAGAGCCACCGCGACCGUGGAACUUGGUUGUUCACUUUCCAGACGACUUAAUUAAAGCCCAGAUCAACUCCUUUCUUUAUUUUUGAAGCCCUAAGUGUCCAAGACAACUCCAGAAGCUAUAAAUACCCUCUUUAGGUCAUUCUAAAGUGGGAGAGACGAACAGAAACACAAACUUAGAGAGAGAGAUUUCGUGUGGAACCCUAGAGAGGAGGCCGCCGUCUUAAGGAGAAGGAGCUGCCGCUGGAGAGCAUCAUCGUGCCUCCGUCGUCGCCUCUGUUCUUCGUUUUUCUUCCCUGUUCUCUUUAAUUUUCUGCAAUUUUCAAUACUCUAUGAUGAUUAUUUACAAUAUGUUUGAGUAGUUACCCAUUUGGGUUUAAAGGGAUUGUUCAAAGGGAAUUUCAUGUGUCUUUGCUUAUGAAUCGAUAGAUUUAGGAUUAUUAAUCUUCUAGAUGUUCUUUGUUUGCCUUUAAUCUUAUGGCGUGAUUCUUUGCUGGCCACUUAGAAGCCGAUCUGACAUGAUAUGUUGCGAAAGCUUUCAUUGAUUGUCUGAACUAGGGUGAAACGAGCGAUUCUUCAAUAGGAGUGGAAACCUAUUUGUAGUUAAGUUGUUAGUGUUGAUGAGUCUUGUUCUGCUAUUGCAUCUUCUCCCUUCCAGGAUCAGAGUGGAAACCUACUGAUCAGGGUUGCGAGAGAUAGUUGUUUAGUGCUGCGAAAGUAGGCUAUUAUACUUCCGUGCCUCGAGUUCUAGAACAUACGUAGUUGAUUACCUAUAUCACUUGUUUAAAAUCGACAUAGCUUAGUCCAUGAACCCCUGCGAAUUCCCCUUGAUGCCCAACGUUUGUCCUUAAUUGCUUACAACCUUCGAUUUAGUUUGCUUUUCAAUCGCUAUUUACUUGCUUACAUUCGUUUUCAAUUGUUUUUACUUGCUUUGCUUUCUAGUUUAGAUUUAGUGACAACCAAAAACCCAAAACCAAAACCCAAAUUGUUUAGUUCUAAUCUGAUUUAAGCAUUGUCGUGAUUUCGUACUGAAACAACUAAGUCUCUGUGGAUCGAUACCCUAAGUACUACAGCGCACAUCUGUGCACUUGCAGACAUUUAGGGGUUAUAAAUUUAAAACCUGAAGCUUAGUAAAACGAAAACAACAACCUCGCUUUUGCUCGCGAUCAAGUCUGCAUAUGUAUAGAGUCAUUUCUAUUCAUGUGGGGAUAAUUGGAAUCCAAUAUUAAUAAGCAUUUGGACUUGUAAUAUUGAAUUUGUGUGUGAAUAAGAAAUGAAGUUUAAUAAGCAAAUGGGCCUUAUAAAUUCAUUUGAGAUUUGGGUUUCAGCCUAUGGAAAUGAAAUGUUCCUAUUGGCUAUAACUAAAAGUGGAAGUUUAGUGGAAGUGUAUUUGUCCCACAUUGCUCAUCAAGGAGAAAAAUAUCUUGUAUAUAUAUGGUCUUCUCACAAUAAGGGCCAACAACAUUGUGGAAGUAAAAGAGCAUUAUGCAAAAACACCUAUGCGCGCCGCCGCCGCCGUCGUCGCCGGUGCCAGUGCCGGUGUCGGGCUCGGGCUCGGGCUCGUGCUUGUUGCUCGUUGCAUUUUUUAGUUGGCUCUUAGGGCUCUAUAUAGCUGGGUGUGGGUCGUGGGCUUCUUAGUUCCUACGAAAUAAUUUUUGCAUAUUGAAAGGAUAAAUCUUAGGAAAUAAAAGAUUGCGUCCAGAUAAUAACAGAAGAUUUUCGAAUCCUUUUACUUGCGGGAAAAGGAGAAUAUCUCGUGAAUAUUCCUUUUCGCCAAAGCUUAUUCCUUGCGGAUCAAUCUAAACCUUCCAAUAUAAAUAGACGCCCUCUUCUCUCAUUCUAAAUUAUCGAAUUCUCGAACACACCAAACACACAGCAAUAAUUCUUUCCAGCAAUUAUCUCUCGUCCUAAUAUCGUAAGUGUCUCGAGAGCUAUAGCGUAGUAUUAUUUCAGUUCGAAGAUUCUAUUAUGGGUGUUGCAUAAUAGUCUCAUCACGGUUGUAUCCUGGGAUUCAAAAGUCGCACCAUACGGUCACACAUUACCGGCGAUUUAUUGAGUUAAGGAAAGAUAUCAUAUCUCGACUCCGUGUUUUUCGUCUGUUUUCAAUUGGUUUUCCAACUUUCGUUUUAAUCUCUUACCUUAACAUAUCUUUUAUAAUAUUGUUAUUUUAUAUUCGUGAUUUAAAUCGGAUUUCCGCGGUCCUUACACAUGAAACCAUUGCUGAUUUCAGUUUGAAGUUGAGUUCACUACCUCAGGAGGCUUCAACACUUGGAAAAACCUACAAGGACAAGAUACUGGUGAAGAAGUUUCUGAGAUGCUUACCAUCAAGAUUCAUGGGAUACAAAUUGGCUUUAAGUGUGUUCCAAAAUAUUGAAUCCCUCAGCUUUGGAGAAGUUGUGGGAAUGUUUCAGGCACAUGAGAUGGAACUCGCUAGUGCAAAAAAGCAUAAGAGUUUGGCACUAACAUCAGUUUGCGAGAAAAAGGCUUUGGAAGAUGAUGACAGUGAAGAUGCUUUGGGCUUACUCGUAAGAAAGCAUGAUCGAGCUCUGAGGAGACGUGAGACAUCCUAUGGAUAGAAGAAGACCACACCGCUCAAGCGAGAAGGAAAAAGGUGAAAAAAGAACUGAUGUGUAAUGCUACGAGUGCAAAGGAAUAUGUCACUUCAAACCUUAGUGUCCUACUAUCAAACGAAGGGAGAUUCGGUGCUUUGAAUUAAAAGGUUUUGGUCAUAUACAGCUGGAAUGUGUAAAUGAUCAGAAUCACAAGAAAGAAAAAUAUCUACUGGCGGAAGAAGACUUCGAUGAUGAAAGUGAAGAUGAGACCCUGGAAGAGGUGAACAACUUUGUCAUGUUUGUAGAAUUACAGAUUUUUAGGAAGGCAAAGUUGAAUCAGAGGCUGAGUCAAAUACUGGUGCAGAUAAUGAUCUGACAGAGAGCUACAAGGAAGUGCGUGAGACACUGAUCAAGAUGGGCAAGGAAAAAUCAGAAUUAAAGAAGGAAAAUCUUCAACUUGAGGUCAAGGUUGAGUCUUUACAAAGGGAAUUGGAGGCAGCUCAUAAACUGAGUCAAGGAAGUGUGUCCUUGAUAAAAAAAAAACUGAAUUUGGCAAAAAAGGUUGAGGAGCUAGAGGAAGACCUGAGGCGGGAAAAAGGAAUCUCUUACAAUUUAAUGGCUGAAAGCAUUGAACAACAAAAGAAGAUUCACAUGUUCGCUGGAACAAAACAGCUGGACAAAAUCUUAAGCUAUGAGGGACGAGCUGAUGUAAGAAGAGGCUUGGGAUACGAGAGUCGAACUAUGGUAGAGACAGGUGAAACCAAGUUUGUGUCUGGGGGGGAUCAUUCAGCCGUAGGAGACCAAGGAAGCAGUCACUUCAGUUAAGAAAGGAGUCACUCCAGUGAAGAAAGAUGGAUGAUAUUAAUGUGGUAAGACAGGGGACAUCAGGAACCAUUGCUACUGAUUUUGGAAGCAAGUGAGAAAGCUUAAGGAGCUUGUGAGAUAUACCUGGAAUGGAUUCCAGAAUCAGAUCUGGGUGAGGAAAGCUGAUCUGAGGUACACGGCUCCAAGGCAAACUCAACAGCAGGCUCCGAUGCUUUGAGAUUCACGAGUUGGGAAGCACUAGUUGAGGAACAUGGAAUUUGGCUUUAGAUGCAACAUGGCGAUUGGUACCAAAGUGGAAAAUCAUACAGGUCCGUGGUACUUUGAUAGUGGAUGCUCACGAUACAUGACUGGCAAAAGGGGCAAAGGUAACACAAAAGAGUUUGGUCAGCCUUAGCUCGUGAAUAUGUACUUGGUUCAUGGUCUGCAUGCUACUCUGAUAAGCAUCAUUCAGCUUUGCGAUGAAAAGCUAACUGUCAUCUUUACCAGGACGGACUGAAAAGCUGUAAACAAAGGAGCAGUCAUCUUAAGAGGAAUCAGAUCCGAAAACAACUACUACAUGUGGGAUGACACUACAAGAAAAAGGGCUUAUUGAUAUCACAUUUGCACAUCGUAAUUCUAAUAACUGUUAUUAAAAGAGGUUUACGGAGUUGACAACUCUGUAAUAGCAUAAAAUUAAUUCUAAAUCCAAAAAUCUAGGCUGGAUGGUAAAAAUCACGUUGGCACGCAGAAAAUAUUUAAACCCGCCAACACUUAGCCAAAAAAAGAGUGUCUUUGACUAAAACAUGAAGGUUAGUAUAAUAAACAAUAAAAAAAACAGAAAUAAAAAUUAGAAACAACAAAAGACCUAGGGUUCCUGAUGGCGAUUCCUCUUUGCUCGAUUCGAUUCACGGCUCUUUUACUACCGAUGGCGACUAACUCGAUAUAUAUCAGCGUCGAUUUACUCCGGUGCAUUUGAUCUGCACAAUAUCGGCUAUUUCAUCCAGAAUAUCGACUGAUUGCAUCCAUCUCUUUGCUCGGUUCCUGGAGUUAAAGGUAACUACGAUUCACAAUCCCAUAACCCUAAAUGUAACUUUGUUGUUCGGUUUGAUUUCAUUAUCAAUCAUGCUUAGUUUACUUUAAUUUAUUCUCAUGAUACGAGGUUGGAGAUUUAAAGCUGAAGAGUGCAAAAAAAGGUUGAGACGAAAGACAAGCUACAUACUCUUGCCCGAGUUUGUCUGCAAACGGUUCUCAAACGUGAAUAUAACUCAUUUAAAGGUUUUUAAUUGAAUUUUUGGGUUUACAUUCUGAUUGAAAUAGAGAUCUUUUUAUCUUUAUGAGCUGCUUUAAAACUACUGGGUUCAGUUGUGUUUAGGUCUGCUUGCAUAAUAGCUACUGGUUCGAUUAGUGUUGUUUCUGUUUGCGUAAUAUACACAUAUUUCAGGGGUGUUGUUGAUGGUUCAACAAUUCUUGUGUUUGAGUUGCUCUGCUAACAAUUUUCAUUAAUAUUAGAUCAGAUAAUGCUGGACAAGACCUGGGUUAACUUUUGCAGGUAUAUAGUUCAAAUCCAGUUGUUAAGUUAUAGUGUCAGGCUGAGUAGUUUCGAAAAUUAAUUUUUUUUUCUUUCUUUCAUCAAAAUGAAUUUUCAGUGCUGAUCCAGCAUACGAGAUAUGUACUACGAAUUUUGUAAAUGCGGUUGCUUCUGCAUUAGGAGAUGCUGAUAUGAUAGUACGUCCAUGCGUUGACUGCCGCAAUAUAGACCGCCACUCAAUUCGUGAUGUAGUCGACCAUCUGGUCACAAGGGGAAUGGAAGAGGUUUACAAGCAUAGAAGUGAUUGGUAUCAUCACAGUGAAGCUAUAGCUAAUUCAGAAGCUGUUGAUAGUAGUAAGGUUAGAGAAUGGAACGAAGAGAUUUUAGGGUUAUUUCAGGCUGCAGAAUACUUAGACAAAGAGUUAGCUAACAUGACUGAAUUAGGUGACGUUUCUGAGGGUUUAGAUAAGAAAGAAGACGAGUUUCUGUAAAGCUUGCUGAUGCUGAAACCCCUUUGUAUCCUAGCUGUGCAAACCACAGUAGCUAUCAGCUAUUGUCUCUCUGUUUAGGCUUAAGACUCCAAAUGGGUGGUCGGACAAGAGUUUCAACGACCUACUUGAGACACUCUCCAAAUUGUUGUCAGAAGACAAUGUUCUUCACACAUCAUUGUAUGAUGUGAAGAAAUAUUUCAAGUCAUUCGACAUGGGCUACCAGAAGAUACACACUUGUUUUAAUGACUGUUGUUUGUUUACAAAGAAGUACAAGAAGCUAGAGAGUUGUCACAAGUGCAAAGCAUCAAGAUGGAAGACGAAUUUGCACACUGGUGAAGUAAAGAUUGGUAUCCCACAGAAAGUAUUGAGAUAAUUUCUUAUUAUUCCGCGUCUGAAGAGGAUGUUUAGGUCAGAGCUAGAGGAAACGGCGAAAGACUUACGGUGGCAUAGUAGUAUGAAGAGCCGUGAUGGAAAGCUUCGUCGUAUGGUUGAUUCUAUAACAUGGGAGCAUAUAGACACCAAGUUCUCGUUAUUCGCCGCUGAUGAAAGGAACAUUCGGCUUGGACUAUCCACCGAUGGCUUCGAUCCAUUCAACAUGAAGAAUACAAGGUACAUCUGUUGGCCUGUUCUAUUGGUAAAUUAUAGUAUGACUCCUAACUUAUGCAUAAAGAAGUAGAACAUAAUGCUUUCUUUGUUGAUUCCUGGUCCGCAACAACCUGGAAAUAGUAUAGAUUACUACUUAGAACCACUAAUAGAUGAUCUUAACCAGCUGUGGGAGAAGGGCUCGCUUACCUACGAUACAGUAAAUGGUACCACUUUUACUUUAAAGGCGAUGCUUCUUUGGACCAUUAGUGACAUACCUGCUUACAGAAAUCUUGCUGGGUGCAAAGUUAAAGGUAAGAUGGGUUGUCCUUUAUGUGGGAAACACACUGAUAAUAUGUGGUUGUCUAAUAGUAGGAAGCACAUAUAUAUGGGUCAUAGGAAAUGGUUGUCACCUACAAAUAAAUACCGUGGGAAGAAGACAUGGUUUGAUGGUAAAAUUGAACACAGAAGGAAGGGUAGGAUAUUAACUGGUCAUAAUAUUUACACUCUUUUGAGAAAUUAUAAAAACGACUUCAAAAAUAGGAAACCCGGAGCUUUUCUUCAGAGGCCUGUACGGAACAUGUUAACUAUUGAGGAAGCAGCUGGAGAAAUGAUUGCAGUACAUGAUGAUCUCCAGCUGUGGCAUCAACGAUUGGGCCACAUGAAUAUAAGGAACCUCACCAAUCUCAUUGAAAAAGAGAUGGUUAGAGGAGUUCCUUGAGUUAAGAGAAGAAAAAACAUGGUCGGCGGUCCAUGCACUUAAGGGAAGCAGAACAAAGUCCUGAUAUUUAGUCUAAGGCAGUAUUUGACCUAGUACACAUGGAUAUGAUGGGACCAAUGCAAACAGAGAGCUUGUGAGACAAACGAUAUGGCUUUGUCAUUGUGGAUGACUACUCGAGGUUUACAUGGGUUCGAUUUCUUCUAGAAAAUCAGAAACAGCUGACAGCUUCACAAUUUGGGCGCUACAACUUAUGAAUCGGCAUGGAAGCAUCAGAAACAUCAGGAGUGAUCAAGGAGGCAAGUUCUAGAAUGAGUUCAUGAAAUUGUUCUUUGAGAGUCAUGGGAUUCCUCAGCAAUUUUCUGCACCUAGAACACCCCAGCAAAAUAGAGUGGUGGAAAGGACUCUGCAAGAGAUGGCUCAGGCAAUGAUGCACGAGAAUCAAGUGCCAAAGAAAUUCUGGGCUGAAGCAGUCAACACCGCGUGCUAUAUCGUCAACAUGGUCUACGUUCGGAAACGAACCAGUAAGACACCCUGUGAGCUUUGGAAAAGAAAGACUCCUAAGUUGAGUAACUUUCAUAUUUUUUGUUGCAGGUGUUACAUUCUGAAUGACAAGGAUCAUCUCGAAAAUUUGACUCAAGGAGUUAUGAACGAAUGUUCUAGGGAUACUUAGGGAAUAGCACAGUCUUCAGGGUCUUCAACACAAGAAUAAAAGUGCUGAUCGAGUCGGGAAAUGUUGUGUUUGAUGAUUACGCUCACAUGAAGUGGAAAGGCACUAGUACAUGAAGUAACUCAGAACAGGGUGAGGAGGAGCACGAGACACAACCUAUUGGUGCAAUUGACCAAGUUGCAGAGGACGCACCAUCUGACAUUCAGUAGGUGCAUCGAAAUCAUUCAGCAUCUGAUCUUAUUGGAGAUGUGAAAGAAGGGAGGAAGAUUCAAAGAGUGCAACUGGAUUUCAAGAAGAUGGUGGAAAAAUACUCGGAGAUAGUUUUAUUUGCGUGUUUUAUCUCGGUUAUUGAACAAAGAGACUAUUAUCAAGCAUUCAGUGACGAGUUCUGGAUUGUUUCCAUGGAGCAAGAGCUGGAACUUAUUCCUUGGCCUCAGGAAAGAAAUGUUAUAGGAAUCAUGUGGAUUUUCAAGAACAAGAUUUAUAAAAAUGGAGUAGUGGUUCGCAACAAGGUCAGGCUGGUCACACAAGGGUUCUCACAAAUUGAGGGAGUAGACAUUGAGGAAAUUUUUGCGCCUAUAGCAAGACUUGAGUCAAUCAGACUGUUUCUAGGAAUGGCAUGCAUACUGAACUCCAUGGUGUAUCAGAUGGAUGGCAAGAGUACCUUCUUGAAUGGCAUGCUCUCGGAGGAAGUUUAUGUGGAACAGCCGAAAAAUGUUCGAAGACUCACAGAAUCCGGAGUAUGUGUACAAGCUCAAAAAGGCCAUAUACGGCCUGAAACAAGCUCCUCAAGCUUGGUAUGAGCGAUUCACUAGGUUCUUGGUGUAACAAAGCUAUACUAGAGGGAGUGUUGACAAGACUCUGUUCAUUCUUGAGAAAGGAAAAGAGAUCAUGAUAGUUCAGAUUUAUGUGGACGAUAUCAUUUUUGGUGGAACAGCUCAGAGGUUUGUUGAUGAGUUUAUUACAAAUAUGACUCGUGAGUUUGAGAUGAGCAUGGUACGUGACUGCGUUACUUCUUGGGUUUGCAGAUAACCUAAUCGGAGAAUGGGGUGUUUAUCUCUCAAAGUAUGUAUGCUAGAAAUCUUAUCACUCAGUUCAAGCUUGAUCAUUGCAAGAAGGCAAAUACCCUGAUGAGUACUACAGCAAGACUGGCAUGAGAUAAUGAGGGCAAGAACGUGGAUCCAGCACUAUACAAAGGGAUGAUUGGAAGUUUGCUAUAUCUCACCGCGAGCAGGCUUGAUCUAUGCCUAAGUGUGGCCAUAUGUGCGAGGUACCAGGCAAAGCCAAAGCAGUCACAUCUAGAAGCUGUCAAGAGAAUCAUCAAGUAUGUCAAGGGAACUGCAGAUCUAAGGAUCUGGUACUCAAAAAGAUUCAACCAAAACUUGGUCGGGUAUUGUGAUGCUGACUGGAUCGGGAGUGCAGAUGAUCAGAAAAGCACCAGUGGAAGUUGUUUUUUUAUUGGAAAAAAUCUUGUGUCAUGGCUAAGCAAGAAGCAAAACUCUGUAUCACUAUCUACUGCAAAGGCAUAGUACAUUGCUAUGGGGAGCUGUUGCAGCCAGCUGUUGGGGAUGAAGCAAAUAUCAGCCGACUGUGAAUGGAUUCUGGACCACUACUGGUUCACUGUGACAACAAGAGCGCCACAAGCUUAUCAAAGAAUCUGGUGCAGCACUCAAGGAUAAAGCACAUUGAUAUAAGGCACCACUUUAUCUGAGAACUGGUGGAAGAAAAACAGGUAGUGAUAGAACAUAUUGUCACUGAUUUGCAAGUGGCUGAUUUGUUUACAAAACCUCUGGAUUUUAACCAUUUUGUCGAUCUAAGAAAUUCGAUUGGAGUUUGUGGUAUGUAAUAGUUUUUGAAGUGUACAGGCUGAUACAAAGGCUGAUUCAGGGAACACUUAAGGUUCAGAUUCUGUAUGGAGUCAGUAUUAUUGUGGAAAAGAGCUACCUCAAUUCCUGUCGUGCCUUGACAUCAGUACAGAUUUCAUGGAGAGAGAGAGAGCAAACUGAGUUAGUUUUGGAGAAAUCAAAUAAUAAAACUAAUUCGCACAAUAAAAGAGAAGGGGAAAAAAUAAAAAGUGCUAAAAAGCUGAAGAAGUAUUAAAAAAAAAUUGAUAUACGCAUUAAUAGUGCAAGAAAGUCCCCAAGAGAUAAAAGCUGCUCUCUCCCAUUGAUAAAUGUUGAAAAAUGAAACACAGGUCGAUAAAGACAGGAGAGGGUUUAGAGUUUAGCCAUAACGAAUAGCAAACGUUAUGACAACAUAAAUUUUUUAGAAAGUUCAAAAGCAAUAAUCACAAAAUCAUAAUAUAAUUCUUCAUAACUUCAUCAGGAUUUCUUGUUUAUGUCACUUUUUGUUAACCGAUCUUUCAGCUUCUAUUUCAUCAAAGUAUUCAGGACUCUUCAGUUGGUUUUUAGAUAAAGGAGUUCGGGAAGAACCAGACGAAGGAUUAUCAAGUUCCUCAGAACUCAUAAGCAUUAACGGUUGCUGAAAUAGAUAACAUUGUUCAUGACUUAAUUAAAAAUAAUUUCAUAUAGCGGACUUGCUAACUCGUUGCAUUUUAUCAUAUAUUACUUCUGAUAGAGAAUCUCACUCAGUCGUAAUGUCGACAUCUUGAGACCAUAGAUCAGGUACAUACAGAGACUGACUUUCUUUAGUAUGUACUUCUAAAAAUGUUAUUUUGAAAAACAUUCUCAUUGUUAGGAGUUUAGUCAAACCAUCAGGGAGUCUUCUUGGUAAAUCCCAUACAAUAUUAUAUUCUCCGGAUUAAUAUAAUAUCAGACCAUGUAAAUAAUGCAUAUUAUAUAUAAGGAUUUAAGGAACUGCCUCGUUAGUUUGUUCCAUUAUUGACUCAGCUGAAUAACCAAAAAGUUUUCGAGUAGUGUCAUCAAACAUCAGGAAUCGGACAUCGACACCUGAUUCACCAGUAACAAAUAAUACGAUAUAGUACCUAUAUAAUUUUGUAGGGAAACGGAAAUGUCAGUUAUUUGAAAUGUAAUGAAUUUAUAUUAAAUUUAAUGGGACGAUUAUAUGUAUUACCUUGCCACGACUACAAUCCUAUGAAUAAAUAUCUCUACAAUUUUUGCAACUGAAAAGAGGAAUCCGCUUAUCGUAAUCUUCUUCAUCAGACAAGAUGAUAUGCUCUAGAACUUUAAUGUUGCAAGGUUUCAAAGCCCAAUAAUACCACAGCUUUGAAGUGUCAACAUCUUUGACUGUUACACAAGUUACAAUUUUGCUGGACUGUAAUAAAACCAUUAAUAUGUAUAAUUUUAAAAUAUAAAUAAAUUUUUAACAUUAGUAAAUUCUAUCUCAUACCACUUUUGUUUCACGAAUUCCAGAUAUUGUCUGUCUCCUAUUCUCGACACCUAAAAAUUCUUCACAAUAGUCAAUCACACCACUCCAAGAAGACGAAUAACUUUGUUCAGCAUGAACAAUCAUUUGAUGAUUUUUUUGGCAACCUAUAAACCACACACAUUUAUUUAAUAAAUAGAAUACUGUUAAUAUUUAAAAAUUUGUGUCAAACCAUACUUUUCUUUGUAGUCUUUCUCGAUGUUCAAGUCAGGAUCAAAAACAAUUUUUUGUGGAGUUGAAAGAGUUUGCUAUUGAUAUAUCACCUAUAAUAAAAAAACCAAAAAAUAACAUACAUGAUAUCAAGUUAAUGCCAUAUCAAUUUCCGAAACCGUGUGCAUAUGAAUAUACUAUAUUUUGAUCUCACAUUUAUAAUCUUAUAUAUAGACAAAACGCAUUACACAGACAACGAUAUAAUCCAUAUGUUUGUCAGUGUACUCAACAGUCGUCUUUCCACAUUGUCUCCAUAAUGUACAUUUCAGUUGAACAACGCUUGAGCAAAAAGUAUAUCAGCCUCACAUGGUUAUAAGAUUUUCUAAAUAUUUUGUAUGAUAUUAUAACUUACUUGGUAUCACGUAGUGUUAUCAUUAAUUUCUCGCUGAUACCACUCUUGCCUUUUGUUUUGAUAACUUUCAUACUCCUCACCGUGACUAUAGCGAUUUUGUGAAGAGAAUUGUGUACUUUUAGGGUUUUGGAAGGCUUAUUUAUAUAUAUAUACAUAUAUAUAUAUGGAGAAGAAAUUUAUGAAAAAAACUAAAUUAUUGAAGUUUGGUGGGAUAUUCAUUAUUUCAAAAAAGAGAAUGAAAUUCAUCAUGAGAAUAUUUGGAAUGUGCGUAGAAGUAGGUAUAGUUCCAAAAUCUUUGACAUUCAAAUUUUUUAGAAUGAUUGAAUUGCCAAAUGUGACGUGUAUAUAUUGAAAUAGAAUCUAACUGAUUGAAUAAUUAAUAAUAACUCAAUAACCUUUGAGUAUAUUCUGUUACAUUAAUAUCGGUAAAUCUUACGAAUAUAUAUAUGUAAUCUUUCAUUUUUUAAUGAAAAUUUUUAUUAGGCUGAAAUGGAUUGAAGGACGUAAUAAUUAUUAAAAAUGAUAUUGAAUGGGCUGUAUUUUCGUUUGGGCCUUUGGAUGUUUUACAGAGGAAAUAAAAUGUGACGGUCGGGUAUAAAAGAUCCGUGUGUUUAUCUGUUUUUAAUUUUUCAGGUAUUUGUAACUGAGUCAACAUUUUUUAACCAAUCAUGUUUCGCAGAAUCAGCUUCUUUGCCAUGUCAUAUUUGACGUAGAAUAAACAUCAUCAUUGUCGUGGCAAGAAGCUCGGGAGAAGCGAUUUCUAGCCAAUAAUAUUAAAACAAAUAAGCGAUUUUUCUAACAUUUUCAUUAAUUUACAUUCUUAUCUUAAUAUAUAGGAUUAGUAAUGCAUUUUCAAAUAUAGAAAAUCUCUGUGUUAUGUUGUGUUAUAGUUCCAAUACUUUAGCUCUUGCAUUUACACAACCUUCUUAUUUUGUUCAUGCAAAGUUCAAUAGAUUGUGCAACCAAAUUACAACCUCCUUCUAUGAAAUCAAUUCUUCGUGAUCACAAUUUUUUUGUUUUCACUCUAUUCGAAUAAGUUCUUUACCAAAAGAGUUUAGGCUUGAGACUAAUUUAGUCGGCAACUAACUAAUAAAAAGGCAAUUAGGAUGAUAAGAAGAUAAGCAAAUGGGUAGCAAAAUCAUAACCUUUAACCACUCUUCCCAUUAUAACAGUCUCCCGCACUCUUUCCUUUUAACCAUUCUGCAUAUAUUACAGCUUAAAUUCCUGUGUAUUAAAAAGAAAAUUAUUACAAUCCCACUCUUUUGACUUUAGAAUUGAAUAACAAAGAUUACCUAUGAUGAAAUUAAUCAAGAUAAACCUACAAAUUUUUUUUUUUUUUUAAAGAACAUACUUAAGUUUUACCAUCCAUCUAAUCAGUCUAGGUGAGUGUCCAUCAAAUAGUCCACGCACCGUAUUUUUUAAUGAAUCUAGAGCAUUACACAAUUUCAACUGGCUAAAUGGGAGUGGUCAUAUAAUUUUACAUUUGCGGAAAAUCGAUCUCUAGCCUAAACCUAUAUGAUAACUCUUCAACAAAUAGGAACCACUUACCACUACCACUAGGUUAUAAACCAUUCUAUUUAAAACCCCAUAUUUUAACAUCAACAAAACAUAUUGAGAUAUUCGCAUGAUAGUCUCAUGCAUGGUAGUAAAUUAGUUUUGGGCCAAAAUAAUUUUUUUAUAGACCAAAAUAAAUAUAUCUAUGGAUAAACAAACUUACGUCCAUAUACAGUAAAACCUCUAUAAAUUAAUACUCGAUAAAUUAAUAAUCACGAUAAAUUAAUAAAUUUUGCUAGUCCCAAGUUGGGCCAAUAUAAAAAUCCAUCAAAUUCGAUAAGAUAAUAAGAUAAUAAUUUUUUAUAAAAUUCUUAUAUAAAUAUAUGGUCCCAACAAAAACUUUAAUAAUUAUAUAAAUUUAUGUAAAUAUAUGUAAAUAUAAUAUUCUAAAAUAUGACUAAUGUCUUUAUUUUUAUUUAAAGUUGAGAUCUUAUUGGUUCUCAUCUCUCUAAUUAUUAUAUCAUUAGCUUUUAUUACUGUUUUACUAUACAUACAUUUAAAAUUUAUGGUGAUUUUUUUUAUGUGAUAAUUGAUUUUUUUAUAUGUAAAUAUUUUUAAAUGUGUUGUACUAUUAUCUUUAAUUUUAUCAUCAAUAAUAGUGAUAGUAGCCAUGGUUUUUUAUAAAUUUUAAACUUAUAAAAUAUAUAUAUAUAUAUUUACAUGGGCGAUCCAAUAUGGUGUUAAAAACUAUUUUAUUGUGAUAGUUAUUAUUGUUAAUCAUAAUAUAUAUUAUGAGAUUAGUUAAAAUUUUGAAAUAUAACACUAUUCCAAAAAAAAUUUUAAAACUUAUAUGCAGAAAACAAAUGUUCUCUAUAAAUUAAUAAUUAUUAAUUUAUAGAUAAAUUAAUAUCACGAGAAAUUAAUAAAAUAUCAUAGUCCCAACAUUAUUAAUUUAGAGAGGGUUUACUGUAUAUAUAUAGCCUUCUAUACUUAGAAUUUGAACAUGCAUUAGGUCUACGUAAGAUCUUCUCAAUUUCCGACAAGAUUUUUCUAAUCUGGAAUACUCCAAAAUAAUUAUAGUCAAGUGCUCAAGAAAAAAAAAUUACAAUGAGGUUUACGUACUUCAACUGAUCUUAGCAAAUACCAGUAAAUUAAAGAAGGAAAUUCUUGUUUAAGUAUGGAUCGAUAUCUUCUGUUAAACAUUUAUCCCAAAAAAGUAUGGAUAGCAACGGGACAUAGACCGGCUAUAGUUACAUAUAUUACCUAUCUGAUUAUCAUUGUUCAUUUUUCUAUACUUCUUGUCCAUAAAUAAUCGUUCUCCUCUUUUACCAUUUAUCUUUUAUUUUCUCUACCAUAAGAUAUCUAAAAAGUAGAAAGAAGGUAUAGAUGUAGAACCUAGCGAGACCUCUUGUGAAAAUUAGAACUUGUAGUGUUGAAUCUCGACCUCGAUUAUUAACAAAAAUAUUAUGGGACUAAACAAACAAACAAACAAAUAUUAUGGGAUGUAAAUGAGUUGCUCUUACAUAUAAUACGAAUUAGGUGUUUUGUCCGCGGCUUGUGCGGAUCCCCGAAAAGUUUAAAAUUGUAAAACAAAACUUUAUAUUAGGUGAAUAACGAGAAGUAGAAUAAUUGAGACGUAUAUGAUCAAAAUAAAACAAAGCCAAAAAAUUAAACACCCAAAAUGAAAUACUAAAUAAGUGUAUGAACCUUACAAACCAACUGAAUUAAAACAAAUACGAAUUUUUCAUUUCCACGUAAUGGUUAUUUAUUUUCUUCUUUUUCCUCUUCUUUAUUUUUUGGUUAUUCUUCUUUAUUGUCUUUUCUUUAUUUUUAUUCAUUGUCUUCCAACCAUCCGAUAUCAGUGUAGGUAGAUCGUAAAUAUCAGUACUCUAAUACCUAUGUAGAGAUAGCAUGAUAAUCACGUUCAAAGUAUAUAAGGGAAGAGAGGAAGCACAUACGCACUGUAAGACAACAAAAAACCAACGACCAGUUAUAGCCAAUUACAAUACGUAUAAACAAUAAGAAGAAUCAUGUAUAAAAAAAAUUAUUUUUGAUCGUCUUUGUCUUUUCUUCUUCCUCCUCUUAUUUAUCUUUUGAUUUUUUUAUUCCUCAUCUUUUCUUUCUCUUCUUCAUCGUCUUUAAUUUCUACUUCUUCUUUCUCUUCUUCCUCGUUUUCUCUUUCUUUGUUUAAUUCUUCUUCAUAUUCUUUAUCUUUCAGUUUUUUCUUCUUCGUAUUUUCCUUAUUCUUUUUUUUUAUCUGUUCUUCCCCUGACUUUUUUCUUCUUUUCUGAGUUUUACUCGUAUUCUUCUUCCUUAUUCCAUUUCAAUGUAUUUUUCUUCUUUCUCUUCGAAUUUUUCUUCUUCCUCUUUUCCAUCAAAUUCAUUUUUCUCUUCUUCCUCUUAUUCUUUUUUUUUUUGUCGACAGCCUAGAUACCUAGAACGAUUCGGUUAGCCAAACCGGAGGUAUCGAGUUUACAUAAAUAAUAUCUUGAGGAUGGACACGAGCUCUUCUUGCUAAAGUGUCCGCCUUCGAAUCCUUCACGCGCGAGAUGUGUGAGAUAGUAAAAGAAUUGAAUUUGUUCUUCAUCUUCUCGAUCUCCUCCAAGUGUAAAGAAAAUGCUGGCCAUUCUUGGGUGCAGAUACCAUCUUCACCAACUCCAAACAGUCUGUUGCAAAAGCUACAUCCACCUUCUGAUUCCCUAUCAUGCAGUGCAUAACCUAGAUAAGGGCUUCUACCUCCGCAUGUAGAGAUGAAAGGCUCCGCCUUACAUUCUGUGCUCCCAUUAUUUUAUCCAUAACGCCCUCUUUGAAAUAGUACUAGCCUAAACCUAUUUUGGAAUCCAUAUCUUUCCAUGAACCAUCUAUAUAACACCACCAGCCAUCAUAACUCACAAAUGAUGAGUGGGCCACUGUGUUUCUGUUACUUAUGAAAGUUGCCUGCUGUUUAAAGCUUUGGGCCUCUUCCCAUAACGCUGCUUCUGUCUCCGCUAUUCUCAGAGUAAUUUGUGGGUCUAUAUCAAUGUUUGAAUAUACUUUCUCAUUCCUUUCUUUCCAGAUAUACCAUAUAUCCAUAGGAAUUGUGUAUUUGUUACCUCUUCCGGUAGCCUCCAAAAUAGGUGAUCAAAAUUUUCAUAAACCGAUGUCAUUGGAAAUAUGCCUAGUGGAGUUGGAAUCUUUGAUAAAGCCCAUAUUUGUAGGGCAGGGGGACAUUCAAAUAAAACAUGGCUGAUUGUUUCUUCCUCAGCUCCGCAUCGUGCACAUUGCGUGUCACAGUGUAUUCCACGGGUGUGAAGUCUAGUUGGUACCGUAAGACAUCCUGAUAAAGCUUGCCAAAUAAAGUGUUUUAUCUUUGGAUAUGUUUUCAAUUUCCAAGUGUAUGCUUGUAGUGCCUUUAUGUUUGGCCCAUAUUGAUCUUCAACAUGGUUGUCCGGGAUUUGGUGUUCUGUUUGGUAGCCUGAUUUUACCGUAUAUCUUCCAGAUUUUGUAAAAUGCCAUCCCAAUGGGUCUGGUCUAUAUGAAGUACUGAUGGGUAUCCCACGAAUGAUUUCCACAUCUGUCGGGUCGAUAAUUGCCUCUAUCAGGCCCAGAUUCCAUGUAUUCUUCAUUGGGUCAAUCAGAUGAUUGACCAUUAGAUUUGGGUAAUAGUUGAACCCUUUACAAGUUGCUGAUAUCGGGUGAGGAGCCGGUAUCCAUGGGUCGUUCCAUACUGAAAUAGAACAUCCAGAACCAACUCUUUUGAUUAGCCCUUUGUUAACUAGAGAUCUAGCUGAGAUUAUACUUCGCCAUCCAGAGGACGGUGAGUAAGAACGAACAGGAUCUAGUGGACUUGAUUUCCUAAAAUACCGUCCUUUAAAAACCCGUGCAAACAGUGAAUUUGGUCUGUCUAUCAACCUCCAUAAUUGUUUUGCCAAUAAGGCCGUAUUAAAACUCUCCACCUCUCGAAACCCCAUCCCCCCUUCUGUCUUAUCUUGACACAUCUUAUUCCACGCUAUCCAAUGUAAGCCUUUGUGAUGUCCAUCUGAACUCCACCAAUACCGUGCUGCUGCACUGGUUAAUUUCACCGUUGUGGAUUUAGGUAAACGGAAACAUGACAUGACAAAAGUGGGCAUUGCUGAGGCCACCGAUUUGAUUAGAACCUCUUUGCCUCCUUUUGACAAUAAUCUCAAGGUCCAACUAUUAAUCUUAUCCUGUUGUCUGUUUGUUACAAAGUUAAAAAUCCUGGUUUUAGCUCCACCCAUGCUCUCUGGGAUACCAAGAUAGCAUCAUGUUCCCCCAUCUCUUGAGAUUCCUAAAAUAUGUUUCCUUUCCUGUCUUAUUACCUCUGGGACCUUGUGUCCAAAUUGAACCGAUGAUUUAUCAAAAUUAAUGAGCUAGCCCGAAACGCUUUCAUAUUGUCUUAGUAUGCUCAAAAUCGUCUGGCAUUCCUCCUUGUUUGCCUUGCAAAAGAAUAAACUGUCAUUCGCAAAAAGUAAGUGCGAAACUGAUGGGCUUGAUGUUGCGAUCCUCAGGCCUGUCAAUAAUUUCUCUCUCUCUCUGCUUUCUUUAUAUUCGCUAUUAGAACUUCUGUACACAGUAUAAAUAAAUAUGGUGACAAUGGAUCUCCUUGGCGAAGUCCCCUUGCGGGAUUUAUGAGCCCCCGUGGCUGUCCAUUUGAUAGAACUUUGUACUUUACUGAGGUAAUGCACCGCAUCAUCCAUAUUAUCCAUUUCUCUGUAAAACCAAAUCUUCGUAAUAAUUUUCCAAUAAAUGACCACUUGACUCUAUCAUAAGCUUUACUCAUGUCCGUCUUGAUUGCCAUAUAUGUAUUCUUGCAAGAUUGGUUUGUCCGUAGUCCAUGGAACUUUUUCUGUGUUAUCAGAAUAUUAUCUGAGAUCAAUCGGCCCGCCACAAAGGCAAACUGAGUUUCCGAGAUUAGGUCGGGUAACAAAUGUGUCAAUCUCUGGCAUAAUACUUUAGAGAUAAUCUUAUAGCCGACAUUGCAUAGGCUAAUAAGCCGUAAUUCCGCCAUCCUCGUGGGUCUUUCUGUUUUGGGGAUUAGACAAAUAUUAGUUAUAUUCAGCCGUUCAUCAAAAACUCCUGUAUUCAAAAAAAUGUUAACUAAGUUCAAAAUAUCGUCCUUAAUAAUUGGCCACGAUCGUUGAUAAAAGAGUGCUGUCAUUCUGUCUGGUCCUGGGGCUUUCUCCGGAUUCAUCAUAAACAAAGCAUUGCGAAUUUCUUCCUCUGUGACCAUUGCCGUAAGCAUCUUAUUAUUGACCGCCAUUAUCGAUGGUGAUAUCUCGCUUAAAGCAUCCUCAAAAUCCGAUGGAGAUGUUGAGGUGAAUAAUUCUUCAAAAUAAUUAACUGCCACCUGCUCAAUGUCUUUUUCUGUGGUGACCCAUGUUCCUGCAGCAUUGUGUAAUCCAAUGAUUCGGUUUCGCGCUCUUCGUUGUUUAACUUGCGCGUGAUAAAACGAAGUAUUUUUAUCCCCCAUUGUAGCCCAUUGGAUUCUACUUUUCUGUUGCCAGAAUAAUUCCUCAUCUCUAUAUGCCUCUUUUAGUUUUCUUGAGACUGCUAGUACUUCUUCUUCUGAUCUCGUAUCAUCAUUUUGAAUUUCUUCUAAUUCCUUCUUCAGGUCUUUAAUUUUUCCUUGCCCGUAUGGUUGAAGGUUAAAACCUCCACUUGGAUAUUUCUUUUCAGCAAUUUCUAAUUUUGUCUACAAAUGGAAUCUCAUCUCCGUCCUGAUAUAAAUCCCAACCUUUAGAUAUAGCGUCCAUUAGACCUUCUUGUUAUAACCACCUUUUAUCAAACCUAAAGUGUGCCCUCUUGCGUGGAGUUUUAUCCGCAAAUUGUGGCCACAAUUGGCCUAUGACCUGUGCCAAUCAUCACUAAGUAUUCAAUGAAUGAAUGUGUAAAUAUAUCAUGCCAAUUUUCAUUGGCUAGAGCCCGAUCUAGUCUGCUUCUGACUAGUUGUGAGUUUCGCCUUCCCCUCCAAGACAUCGUAUUCCUUAAACACGGAAACUCUAGUAGACCACAAUCUUGUAUCAUAGUAUUGAAGGCCACAAAAGAAGACGCCGGUCUUAGCGCCCCGCCUUGUUUUUCAUUAUUUCCAGUUAUCUCAGUCAAAUCUCCAAUUAUUAUCCAAGGUUCUGGUCUUUUAAGGCUUAUUCUUGUUAAUCGUUCCCAAACUUAUUCCCGCAAUUUGGGAACUGGAUCUCCGUAAACAAAAGAUAAAUAUACUUUUUUCCGAGGACAUUUGCUUCAAUAUCAGUUAUCCUAUUACUUGAGAAUAAAAUAGAAACCUCAAAAGAAUUAUCAUAAAAAAAGAGCAAGUCCACCACUAGUUCCACAUGGUUCAACAGUGUACAAUUUAUUAUAACCAAAAUGAUACUGAAAUUUUUCCAAAAAAUUAAAAUCUUGCUUUGUUUCUGAAAGAAAUAAAAAUUCCGGUCUGUGCUUCUUCCAAAUUUCCUGAAGAUAGCUUAUUGUCCACCUACUUCCAAGACCCUGACAAUUCCAGCUAAGUAUCCUCAUCAAUCACUUGAGGUUUUGUGCCUUUCUGUCCCAGCUUCAGGUUUGAUGGACCCUUGACAGAUUGUUUUUUGCGUGGAGAGAUCAGUGCUUGAACCAGCCUUUUCUUUGUGUUUCCUCCAACGAUUGAGGGAAUACUUUUUGCAACCUUCUUUUUUGUACCGUGCUUGUUUCCUUCAUUUUGACCUUGCAGGACCAUUUUUUCCAUCUUUUUCCGUUUUCCUUUGUUCCCAUUUCGCUGUUUUCUUCCCCCUCUGUGUUUUUUUCCUCUUCAGUGGCGAGAAGCUCACCUUCCUCCUGCUCUAAGACCUCUUUCACCGCAUCUGAGGUCAGUUGCAUCUGGUCUUCGUGUUCGAUAGCAGUAUCUUCAAAGUUUCCUGCAACAGCACCAUCAAACUCAUAAUCCAUUAAGGUAUCAUCGUUUGCGAGCAAUUGUUCCCAUUCAUUGACCGAUCCUUCAUUGGUUUCUACCCCUCGACCAUUUUCCGCCGUAUCUAUCAGAAUCUUAUCCGCCUUUGUUUCUGCACUCUGAGUCACAUUGUGAGCAUCUUCACCAUCCUCAAAAUCCAAGUUUUUCCUUACCUUACUCCCCAGUUUUGGAGCCUCAUUUGAUCCAGCUGGUGUAUCAUCUGCAUCUUCAGUGGUGGAGUUUUCCUUUGUGCCGAGAUUUAGAUUUCUCUCCAUCUCAUUGGUGACCGUCAUCUUCGUGUGAGUCAUUUCUAACUCUUCCCGAUCAUGUGUUUCGCUUUCCUUCCGGGUCUCCAAGUUUAAACCAGUUUUUUCCAUAUACCUUGGCUGGAAAUCAUGAGGAUGCACAUAACUCGCAGGUAUGCUCUGUUUCAAUGCUCCUUCACCAUAUUUCCAUUCUGACUUUCCUUUGGGAUAACGACCUUUUUCAUUUCCUUCUCUGCUCCCGUGCCCAUAUAUUUUGUUCUUGUAAUAACCACUGCUUGAGGAGCUUGAUCCUCCAUACUUCACUGGUUCAUAAGUGCUGCCAUGAGCAACCCCAUUUUUAUAAGAGAUUGCUCUUUUCCCGUUUUUAGGUUCCUCCAAUAGAACCUCCCUUCUGUUUCGGUCAGUAUCCAUUUGACGAGUUGGACACUUUUGCUGCUCAUGACAUAGACUGAAACAGGUGCGACAAUAUCCAAAAAGUUUUUCAUACCGCAGAUACACUGUUGUUUCUUCUCCUCCAUGGAAUUCCACACUCAUUUCGAAGCAGAGAUGCUUGAGCCCAUCUAUGAUUACUUGAACUUUACCCUCAUCAAGAUUCACCGCUUCGACCUUCCCCAAAGCCUUACCAAUACUCCGAAAGGUUGGAUCAGCCCAGAAAUGGAGUGGUACUCGAAUGACGCGAACCUAGAAUGUGAUCGCAGAUGGGUAUGAUGGAUCCACCACCGGUGCCCAUCUCACUAAAGAAAUCAUCCAGUAGUCAAAAUGAAAUGGCUCCAUCUUCAGCACUUCCGUAAUGUCUUCUUCACGAUCAAAAUCAAACUGGAACCUUCCGAGUCCCAAGUCUGCUCCAACAACUCUCUCUUUAAUUUUCCAGAUCCUCAGGAGCAUAUAUAGAAGUGCCUUCAUAUCCUGCAGCUGAGGAUUCAUACAUCGCCCUAUCAACGUUUCGGAGUAGCCUGCAAUCAGGUUUGAGUUGUCGAAAUGUGGCACCGUAACUUACAACCUCUUCAGAGAAACCUCAAUUUUUUUCCCGGAUGUGUUUCCCGUAAUCAGGUUGCUUUGAGACAUCUUUGUAGGUUGUGGUGGUGAGGAAAAAGUUUUGAGCCAGAGGUAAAAAAAUAUUGAAAAUCGGAUGAGAUGAUGAUUAGAGCCUUUUGCUCUCACCUUUAUAAAGACUGUAAUAGCUGUAUUCCUUUCCACCCUUGAUUGUGAAUCCCUUGAUUGAAGAUCUGAUUUUCGAAAUGGAUUUUUCUUGAUUGAUUCUCUAUUCGCAAAUCCCCUGCAUCUCUGAUGAAUGCUCCACAAAUCCAUGUUUUCGUCUAGAUUAACAGCCGACGCGUAAAAGGAAUUUUGAAUUCCAGAUAUCCGUAUAAUCCAGCGAGGGAAACCAGAUCCUGGUGUUGCUUGUUGAUUUGGUUGAAACGCAAUCCCAAUCUCAGAUUUCAAACCUCUCUUUCCAUCAUAACUUAGAUUACCGAGUGUUUUGAUGAUGAUAAGAUUUUCCAGAACUCCCAGGAUCUCAGUAAUCCCGUACAGAUCCCAUUGUUGUUCUGUCACCCUUAAUGAGCAGAUCUCCACCAUUAGAACCGAAAUAAACCAUUGGAGCCACCGAUUCAGAGUCCUCAUUUAGAAACCCAUAUUUGUAAAACCCAUCGCCUUUGCUCGAGAGAGAGAGAAUCGAAGAUUUGUAAUAAUUCUUCGAUGAUGAUGAAUGGUCUAGCAAGAGAUUUGAUAUUUUACUCGAAAGUUCUUCUACAAGGCUGACUUCUUGAAUUUUCUGUUCUUCUUCCUCUUAUUCAUCUUUCGGAUUUUAUUCUUCCUCGCUUUUUCCUUCUUCUUCUUUAUCGUCUUUGACUUCUACUUGUACUUCUUCUUCCUUGACUUCUUCUUCUUUCUCUUACAUAUCUUUCAAUCUUCUUAUCCCUCAUCCUUUUCUUCAUCAUUGUCUAUGUCUUCCCAACUUUUUAUUUUGAAUUUUCUUCGUCUUUGCUUUACCUCUCAGCUUUUAUUAUAUUCGCCUUUUCAGAAUGAUUAUUAUUCCAAUUCAUAUUUUCUCUUAUCUCCAUAUUCUGAUUCGUUUAUUUGCAACGAAAAUGAUUUCAUCUCUCUCUCCCUUCCUCUCCCCCUCUUUUUGUAUAUCCUUCUCUCCCACUCUCUCUCCAUCUCUUUCUCUCUCCCCCUCUCUUUCUAUCUCCCUCUCUUUCUCCCUCUCUCUCCAUCUCUCUCUCUCUCUCCAAUCCUCCCUCUCUAUAUUUGUAACUUAGAUCUCCUUAGGUUUUCCCUUCUUUUUCUUCUUCUUCUUCUGUUUAAAUUAAUGAUAAAUUCUACAAUAUAGCUUUAGUCUUAUCUCCUCAACUUCUCCUUCUCUAUUUUGUCCUAUUCUUUACCUUCAAGCCUUCGUCAUCUCUUUUUCCACUUUUUCAUAUCAAUCACACAUUUCUUUGCCACCCAACUAUCUUUCCUCGUUUCACCCAUUGUUUUCUUUAGCUUCUAUGUUUUCUUCACGCAUUUCAGUCAGGGGUUCAGAUUAUUUUAGUAUUGUCGAAUUCAAUGUCUGAGUGUUCAGUCUCUGUUGGCCCGUGUUCAAGUAAACCAGUGAACUUCAGAACACACAUAAUAAUCUGAUUUAAGUUUUUUUUUUUAACAUAGAAAUCUAUUCGAGAUUUCAUCUCAUUCUUCAACUCUUCUUUGAAGAUACAAUAUAAGCUUUGUCUAGUAAGAUUUUGGUUUUAGAGAAGCAAUCAAAGGAUGGACUGUUUAAGGAUAAAUUUAAUUCAAAAACUAAAUUUUUAAAGCAACAGAUUCAUACGACACAAGAAUUACCUAUUACACAUAAAAAAAAUAUGAAAAAAUGCAAUGUGUGAGUAUGUUCAUUCUUCAGUUCACAAGAAUUUCAGUCAUCUAUGUUUCUUAGAUUCUGGUGUCAGAAAAUCAUGAAUUUAUUUGAUACUCCGAUGAAGCCUGAAACACUAAAAAUGUAGUUUCGGCAAGGUAAAACAAAUUACAAUGAUGAUGAAAAUUACGAUCCGAAUAUUUCUCUAGCAAACAUUCUUCUUCCUCUGUAUUGGUGACUCUCCUUCCUUCAUCUGGUUUUAUAUCUCAUCAGGGGUAAAAAACAAAAAACAAGAAAUCAAUGAGUUCAUUAUCAAAUGAUGAAACAAAAAAGUGGGUCAGUGAUUAACCAUAAUAUAAUUCAACACCAAUUGGAUGGUGCCAUUUCCAAUUGGUUUGCACUCUGUUCUCAAUAGGAUUGUUGUAUAUCAACACAAGAACUUAACAUACGUAAAGAUUCUAGUCACACCGAAUCUAGUCUUGCUGUCACCUGCUUUUCCUUUGCUCUUUGAAUUAUAAGACAUCACAUUCGUGUUUGUCAUCUUACAAACAAAGUUAUUUUUUUAAUGCUUUCAUCUUGAGAGUAAAUUAAUAUUUUUCUGAUAAAACAAUGUCUUGGGUAAAAAACAAAACUAUAAAAUAUUUUUUCCAUAAACAACAUAAUUGCCUUGGACAGAAAACAAUGAGAAAAUUGUAAAAAAAUAGACCUUGUUUUGUUAAUGUUACAAAUCUUUAGUAAACUAUAUAACCAAAACUAAUCUGAAUUGGUUACUCUUUUUUUUGCUUAAAGAUCCAUGUCUACACAAGUUACCACGAAAAAUAAACCAUAUAAUUAUAUUUAAAAAUAAAAACAAACAUAAACAACAGUAUAAAGAAAAUAUAGUAGAACCCAAGGAGAAACAAACAACAAUCAAACAAUAAAUAAUAAAUUAGAAGUUCUAAUGAUUUGUUGACCAAAAACAAGAAGUAGUAAUGAUUUAUUUGCAAUUACCUGUUAGAUCUAUUUGAAGAUAUGAUUGCAAAAUUUUGAACCAAUCACCUAUAGUUUGCAGAAUGAACUCUAGGUUCAAGGAAAACAAUAAAGAAGUUAGGUUAAUCUAUAUUUACGAACAAUAACUUAAAUAUAUCCAUAAGAACAACUUAAUAAAUAGAAACACAAAUAACUUAUACGAAAGCAACGAAUUUGAUAAAUAAAAUUACAUAGAAAAACAAAGAACACAAAUAUGAUAUCUCGAUGACCAAUCGCAUAGAGUAAAAUAGGGGGUAAAAAAUUUGAUGCAUAGUAAUUAGAACACGAUCGAGAAAAAUCACAAAUAUUUGACCGGUUAGCAUAGAAGAAUCUCGAUCGCAACAAAACGAUUAAAAAGUUAGCAUGGAAGAACAACCAACAAAACAAACUAUAUAAUUUAAACCAGAAAGGGAUAUACAAAAUAUGUAUUCGUGAAAAAGAGGUGGACGAGUUUUGUAAAAGUUGCUAAACCUUAGAAGAUGGUUGUUGUAUGUAAAAAAUAUGUAGGUGAUACGAGUAUAUAUAUAGUAUGAUAGAUGCUUUAGGGUUUAGGGUUUCGACGUCGAUGCCUUAUUACCAGAAUCGGUGGCUAUGACCGAGAAUAAAAUCGCUGGCCCAUUAUCGAAGGAAAAAAGCAAUGUCACAGGUUUUUAUACGUAAAAUUAAUGAUCGACCUAUCAGAACUAAUUAAAAUGCCACAUUUUUAUUAAUUAAUGACACAUAGGACAAUCGAUGAGAGGAUGACAUAUCAGAUUUUUGACUUCGCAAAUAAUAGUAUAGAUUACUUAAAGAGUGAAUGUCUACUAAGAACAUCUCUAACCCAACUUUAAAUUUUGAGAUUUUUUGUUUUCUUAAAUCCUUUUUAAGGUUUUGAAUAAUGAAAUUUUAAAACAUUUUUUGUCUAUUUUAGUCCUUGUAAAUUUGUACUUCUUACAAAUAAUCUUAUUGAACUUUUCUACUUUCAUUUACUCCAUAUGAUUAACAUUUGUUUAGGGGAUUUUUGGUCUUCUUGUAGGGGCAAGUCUCCUGCAAAACCGAGAAACAUGUGAAGGCCCGGAAAACACGAUGGGGUGUGUUUUACGAAGGCUCUCAAACGCUUAAGUCAGAAACCAACCAAAAAGACCACUAAGUGGCUAAUCGGAGAGCAUAAAGAGAUCGGAAAACGAGUGAAAGAAAGUGGAACGAGUGCUCCUGAAAAAGGUGAAGUCAACUCGGGCCUUUAUUGGUGAUGGGCUUUUUGAGGUGAAAAGAGAAUAAAAGAAAAGUUUGUGGGUUUAAAUUCUCUACGGUUUAGGGACCAUCGUGGAGAGGAGUAAAUAGAUGAUCGGAAAAGUGAUCGGAGAAUAUGAGAUGCUAGGGCUUGAGGGUUAUAAGUAUCUAGAGAGAUAAUAAGAACCUUAAGAUAGCUAAAAAAGUGAUCUCCUUCCUCGUUAGAAGGGACAAAGUAUUUAUAGGAUUUUACCUGACCCAGAUUAGUAUAACGGGUUGGCCCAUGGAUAGCACAUCGGGUGGGUCGAUCCAUGACCCGGCUUAACUGGGUUCGAAUCUUGUGCUUGCGUCACGCUUCUGAUGGUCUCACCAAUUUUCCUUGGCGUGUUCUGCCUUUCAAGAGACCGUUCCUUGGUGUGUCCCUUUCGUUUUCAGUGUACUGGCUGGUUCGGCAGUUCAGGCGCGGUAUAACUCUCGCUGAUCCUCUGUUUUUUCCUCUGGCUGUUGCGAAAGGUCACUAUCACCUGACAUGUGUAAGCAAGAUGCAUUAAAUGCCAAUCUCGUGGGUUAUAAGGGUAUGGGUGAUCAGAUCAGACUAAAGCAUAUUCCUAUUGUCGAAUUGAGAGAAAUUUGGAUAGUGUUUUCCGCUUAUGGAUUUACUCAUACCUGGUCUGGAUCCCUUGAUACUGGGACCGGGCUGCCGAGGUUGCUUGAAUGGUUCCGCUCUCUGUGUACCUGUGCGGAUCACCUUUCCUUAUAUCCUGACCCUUCCGGAUCAACGACUUUAGAUCUAGGACACAGAGAAUGUGACCUCUCCUCCUCCUAAAUGCUCAGUUUCCGACAUCCUUGUGCCUGACAGCGUAGGCUACGCUGUCAGACUCGAGGCCCACCUAAAAAAAACCAUGGAUGCCACGUGCAAGCACGUGAUUCGUCCAUGUAGGAAUGAUCAAAUUUAUCCUAAACAAGAGUUCAACUAUAUAAUUAUCAAUUUGAUUAUAUCAUAUGAAUAUGAAUAGACUAAAAAUAAAAUAAAAUUAUUAAUAUAGAAAAUAUUAUACAAUGCUUAAAAUUAAUAACAUUAUACAGUAUUGAGAAACUUAAACACAAAUUUAAAGUUACACUACAAUAAUCAAUAUUUUACAUGAAAGUGGAAUUUCUUGAAGACAUAAAUAUUACACAAAUUAGAAUUUGUACUAUAAUAUUAAUAAUCCAGUAAUCAGAUUUAUAAUUUCAUGUAAUAUGAUCUAUGAAUAUGGCAUGCUUAUUUUGGUAUGUAUGGCAGCAGCAACAACAUUAAUGUUUCGGUUGAUCAUACAUGAAAGCAUUAUGAAAAAGAGUUUUUAUUGAGCAAUUUGUUAUUUUAUACGUAAUUUUAUUAUUUAAAUUGUAUUUUAUUUUUAUUUAUAUUGAAUUUUAUAAUACUUUAUUUAUUAGUAUUUUAUGUAAUAUUUUAUUUAGUGUAUGUUAUAUACAUAUAUAUAUAUAUAUAUUUAUGAAAUUUUAUCAUUCUAAUCAAUUAUUAUUUUUUGUUGAGGACUGUAAUGCAGUUUAAAAAUUAUCUUGAUUUGAGGUUUUAUCAUUUGAGCAAUUGAUAACACCGUAUUUUGACCACUUUUAUGGAUCAUAAUUAUAUCUUAUGCAGGUGUUUUAACUCUGUUUUCAAAGGUUUUUAAAGUGUUUUCAAUGUUUUAGAGUUUCAAAAGACUUUACAGGAAACUUGGGCAAAAUAUAUGCAAUUUAGAACAAAUGAGCAAUUUUGGAUAAAUGCAGACCUUCAGAAGUAUAACAAGCGAUGAAGACCUUCUCACCAUCUGAUCACCCCCAAAAUUUGAGAAACCAUAGAGGAUCCAACCAGCUUUCUAAUGCACUUGGUUUGGAGACAAUCCAACGGUUAGAUCUUCAGAUACUCCCGAUGCAAAAAUGACAGAAAAUGCAGUUCCGGAAGAGAGCAUGUGCCGGAACCGCGGCCAACACCCAUUUUCCCGCGGGUAGAGCCACCGCGACCGCGGACUUUGGUCGUUCACUUUCCCGACAACUUAAUUAAAGCCCAGAUCAAUUCCUCUCGUUAUUUUUGAAGCCCUAAGUGUCCAGAAUCACCCUAGAAGCUAUAAAUAUCCCCUUUAGGUCAUUCUAAAGAGGAGAGACCGAAACUAAUAGACAAAGGAGAGAGAGAGAGUUCGUGUGGAACCCUAAAGUGGAGGCCGCCGUUUUAAGGAGGAGGAACCGCCGCUGGAGAGCAUCAUCGCGCCUCCGUCGUCGCCUCCGUUCCUCGUUCUUCUUCCUUUUUUUUUAAUUUCCUGCACUUUCAAUACUCUGUGAUGAUUGUUUACAAUAUGUUUGAGUAGUUACCCAGUUGGGUUUAAUGGGAUUGUUCAAAGGGAAUUUCAUGUGUCUUUGCUUAUGAAUCGAUAGAUUUAGGAUUAUUAAUCUUCUAGAUGUUCUUCGUUUGCCUUUAAUCUUACUGCGUGAUUCUUUGCUGGCCACUUAGAAGCCAAUCUGAUAUGAUAUGUUGCGAAAGCUUUCAUUGAUUGUCUGAACUAGGGUGAAACGAGCAAUUCUUCUACAGGAGUGGAAACCUACCUGUAGUUGAGUUGUGAAUGUUGAUGAGUCUUGUUCUGCUAUUGCAUCUUCUCCCUUCCAGGAUCAGAGUGGAAACCAACUGAUCAGGGUUGCGAGAGAUAAUUGUUUAGUGCUGCGAAAGUAGGCUAUUCAUACUUCCGUGCCUCGAGUUCUAGAACAUACGUAGUUGAUUACCUUUAUCACUUGUUUAAAAUUGACAUAUCUUAGUCCAUGAACCCCUGCGAAACCCCUUGAUGCCCAACGUUUGUCUUUCAUUGCUUACAACCUUCGAUUUUAUUUGCUUUUCAUUCGCUUAUUACCUGCUUUCAUUCGCCCUUGGUUUAAUCGCUUUUUACUUGUUUUACUUGCUUUCGUUUUUCAAUUGCUUUUUACUUGCUUUCUAAUUUAGAUUUAGUGACAAUCAAAACACAAAACCAAAACCUAACCUGUUUAGUUCUAAUCUGAUUUAAGCGUUGCAGUGAAUUCGUACUGAAACAACUAAGUCUUUGUGGAUCGAUACCCUAAGUACUACGGCGCACAUAUGUGCACUUGCAGACAUUUAGGGGUUAUAAAUUUAAAACCUGAAGCUUAGUAGAACGAAAAACAACAAACCCCGUUUUUGCUCUCAAUCAAGUUUUUGGCGCCGUUGCCGGGGACUUUGAUUUGUUUCGUUGCGAAUCCCAGCUUAAAUCCAUUAGAACACUUGUUUAUUUUUACUUGUUCUUUUGAAUUUUUCAGGUUUCUCUACAAUGAGAGACCGGGAACAUGUUCCCGGAACUCUUGGUGAUCCACCAUAUCGUGUGGAUGGUGAUCCGAUCGAUGAUGAUGACCUGACUGAUGAUGAGUUUGACGAACCGAUUUAUGAUGACAAUGAGCUAAUCGGAUCGGUCAAACACAAAGAUGAUGAUGAACUGAUUGGAAGUUUCGAUUCACUCGAAAAGUUCAUGGGAGAUCGAAGAGCUAUUCAACCAGCCUUACCUGAGGAUGGCAAAACCGAAAUUAAGGUACCCCAUAUCCAUUUAGUUCAACAAAAUCAAUUUUCUGGUUAUUUAUUCGAAAACCCGAUAAACCAUAUCGAGACUUUCGAAGAAUUAUGUGCAACCAUUACAGCAAAUGGGGAUUACCACAAGUGUAGUCUUUUCCCAUUCUCUCUUAGAGAUAAUGCCAGCAAAUGGCUAAAAUAUUUGCCACCUGCUUCACUAAAAACGUGGGCAGCGUGUAGAACUGCUUUCCUAAAUCAUUUUUACACUAGAAAUCGUUCAAAUCUCUUAAGAAAGAAGAUAAGAACUUAUAAACAAAAAGAAGAUGAAGAUCUUUUAGAUACUUGGGAAAGAUUUAGGGAAUACCAAAGAGAUUGUCCACACCAUGGAUAUACCGAGGAAUACCUGCUGGGUAUCUUCUAUCGCGGUAUAACUCCAGAGUUACGACACUCUUUCGACAUAGCAAGUAAUGGAGAUUUCACAACUAGAUCUGUAGAAGAUGCUCACGUUUUCAUUAAAAAUUUAGGAAACAACAUCCGAAAUCAAACAACCUUUGGUAAUUCUGCACUUCCUGAGAAGAAAGAAGAAAUUUCGGAAGUUAUAAAGUGUCUCCGUCACAUAAUGAGUCAUCUUGGAUUGCAACAACCAAAUAGGGUACACAAUACGUGUAACUUUGAUGGCUGGGACAACCCAAUGGAUUCUUAUGGUCAAGGGAUGGUUAACACUGCAGAAGUCUAUCAAAUUCAAGAUUUUCCAUUCGUUUCUGAUCACCGCGGGUCCAUUCAUCCGGACCGCGGCCAAGCAAGGUUUCACCGCGGUCGUGGCUGUUCUGACCUUGGCCAAGACAUGUUUCACCGCGGUCGCGAGCCUUCUGACCGCGGGAAACUGUCUUCCAAGCUUAACUGGACACCACCUUCCGAACCAAUCUUGGCUAUUCAAUCUAAUCAUGUUCCCUAUCCUAGUUUUCCCUCUUCUGAAGCUGAAAACCUAAACAAAAAGAAUUUAGAGCUUGAAAAAUCUAGGUCUCAAGAGAUUAGUGAUCUUAGAUCUGAACUAAAAACGAUGCAAGAGGAUUUUGAUGAAAAAUUUUCCACCCUCCUCAGCCUGAUGAUCAAAACCAAUUCUAAAAAUUUAGAUAAACCUGAGGAGGAACCUAGUGAAAAUUCUUUCGAAAGUUCAAGUGAAGCAGAUCCCUCCGAUGAUGUGAAAGCUAUCACACUUAGGAGUGGAUUAGCUUACAAAGAGCCUGAAUUUCCUAAAGAUCCCGAAGAUGAGGAAAAGGGUAAGGAAAAGGAGAAAGAAAAAGAAAGAAUCACGAAUGAAGAUGUUGAAAGAGAAGUGGUAGGAGAGAAGGAUGGAGAAGAAGUAAGAAAACAUUCAUCCCGGGAAAUUCUCGGCGAAGACCCGAUUCCACCUCCACCAACUCAUGUCUAUAAACCUAAACCUCCAUAUCCUAGAGCCUUAAAAGCCCCUAAGAAAGAGAAAGAAAAAGCUAAGCUGAAAGAGUUAAUCGAUCAAUUAAAUGUGAGAUUACCUUUCGUAGAAGCUUGUGCUAUGAUUCCUGCUUUAAGAAAAUACAUGAAGGGUAUUUUAACAAACUCAACUCUUGAAGAAGGCUUUAUGAUGAUAACCCAUGAAUGUAGUUCUAUCCUGCAAAGCCGAAUCCCUGAAAAGAAAAACGAUCCUGGAAGCUUCGUACUUUCAUGCACCAUCAAUGAUGUAGCUUUUGAACAUGCUCUCUGUGAUUUAGGUUCUAGCAUAAACAUGAUGCCUCUUUCAGUAGCAAAACGUUUAGGACAUCACACUUUCAAGCCUACUAAAAUUUCUUUAGUACUAGCUGAUCGUUCUGUUAGACAACCCGUAGGUAUCCUAAUAGAUGUUUCUGUAGAAAUCGAAAAAUGUUCCAUACCCACCGAUUUUGUAGUUCUAAAACUAGAAAGAGAACCUAAGGAUCCACUUAUUCUUGGAAGACCAUUCUUAUCUACAGCCGGAGCCAUAAUCAAUGUUCCUGAAGGAAAAAUUGACCUUUAUCUAGCCGGUUUAGUUAUGCAAUUUGACAUGAACAAAAGUUUCGAUAAACCAACUUUGGAUGGCAAAAUUUGUUGGGUUGAUGAGUUAGACGGAAUUAUUGAGGAAGUCUAUGAAGAUCUGCUUCUAGACGACCCUUUAAGUGUCACGCUUUCACCCGCAAAAGACGAACGCAAUUUCCUUGAAGAAAUUUCGAGUGAGUGCGCACGUAUGCUUGAUAAAUCCGAAACUUAUAGGAAACCUCUAAACUAUCUAGAUCUUAAGGACCAAACAGACAUUCCUACAGCUCCUAAAGACACUGCUGCAGCAAUUAAUGAUCCUUGGAGCGAGCUUAAAGCCCCUAAAGUCGAGCUUAAAUGAUAUGAUCGUGACCAGCUUAGAGGAGGAGGAACCAGAGGUAGCUGGCAGGAUCACUCGUUCCAGAGCUAGAGAGAUGGCUAAGGAGGCUCACGCACUCAUUGCCACAGAGGACAGCGAUCACCAGGAGGCUGGAGCUCACAUCUUCAACAUCUCUAUCUUGAAGAAUGAGGAACCCAGUAACAAUGACUAGGUAACUUAGGUGAUGGUUCUGUACUCUUUUCCUUGGUGAAGAUUUUGGAAGGCAAGGAGGUUCUUCUCCAAGGUUUUUAACGAGGCAGAAAUCAUUGCUACGUCGAGUUACUUAGAAGUUGUUACUAAUGGGUAAUAACGUGCAAAGUCACAAUGACUUGUGCACUAGUUGUUUUAGGCGCACCACUUAGGUUUAGAAGGGACGCCUCGCUGUUUUAUUUUUAAAUUAAACUUCUUGUUGUUUUAUUUCAAACUCCAUGUUGUUUUGUUAUUAGGGCUGCGAUUUUCUCUCUUAGUCUAUAAAAAAGAGAAAAUCGCCUAAGUCAUAUUCAGUGAAGAAUUUUGAUCAAACUUUUAACGUGUUCUUCUCUCUUUUUGAUUUCUGAGAACUAAAAACUCUGAAAUUCGAAUAUCUUAAAAACUAAUCUGUUUACAAGAGAUUCUUCUAUCUUAUCAUCUCACCAUCAUCACCAUCGAUCCGCCGAGCCACCAUCAUCUCCAUCGAUCCGCCACACCACCAUCGCACAUCCACGAUUCGAUCUGCCGAGUCUCCACCAUCAUCUCUCAUCGUCGCGAGCCAUCCUCGUAUCACUACCACCAUCCUUUUCGCUUCAUCGUUUCAGUCUAUCCACCAUAUCGCCGCAUCCAUUGUUCUUUGCUUCAUAGUAGAUCACCUUGGAUCGUAUCACGUGGUAUCAGAGCCAACUCUGAACCAAAGGCUGAGCGAAACUCUAACCCUAAUCUCUGUGCUUUGAAUUUUCGUCUCUGUGAUAUUAGGGUUAGCGAGUUUUGUGACUAUGUGCAUCGAUUUGAUUCCUUUUGUUUCAUAUCAUCGCAUCGUUCCCUCUUGUUUUGUGUUUAGGAUCGAUCGCUGUUAGGAUUCCUGUUAGAUCGUGUUCGUCUCAAGUUUAUUUCGAGUCUGAUUGUUUUUUUUCGAGUCUGCUCAUUCAUUGUUUUCGUUCGGAUCGAUACGAGUCUGCGUGUAGUCGUGUUCUUAGGGUUUGUUAAGAGUCUGCGCGACUUCGUUAGGUUUGUUAGGGUUUCGUGAUCUCGUAACUCGUUUGUUAGUGUGUUAGGGAUCCGUUAGUCUUCGAUUUUUGUUGUUAGGCCUCGUUUUUCAUCGUUUCGUUAAAUUUCAUUAGUUUCGUUAAGUUUGUUUUUAGAUUUCGUGGGGAUCUUUUAAUUUUUUUUUAUGAUGCGUUUAGUUUUGCUGUUUUUGUGAUUUCUUCUAGAACAAGUUACUGCGAGUUUUUUUUUAAAAAAUUUUCAGGUACCAUGGAGCUUUCGGCUGAGGCGAUGGAAGCUCUGAACCGAGCAAUGUCUCAACAAAUUAAAGAAGCGAAUCAGGCCAUAGCAACUCAGCUCACACAACAAAUCGAACAACUCAAUGACAAGUUCGAGACGAAAAUGACUGAUCUGCUCAAAGACCUCAGUGCAAGUGGAGAAGAGUCGUCUCAAACUCCAACUCCUUCGGAAGCAAUGCGCUUAGCAAAGGGUAAAGGGCACAUAGGAUCUUCCCGGAAACUUCCACGCCACCCAACACCUUCCGAAGCCAGGACUAAAGCUAAGUCCAGUCGAAGCCAGAUUGGGGGCAGAGAGACUACGUUUAAUCCGAGGAGGGAUCCUACUGGUGCAGAACGAGAUGGCCCAAGGGUAGAUCGUCAGCACCGCCGAGAGGAAUAUAUUGCUGGGCAUCGAGUUACCCUGGAAUCAGAUCCAGAAUACUAUGAGGAGGACGAAGCUUCUGAUCAUAGCAGAGAAACUGUGAGACGAGAUCGAGGCCGAGGACAUGCACGAGAUUAUGAUCCUCUACGUCAGCAGCUGCGUCAUAUCAAAAUCCAGUAUCCUCCUUUCCAUGGAACCAAUGAUCCCGAAGCUUAUCUAGAUUGGGAAAGGAAGAUGGAGUCUAAUUUUCUGGUCCAAGGAACUUAUGAGCUCAACAAGGUGAAGAUUGCAGUUUCAGAAUUUCAUGGGUAUGCGCUUCUAUGGUGGGAGCAGUUGGGAGUCACCAGAAAUCGCCUGAGGGAACUUCCGAUUACUACUUGGGAUCAGCUUGUUAUACAGAUGAGGAAGCGGUUCGUUCCAGCCCAUCAUCAGCGCGAGAUACUCAACAGGCUUAGGCGCCUUGUCCAAGGUACGAAGUCUGUUCGAGAUUAUUAUCAAAAAUUGGAAACCUUGCUCAUUCGUGCAGAUUUACGAGAAGGCGAAGAGAUGGUAAUGUCGAGAUUUCUUGGAGGACUUAACCGAGAAAUUCAAGACAAGGUGGAACUUCAGGAUUUCGCAGAUAUACAAGAGAUGGUGCAUAAGGCUGAAUUGGUGGAAUCUCAAGUUAAGAGGCGAAAUUUCAAGUCCACAUUCACGCCUAGUGUGCCUAAGCCUAAGGAGAUCAGCAAGCCAGCUUACUCCAGAGACAUCAAACCGCCAUCUACUGGAGUUAAAGAAGAAGCUAAAGCUGAGUUCAAGCCUCGAGGUGGCACUUCUAUCAGCAAUGUGAGGUGUUUCAAAUGUCAAGGAAUGGGACAUUACUCUCAAGAUUGCCCAAACAAGAAGGUUUUCUUGUUACAUGAGGGAGGAGAGAUAGUUCCUCAAGAGGAUUCAGAGGCCGAAUAUGAAUUAGAGGAAGAGGAAGAAGCUGCUGCUGUGGGCGAGAUGCUGGUUGCCAGAAGGACUUUGAGUGUUCAGAGUCAACCUGAAGAGACUUGUCAGCGAGAGAACCUGUUCCAUACGAGAUGCUUCAUUCAAGGAAAAGUUUGUAGCCUGAUCAUAGAUGGAGGAAGUUGUACUAAUGCUGCAAGCGAAGAGAUGGUUAAGAAGCUCCAGCUCAGGACUAUUCCUCAUCCAAGGCCGUAUAAGCUUCAGUGGUUGAAUGACAGUGGAGCCUUGACCGUAUCUCAGCAAGUGAUGGUUUCUCUAUCCAUUGGGAAGUAUGAAGAUGAGAUUCUAUGUGACGUCAUUCCCAUGGGUUCGAGUCAUGUGUUGCUAGGCAGACCGUGGCAAUCAGAUCGUAGGGUGAUACACGACGGUUACACCAACAAGCACUCAUUCGAGUUCAAAGGUCGCAAUUACCCUCCUACCUCUCACGCCUACCGAGAUUUAUCAAGAUCAAGUUCAAAUGAAGCUCAAGGAGAAGGAGAAAGUCGCCAACAGCCUCUACAUAAACCACAGUGAAUUUUCUAAACUCUUUGAUCCUGAAAUGACUACUUUUAUGUUUGUGUACAAGGAAUCCCUUGUUAGUACUAACCCUUCACAGGAGCUUCCUAGUGCUAUGUUUGAGAUUUUGCAGGAAUACAAGGACGUUUUUCCAGUAGAAAUUCCACCAGGGCUACCUCCAAUUCGCGGGAUAGAGCAUCAGAUUGACUUGGUACCAGGAUCAGCCUUACCUAACAGGCCAGCAUACCGAACCAACCCUGUAGAGACUAAGGAGCUGCAAAAGCAAGUGGAAGAGCUGAUGAGCAAAGGCCAUAUCCGAGAAAGCUUGAGUCCAUGUGCGGUUCCAGUUCUGUUGGUGCCAAAGAAGGAUGGUUCCUGGAGGAUGUGUGUAGACUGCCGAGCUAUCAACAACAUCACUGUGAAGUAUCGGCAUCCGAUCCCAAGGCUAGAUGAUAUGCUGGAUGAGCUCUGUGGGUCGACAAUCUUCUCUAAGAUCGACUUGAAGAGUGGAUAUCAUCAGAUCAGAAUGAAGGAAGGGGAUGAGUGGAAGACGGCAUUCAAGACAAAGCAGGGACUCUACGAGUGGCUAGUUAUGCCGUUUGGUCUCACCAAUGCUCCCAGCACCUUCAUGAGACUAAUGAACCAUGCCCUGAGACCAUUCAUUGGCGUGUUCGUAGUGGUUUAUUUCGACGAUAUCCUCAUCUACAGUAAAGGUUUGGAAGAACAUCUAGAUCACAUCAGAUCGGUUCUUGAUGUUCUUCGCUCUCAAUCUCUCUUUGCUAAUUUAUCUAAAUGUUCAUUCUGCACUAAUGAGAUUGUUUUCUUAGGCUUUGUAGUAAGUGCAGGAGGAGUUAAAGUAGAUGAAGAGAAGAUAAAAGCUAUCAAGGAGUGGCCAACCCCCAAGAAUAUUGGAGAAGUCCGAAGUUUCCAUGGCUUAGCAGGAUUCUACAGGCGUUUUGUUCGUGAUUUCAGCACCAUAGCCGCGCCUUUAACCGAAGUAAUCAAGAAAGACGUGGGGUUCAAGUGGGGAGAGGCGCAAGAACAGGCUUUUACCGCCCUUAAAGAGAAGCUUAUCAAUUCGCCCUUACUAGUACUUCCUGAUUUUACUAAGACUUUUGAGAUUGAAUGCGAUGCUUCUGGUGUAGGUAUUGGAGCAGUUCUUAUGCAGGAUAAGAAGCCCGUCGCUUACUUCAGCGAAAAGUUAGGAGGAUCAACGUUGAAUUAUCCCACGUAUGACAAGGAGUUAUACGCAUUGGUUCGAGCUCUCCAGACGUGGCAGCAUUACCUAUGGCCUAAGGAAUUCGUCAUUCAUACCGAUCACGAGUCCUUAAAGCACCUCAAGGGUCAGCAGAAGCUUAACAAAAGACAUGGGCGAUGGAUGGAGUUCAUUGAGACAUUCCCCUACAUUGUUAAGUACAAAAAAGGUAAAGAUAAUGUGGUCGCAGACGCAUUAUCCCGGAGGUACACUCUUGUUUCGACUUUAACAUCAAAGUUGAUUGGAUUUGAGCAUAUUAUAGAUCUUUAUGAAUCUGAUACUGACUUUUCUGAGAGCUAUGCCAAAUGUCAUAAGUUUGCCUGUGAGAAAUUUUAUAGACAGGAUGGAUACUUGUUCUUCAGUAACCGAUUGUGCAUACCACGAGGAUCCAUUCGAGAGUUAUUGGUACGAGAAGCUCAUGGAGGUGGAUUAGCUGGACAUUUCGGUGUCACAAAGACACUUCUUGGGCUACAAGAGCACUUCUACUGGCCGAACAUGAAGAAGGACGUUGAGAAAAUCUGCUCUAGAUGUGUCGUAUGUAAGAUGGCCAAGAGUAAAGCUCAACCUCAAGGUUUGUAUACUCCUUUGCCUAUUCCUUCUCAACCUUGGACUAAUAUCUCUAUGGAUUUUGUAGUUGGCUUACCUCGCACCAGAAAUGGUAGAGAUUCUAUUUUUGUAGUUGUUGACAGGUUUAGCAAGAUGGCUCACUUCAUCGCUAGCCACAAGACAGAUGAUGCUGUGAAUGUAGCUAACUUGUUUUUCAGGGAAGUAGUACGACUGCAUGGAAUGCCACAGGUUAUCGUUUCAGAUCGAGACACGAAGUUCUUAGGACACUUUUGGCGAACGCUUUGGGCUAAGCUGGGAACAAAGCUCUCAUUCUCAACUACGUGUCAUCCUCAGACCGAUGGACAGACCGAGGUGGUGAAUAGAACGUUGUCCACACUUCUAAGGACUUUGGUGAAAAGUAACCUCAAGACAUGGGAAGAGUGCCUGCCUCAUGUCGAGUUUGCUUACAAUCACGCUAAGCAUUCUGCUACUCUCUUUUCUCCUUUUGAAAUUGUAUAUGGGUUUAAUCCACAAUCACCUCUAGACUUGAUCCCUUUGCCUUUAAGUGGAAAAUGCAGUUUAAAUGGCAAGGAGAAAGCUGAACAGGUCAGAAGAAUUCAUGCUAAGGCUAAGGAGAAUAUCGAGAAAAAGACAAAGCAGUAUGAGAAGCAUGCCAACAAAGGACGAAAGGAGCUGAUUUUUGAAGAAGGCGAUCUGGUGUGGAUCCAUCUGAGGAAGGAGCGAUUUCCAGCUGAACGAAAGAACAAGCUAAUGCCCAGAGUGGAUGGACCAUUCGCAGUCAUCAAAAGAAUCAACAACAACGCAUAUCAGAUUGAUCUUCAAGGUAAGUAUGACGUUUCUGAUGCUUUCAAUGUUUCUGACUUGCUUCCUUAUGUUGAAGAUUCAGAUUUGAGGACAAAUCCUUUUCAAGAGGGAGAGGAUGAUAUGAUCGUGACCAGCUCAGAGGAGGAGGAACCAGAGGUAGCUGGCAGGAUCACUCGUUCCAGAGCUAGAGAGAUGGCUAAGGAGGCUCACGCACUCAUUGCCACAGAGGACAGCGAUCACCAGGAGGCUGGAGCUCACAUCUUCAACAUCUCUAUCUUGAAGAAUGAGGAACCCAGUAACAAUGACUAGGUAACUUAGGUGAUGGUUCUGUACUCUUUUCCUUGGUGAAGAUUUUGGAAGGCAAGGAGGUUCUUCUCCAAGGUUUUUAACGAGGCAGAAAUCAUUGCUACGUCGAGUUACUUAGAAGUUGUUACUAAUGGGUAAUAACGUGCAAAGUCACAAUGACUUGUGCACUAGUUGUUUUAGGCGCACCACUUAGGUUUAGAAGGGACGCCUCACUGUUUUAUUUUUAAAUUAAACUUCUUGUUGUUUUAUUUCAAACUCCAUGUUGUUUUGUUAUUAGGGCUGCGAUUUUCUCUCUUAGUCUAUAAAAAAGAGAAAAUCGCCUAAGUCAUAUUCAGUGAAGAAUUUUGAUCAAACUUUUAACGUGUUCUUCUCUCUUUUUGAUUUCUGAGAACUAAAAACUCUGAAAUUCGAAUCUCUUAAAAACUAAUCUGUUUACAAGAGAUUCUUCUAUCUUAUCAUCUCACCAUCAUCACCAUCGAUCCGCCGAGCCACCAUCAUCUCCAUCGAUCCGCCACACCACCAUCGCACAUCCACGAUUCGAUCUGCCGAGUCUCCACCAUCAUCUCUCAUCGUCGCGAGCCAUCCUCGUAUCACUACCACCAUCCUUUUCGCUUCAUCGUUUCAGUCUAUCCACCAUAUCGCCGCAUCCAUUGUUCUUUUCUUCAGAGUAGAUCACCUUGGAUCGUAUCAUUAAACCUCUUCCCGUUGGACUUAAGUACGCUUUACUUGGACCAAAUUCUACUUAUCCUGUCAAAAUAAACUCUGAUUUGACGGAAGAAGAAACCACAAUGCUGUUGACUGAGCUGAGAAAGCAUAGAAAAGCCUUAGGAUAUUCACUUGAUGACAUACCUAGAAUCUCUCCAGAUCUUUGUAUGCACAAGAUUAAUCUAGAGGAUAAUGCUAAAAACUCAAUCGAAAGUCAAAGGAGACUGAACCCUAAUCUCAUGGAUGUUGUCAAGAAGGAGAUUAUGAAGCUUUUAGAAGCUGGAAUAUUCUUUCCUAUCUCAGAUAGCACUUGGGUUAGCCCAGUUCAUGUUGUUCCGAAGAAAGGAGGAGUCACUGUCAUUAAAAAUGAUAAGGAUGAAAUGAUCGCUACAAGAACAGUAACUGGACAUCGUAUGUGCAUCGAUUACCGGAAACUGAAUGCAGCAACUAGGAAAGAUCAUUUUCCACUUCCCUUCAUAGAUCAAAUGCUAGAAAGAUUAGCUAAUCACCAUUACUAUUGCUUUCUUGAUGGAUACUCCGGAUUUUUCCAAAUUCCUAUUCGCCCGGAGGAUCAAGAAAAAACGACAUUCACUUGUCCAUAUGGCACGUUCGCUUACAGACGUAUGCCUUUUGGAUUGUGUAAUGCACCUGCUACCUUCCAGCGGUGCAUGAUGUCGAUCUUCACAGAUUUUAUUGAGGAUUUCAUGGAAGUAUUCAUGGACGAUUUCUCUGUCUAUGGAUCUUCCUUUGAAAAAUGCUUAGCCAACCUUGGUAAAGUUCUGCAAAGAUGUGAAGAUAAGCACUUAGUAUUAAAUUGGGAAAAAUGUCACUUCAUGGUACGAGACGGAAUCAUGCUUGGGCACAGAAUUUCGGGAAAAGGAAUUGAAGUUGACAAAGCUAAAAUCGAGGUCAUGACCAGCCUACAACCUCCCACAAACGUAAAAGGCAUCCGUAGUUUCUUAGGACACGCAGGAUUCUAUAGGCGAUUCAUAAAAAAAAAUUCUCAAAUAGCUAGACCUCUUACGCGUUUGCUUUGCAAGGAAACGAACUUCAAGUUCGAUGAUGAGUGCUUAGCUGCGUUUCAUAAGAUCAAACAAGCCCUUGUCUCCGCGCCAGUCGUGCAAGCACCUGAUUGGGAACUCCCAUUCGAAAUCAUGUGCGAUGCAAGUGACUAUGCAGUCGGAGCAGUGCUUGGCCAACGAAAAUAUAAGAAACUGCACGUAAUCUACUACGCAAGCAGAACUCUAGAUGAAGCUCAAUACAAUUAUGCAACAACAGAGAAAUAACUUCUAGCUGUCGUAUUUGCAUUUGAGAAAUUCCGUUCUUAUCUCGUAGGAUCUAAGGUUAUAGUUCAUACUGAUCAUGCUGCAAUCAAGUAUUUAAUGUCUAAGAAAGACGCUAAACCUCGGUUGAUAAGAUGGAUCCUCCUACUGCAAGAAUUCGAUAUCGAAAUUCGAGAUCGGAAAGGAGCAGAUAAUGGAGUUGCAGACCAUCUUUCAGGAAUUCGAGUUGAAGAAAGAUUGCCCUUAAAUGACAGUUUGCCAGAAGAAAAUAUCUAUGCAAUAGAUACUACCCCCACCAAUACCGCACCACCACGUCCACUAAUGCGACGAGCAGAUGCUUUCAACACCCCAUGGUUUAGGCACAUAGGAAAUUACCUAGCAGCUGAUGUAGAACCACCACAAUUCUUUGGGUAUAGAAAGAAAAAGUUUCUGAAAGACGUUAGACAUUAUUUUUGGGAUGAACCCUAUCUCUACAAGAGAUGUGCUGAUGGGUUAUUCCGAAGAUGCGUGGCUGAAGAAGAGAUGGAAGGAAUUUUAUUCGGAUGCCAUAGCUCGUCUUACGCAGGACAUUUCGCAACCUUCAAAACCGCUUCAAAGAUCUUACAAGCAUGUUUUUGGUGGCCUACUUUAUUCAAAGAUACUCAAGUUUAUAUAUCGCGAUGCGAUAAAUGCCAAAGAAUGGGCAACAUAAGCAAAAAGAAUGAGAUGCCUCAAAAUUUUAUUCUCGAAGUCGAAAUUUUCGAUGUCUGGGGAAUAGAUUUUAUGGGACCCUUUCCUACUUCUUUUGGAAACCAAUACAUCUUAGCAGCAGUAGACUACGUCUCUAAGUGGGUUGAAGCAGUCGCUAGUCCCACCAAUGAUGCAAAAGUUAUCAUGAAGCUGUUUAAAUCUGUUAUAUUCCCGCGUUUAGGAGUUCCUAGAAUAGUGAUAAGCGACGGAGGAUCGCACUUCAUCAACAGAGUUUUCGAGAAUCUUCUUAGAAAGAAUGGAGUUACACAUAAAGUUGCUACUCCAUACCAUCCCCAAACCAGCGGUCAAGUAGAAAUCUCAAACAGAGAAAUCAAGUCGAUUUUGCAGAAAACUACUGCAGUUCAUCGCAAGGAUUGGUCUACAAAGCUUGACAAUGCAUUAUGGGCAUAUCAAACAGCAUUCAAGACACCAUUAGGAACAACACCAUUCAAUCUAGUUUACGGAAAAGCAUGUCACCUUCUAGUAGAACUCGAGUAUAAGGCGCAAUGGGCUAUCAAGGAGAUGAACAUGAAUCUGAAAACAGCUGGAGAAAGAAGACUACUUCAACUUCAUGAGUUAGAAGAAAUUCGACACAAUGCUUACGAAAACUCGAAGAUCUACAAGGAGAAGACUAAAGCAUAUCAUGAUAAGAAGAUUAUUCAUAGAACUUUUGCUCCUAACGAUAAAGUUCUUCUUUUCAAUUCUCGUCUUAAGCUUUUUCCAGGAAAAUUACGUUCAAGAUGGUCAGGACCCUUCACGAUAAAGGAAGUCAAGCCAUACGGAGCCAUUGUCCUGUGGGACAGAACCGGAAACUCAUUCACAGUGAAUGGACAGCGUGUAAAGCCAUAUCUGGCUGAAGAAAGAGAAGACGAAAGAGAAGUGAUGUUUUUGAUUGAUCCAUCAUCGGCCAAUGAUGAGAUCAAGGAAUGUCACGACCCCGGUUAAGUCUAAUCGAGCAACAAUGUCAAGCUAAUGACUUGAAACAAGCGCUUAGUGGGAGGCAACCCACUCGGUAUUUUAUCUAUUUCCCUUUGACUUUUAUUUUCUAUUUCCAUUGCUUUGUGUUUGUUUCAUUUAAUUUCAGGUUUUCAAUAAGGAAGAAUAAAUACAAAAGACGAGCAGCACUUUCCAGCACGAUAAGUUCACUUAAACAUUUCAACUUUUCUAUUUUCUUUACCAUUCUUUCCAAGAUUUAUCACACUGAGGACAGUGUAAAAUAAGUUUGGGGGAGGAUGUUCAUCCGUUACUAAUGAAAUUUGAUUUGUUAUGAGUUUGUUUUGGACACAUAAAAUUUUUCAAAAAAGUUUUUCAAAAUGUUUUUCAUAAAAUUUUUCAAAAAUCGUUUUUAAAAUGUUUUCAAAAAGUUUUCAAACCAAGAACACAAUAAACAAUACUAUGAUGAAUUAGACCAGUGUGCUUCUACGCUAUUUCCUCGUUUUUUUGCUCUUUUGUGAUUUAGGCCUAGACUAGGCGGUAGCUAGAAUACUUGCAUUACGAACUCCCACCAGAGGAUUUCUAUUCAUGGAGAUUAUUUCUGACAGGAUAUACUAGCUCAUUUUAUCUGGACUUAAUUUUGACUUAAUUUUCUCAUUGAAGCAUUAGAUCAGGGAAACGAAUCAUACAUUCAGGACUCCUUUACCCUUUUACCACUCUUUGUUGAUCCUGAAUGGCUAGUUUAUCUUUAACUAGUUCCCCACAGAACCUAACCUCUUUCAAACCACAUGCAUUCUUGUUUUUCAUUGUUCUAUAUGCAGAUAUGUGCAAAAACGUCGGAGAGAAAGAGGAUCAACGCGGUUUUCAGUCACUGAAGACGGAGACCUGCGAUUUCAUUGGAAUGAUUCAACAAAAGGAAAUAAUUCAGUUUGCCUUGGAAAAACUUCAAAAUCUUGGUACAAUUUCGUCUCUUACACUCUCUCUUUAUAAAAGGUUAUUUCCUCUUUCAAAAAAAAAAAAAAAAAAAAAUCCGAAAAAGAAAAGAAAAAUAUGAAGGGAGUGGAAAUUAAAACCUUAGAGAGUCUAGGAGGAUCGAAUUUUAUACUUGAGGUAAGCUUGAUCUGAUUAUAUGGAGUUUUGGAGAUUAUCUUUAUGAUUCCCGCAAAAGAUCUAAGUCUAGGGGAAUAGCUGUUUACAACAAAGGAGGAAGAUUAUGCAGCAACAUUUGGCAAAGGAGAAGUGACUGAAAAUCUGCGGUCAUCAACAGGUCCUUCUCUCUCUUGCGGUUUUGCAUAAUAUCUUGCAUCCUCCAUAUUCUUCAGGUAACCCUAAACACCUAAGCUCCACCACUUAAAUAGCCUUAAUGCCAAAUGCCGUCUACCCUGAAUAAUGUCUUUGAUGAGAAUUCACUACUAUACUUAAUGAAUGUAGAGAGCUAGUUGACUGGAAGUUAGAUCUAAGUGUGUAGAUUUUCGCAUGACGGAUUAACAGACUAGUUUGCUUGUAUUUUGGUGAGUUCCUGCGAUUUUUAAAAUUCUUUUCUGACUUAAGUUUGUUUGAGGACAAACAAAAAGGUAAGUCUGGGGGAGUUGAUAACACCGUAUUUUGACCACUUUUAUGGAUCAUAAUUGUAUCUUAUGCAGGUGUUUUAACUCUGUUUUCAAAGAUUUUAAAAGUGUUAUCAAUGUUUUAGAGUUUCAAAAGACUUUACAGGAUACUUGGGCAAAGAUAUGCAAUUUGGAACAAAUGAGCAAUUUUGGAUAAAUGCAGACCGUCAGAGGUAUGACAAGCAAUGAAGACCUUCUCACCGUUUCCUCACCCCCAAAAUUUGAGACAACAUAGAGGAUCCAACCAGCUUUCUAAUGCACUUGGUUUGGAGACAAUCCAACGAUUAGAUCUUCAGAUACUCCCGAUGCAAGAAUGACAGAAAAUGCAGUUCCGGAAGAGAGCAUGUGCCAGGACCGCGGCCAACACCCAUUUUCCCGCGGGUAGAGCCACCGCGACCGCGGACUUUGGUCGUUCACUUUCCCGAUGACUUAAUUAAAGCCCAGAUCAAUUCCUCUCGUUAUUUUUGAAGCCCUAAGUGUCCAGAACCACCCCAGAAGCUAUAAAUACCCCCUUUAGGUGACCGAAACUAAUAGACAAAGGAGAGAGAGAGAGAGAGUUUGUGUGGAACCCUAAAGAGGAGGCCGCCGUUUUAAGGAGGAGGAGCCGCCGCUAGAGAGCAUCAUCGUGCCUCCGUCGUCGCCUCCGUUCUUCGUUUUUCUUCCUUUUUUUUUUAAUUUCCUGCACUUUCAAUACUCUGUGAUGAUUGUUUACAAUAUGUUUGAGUAGUUACCCAGUUGGGUUUAAUGGGAUUUUUCAAAGGGAAUUUUAUGUGUCUUUGCUUAUGAAUCGAUAGAUUUAGGAUUAUUAAUCUUCUAGAUGUUCUUCGUUUGCCUUUAAUCUUACUGUGUGAUUCUUUGCUGGCCACUUAGAAGCCGAUCUGAUAUGAUAUGUUGUGAAAGCUUUCAUUGAUUUUCUGAACUAGGGUGAAACGAGCAAUUCUUCUACAGGAGUGGAAACCUACCUGUAGUUGAGUUGUGAAUGUUGAUGAGUCUUCUUCUGCUAUUGCAUCUGCUCCCUUCCAGGAUCAGAGUGGAAACCUACUGAUCAGGGUUGCGAGAGAUAAUUGUUUAGUGCUGCGAAAGUAGGCUAUUCAUACUUCCGUGCCUCGAGUUCUAGAACAUACGUAGUUGAUUACCUUUAUCACUUGUUUAAAAUCGACAUAGCCUAGUCCAUGAACCCUUGCGAAACCCCUUGAUGCCCAACGUUUGUCUUUCAUUGCUUACAACCUUCGAUUUUAUUUGUUUUUCAUUCGCUUAUUACCUGCUUUCAUUCGCCCUUGGUUUAAUCGCUUUGUACUUGUUUUAAUUGCUUUCGUUUUUCAAUUGCUUUUUACUUGCUUUCUAGUUUAGAUUUAGUGACAACCAAAACACAAAACCAAAACCCAACCUGUUUAGUUCUAAUCUGAUUUAAGCGUUGCAGUGAAUUCGUACUGAAACAACUAAGUCUCCGUGGAUCGAUACCCUAAGUACUACAGCGCACAUCUGUGCACUUGCAGACAUUUAGGGGUUAUAAAUUUAAAACCUGAAGUUUAGUAGAACGAAAAACAACAAACCCUGCUUUUGCUCGCAAUCAGCAAUGGAACCUUAAAUCCUUAUUUUGGGGUUUUGUCACCUUCAAAAUAGUUUUUGGGUUGGAGAUAGUCUAAGUUAUCUCUUUACAAAUUUACCAGGUCUGAAACGAUAAAACACAUAAUUUAUCUUUGAAUGUGAUAAAUUUGGAGGAAAUCUUAGAAGUAUAUAACCAAUUUCUCUCAAUUUUAUUGAUUAGCAAAUAGACUUAUUUAUACAAAAGAUAUAACUUGACUAAUAAGUUUUUAAAAUAUUUGAUAAUAGAAAUCUAUCUAUUUAGUUAAUAGAGAAUAUACACAAAUAUUAAAUUUUUUUGAAUUGGAUCGCUCCGAGAUCUCCUUAACAGAAUGAGUUCCCACUUAUAUGUUGUAUAUAUAUAAUUGGUAUGCAAAAGGUAAUAUGGUCUCUAUAAAAUUCAGUGAUGAUUGAAAAGAGGAAGACAUGGUCAAAAACACAGCCUGUUUUUUUGGUUGUUAAUAUGUGUCUCUUCCCUUUAUAAUUUUAUUUCUAUAGUGGAAGAACAUGCAUAUGUGUGACAUCUCAAGAAUUAGGUUUAGGGCCUAUUUUUUCGAUCAAAACCCUAAAACGUUAACCCUGAAACUUGUCACCGAAGAAACCUUAAACCUCAUCACUUUCUCUAUAAAAGGUGUGAGCUUGUGACAGUGGAGAAGAGAGAGAGUUUCUGCGGCGAAGCCCUGUCAAAAUCAUUUUCGAUCAGCCACCAUCAAACACCUCGAAGGAGAAGCAACUGCAGCCUCUGGAAGACAGAUCGAACCAGUCGUGGCGCAGAAGAGAAAUGAACAGUCAAACAAAAUUGGAUCAACCUAAAAAUUGGUGAGAAUGUUUCUGACCUUAUAUCUAUCUAUAGCCGAAAGCCGUUUAUUAUUUGGAGUUAUGGUUUGAAAGUUAUGGGUGUUUUUGCGAGUCAUAUCUGUGCAGAUCCGAUCCGCGAGCAGCCAACUUGUGAUGCGUUUUGCCGGCGAUCUAGGAAGUUCCAGAAGACGAUCUACAUACCGGAGUGAAGAUCUUCAACCCAGAUUUCUAGAUCAAUCUUCAGAUAUUCAUUCCGAGCUGUUACCAGAAAGUUAUGAUCAUUUACCUGUCGUAUAUCAAAUAUGUCCAAAGGUGAAUCGGGUUUGCUAUUCUUCAUCAAGUAGCAAAGGUGAGGACAAGUUUGUGGAUUUCUAAGAUAUAUUAGUUGAUUUAGUAAUGUGUGUAUACUUAGUGUAAGUAUUAUUCUAGGUUGAUUGUUGCUUGAGUUUGAUGCAUAUAUUAUGUAUACUCAUUAUUGUAUUUCAAAUAAUAUGUUAAAGAAUUUUGUGUGUUUCAAGAGCACAUCCUCACUGAAUAUUUUUCUCCGAAUACUUACCCCUCUUUUCUUUUUUCAGAUGAGACCAAGGAGUAGUACUUGUGGCGGUCGUUAUGAUGUUAUGUCUGGAAAACAUGGGCGCAUUUCUGUAAUUAUUUUGAAUAAGAAUUUUAAUUAUAUUUUCUUUAGUUUCCUUCAAAUAUUUAAGACUUUUCGAGUUCUAGAUUUAUAUAUUUUUAAUAAAAAAAAUUUUGAUACUAAAUAAAUAAUUAAUAGGUUUGUUAUUAUUUUUAAAAACUGUUAAAUAAAUGUAAUUUAAGUUAUGUUGUAUUUUCGAGAUUAGGGUGUUUCAAUAUGACUUGUGACUUGACUCUCCAUUUCUUACAUAUAACUAUGAAAUUCCGAGCUUUUGAUCCAUAAUCUUUCCAAACCAUGGACAAGACUUUGAUAAUUAAUACCCUUUUGGGAUGUAAAACUUCCUUUACAAGUGAAUUGAACUAGGACUGCAAGGAUAAACCUCUUUUAUGAGACAGUGCCAACGCCAGUAGACCUCUAACAAUUUGGUGCCUCUCUAAAUUUGAUAGUCUUGAAAAUGCUCAAAACAUCAAGGUUUUAGAUAUUGGCCUUAGAGCAUGUACAAACCCUUAAGAGAGGGGUUCACCAGAAUAUAAUAAUAUUUUUUUUUUGUUUUAAUUUUUUAUUUAUUUAAUUCAAAAAUUAUAAUUUUCGACCAAUCAAAAUGUUCCAUUUCGGGAUGAUACCGUCUCUUCAGGUUCGUCGGGAUGAUACUGUUUCUUCAAGAUUAAGCUCUUUUGUUUUAAAAACUGUGCAAUGAACCCUUCUUGAUCCCCUGAUGUACAUGCUCUUAGGUAGAUGAUUUCUGUAUCAGGAAGGGAUGCAAAACACUAAUCCAAUAUUCUUGGCUCGAUUUUAUAAUCUGUAAAGUAUUAAUCGACAUCUGGUCCCAAACCUAAAAGAAAAGAAAAGAGAAACAGAACCUCUAACAUAGAAUACAUAGAAACAACUAUAUAAGAUUAAUUUAUUUUGCAAGUGAAGAUCGGAUACAAGUUGAUAUAAAAGCUUGUGCUCCAUGUUUAAUCCAUUCAGUCUGGUUGAUUUAAAUUCUAAAAACUAAACUUAUACCUAAUCAUGUUUAGUGAAGCAUAGACUUGAAAAGUAAGGUAUUAAUCCAUAUAAUCCUGAAUAAAAUUGUGUCUUAUUGUGUGCUAUUUUGACAAUUGGAGAUUAAAUAGCAAAAGCACAAAAACCUCCUAUCUGAAGUUUAUCCUCAUCGUUGAUGGAACCAAAGAAUAAAAAGAAUUGACUUAGCUGAAAUAGAUAAUUAUGGCAAUUUAAAAUAUAUAUAUAUAUAUAUAUAUUCUGCGGUGUUAUCACGCAACAUUAAUAGAGUGAUAUUUCAAGGAAUGUGGUUCUUCUGUGCCUCUCUGGCUAUUGAGUGGUGGCUCACGCCAUUUGUUCUCUAUAUAUGGCCCGUCUUCUUAUAUGUCAACUAUAGGUCUCGACUGUUUCAAACAAUAAUUUAUAUAUUUGUAUUUGUAAGAAAAUCUUAAAGACUUCUUUCACAUUUUAAAAAGUAAUUAAUUUUUAAUCAUAAAACUCUUUUUUUGCAAGUAUACGCAAACGCUGCAGACGAAUGGAGAUUUUUAAUUUCUCUUUGCAUUUGGCUGUUAUAUAUCAAAUACACUUUACUAAAUAUAUAGGGAGAUUUAGAGGUUCAAACACAAUUUUAAUGGUGUCAAAAUGUAAAUUCUGUCAAUAUUAAACAAAAUUAGUUCAUUAAUUGUAGAUUGAGAAUAAUUAAUUUUUCUAGUUUAGAGAUGUCAUAUGACACAUUAUUGCUCUUUCCAGUUUCCAAACUUUUUUUAUUUGAAUUCUCUUUCUUACUAUUUAGCUACUCAUAUGUACAUCUUUCUUUUUUUUCAAAAUUUUGACGAAUUAAUUCUUAUAUUUCUAUUUGAAUUAUAUUUAUUCGUUCUAAUAUUGUAACAUCCCGAUUCCUGGUUCCAGAGGAAACCAGAAUAAACCGGGAUAUUAACUAACCUAAAUUAGACUAAUUCUAAAUAACUUGUUGUUCUUUAUUCAAAUCCAAAUCCAAAUCCAAGUCUUACAAUAGAAAUGAAAUAACUUAUUAAAUCCGAAAUAAAAGAGAAACAUUGUCUUAAAAAGAAAGGUGAAAUAGUUCUUAAAAACAAUAAAACUUCUUUCAUUUCUGAAGGCACACCACACUAGAAUUACUCGUCUAGUUCUUCCCAGACAUCAUCAUAAUCACACUCACAAUCACAAUCACCUGCACAUCGGAAUUUAGAUAGAGAGGGGUGAGUAAUUUGGGAGAAUUACUCAGUGAGAACCAAACCAGGCUCCCGCCUUAUUCAUUUAUUUCCACCAACAUAUUAAGAAUAAAUCUCAUGAAACCAAACAAGCACUCUACAAGUGCACAAACAAAUAACAAGCAGUGAUGUCUCCGAUCCCGCCUCUCAAUAGGCCAAACCACCUUGUCACUCGGACACAGGUCGACAUCUCACCCUGUCACACAGACAGACGCCCUGUCACACAGACAGAGACCCUGUCACACAGACAGUCCAAUCCCGGCAUGCCACAUGGACAGCCCCGUGGGUCAUCACUCCACCGGAUGAAUGGAUUAUUGCCACGGUCACACAGACGGCACAUAACUCAGCAAACAAGCCUGCAUUCAGCACAUCACUAUACCAGAAACAGACUAUGACCUUUAGGACUUCUACCAAUCACUAACCAAUCAACAGGGUUAUCAAUCCAUCAUGCUGGUUCUUCCUCUAAUGAGAUCCUAGAUCUUAUUAGUUAUAUACAUAUAUAUGGAUCUGCCUAGAUGCACAAGAAGACAGACCUGUCCCACCAGAUCUAGACUCAACACACCAGAAGAAGAUAAAGGGAUAAGAAGAAAGACCUAGAUCUAAUCCUCACCUUGGCCUAAAAGCAGAUCUAAGAUUAAGGAGAACUAGAAGAGGCAAAAGAAUCAAGCAACUUCUGAGAAGGUGGAGGCAGGCGAGUGCUCCUUCUUCUCUCGGCAAGCGGCGGCGGCGGCACCCUUCUCCGGCAGCGGCGGCUUCCCUCCUCGGCGGCGGCGGCGGCGUGCAGCUUCUCCUUCUCUCUCUCACUUUCUUUUCUUUGGGGGCUAGGGUAAUUAGAGGCAAAAUGAGGUUCAUUAACUCCUAAUUCCCUAUUUAUAUUAGGGUUUCUAGAGUGGGCCUGGAUUUGCUGGGCCUCCUCUAAUUGGGCUGGGUUUGGGAUGUUACAACUCUCCCCUACUUCCAUAGAAUUCGUCCCCGAAUUCUCUCCUACUCCUCCGGUUUCUCCUUUGUCCUUCCGGGAAUUCAUUCCGCAUUUCCUGCUAUACUUCCCAGGUUUCCUCGCGGAUUCCAUCCCUUUCCCAACACACCUUAACCGCUGGCUUCCUCUUGCCAUUCAGCUCCUUUUCCCCAAAUUCCAACACUGCCACAGGCUGAUAUGCUGCUGAGAAGUCCUUCCUUACAUCUGAUGGCGGCUGGGGCAAAAUGAGCUCUGGCUCUCUCACAACUUUCCUCAGAAGAGAAAUAUGAAACACAUCAUGGAACUCAGCUAAUUCUUUGGGCAACUCUAAGCGAUAAGCCACUUCUCCAAUCCUCUCCAGGAUAGGGUACGGUCCCAUGUACCUAAGCUUAAGCUUCUUCAUCAGCCGAUGCUUAUCAUUCCCUCUGAAGGUCCUCAACUUCAGAUACACCAAAUCACCAACUUCAAAAGACAACUCCUGCCUUCGCUGAUCUGCAUAGCUCAUCUGGCGAUCAUGAGAUUCUUUCAACCUUGUCUUAAGCAUUUCCACUUGCUUAGACGCCUCCUCAAGAAGUUCUGGCUCUAGCACUCUCAUUUCUUCUACUUCGGUCCAGCACAGAGGUGUGCGACAAGGCCGACCAUAUAGAGCCUCGUAUGGUGCCAUCCCAAUGCUACUAUGAUAACUGUUAUUAUAAGCAAAUUCUGCCAAAGGCAAAUGCUUCUCCCAACUUCCUUCCCAAUCUAAGACACACGCUCUCAGCAGAUCCUCCAGGGUCCUAAUCGUCCUCUCCGAUUGGCCAUCUGUCUGAGGGUAGUAGGCUGUGCUGAGAUGAACCUUUGUUCCCAAUGCUUUCUGGAAAGCCUGCCAGAAACUAGCUGUGAACUUUGGAUCCCGAUCCGACACUAUGCUCACUGGAACUCCAUGCAACCUCACGAUAACAUCAAUAUACUUCUGCGCCAACUGCUCCGCUCCAUCCGUCUUUUUAAUUGGCAAAAAGUGAGCUGACUUAGUAAGACGGUCUACGAUUACCCAAAUCGCAUUCUUCUUACUUAUUGUCCUGGGCAACCCUGUCACAAAAUCCAUAGUUACCAUAUCCCAUUUCCAUUCUGGUAAUGGUAAGUUCUGGAGGAGUCCACUUGGUGCCAUCUGCUCUGCUUUCACUUGCUGACAUGUAGCACACUGGGAUAUCCAAGCAGAAAUAUCACGCUUCAUACCAGACCAAUGGUAGUAGCGUUUCAGAUCUCGAUACAUCUUGGUGUUCCCUGGAUGAAUAGAGAACUUUGACUGAUGAGCCUGACUUAACACUUCCCUCUUUAGCUCAUCAUUCAUGGGAACACAGACCCGAUUUCUGUACAUGUAAGUCCCAUUGUCUGCUUUGUGGUACCCAACCACUUGCUUUUCAAAAAUCUCCUUAAGAGACAAAUCAUGCGCUUGCUCCUGACGAAUCCUCAUCAGCAGGUCAGCAUUAUCCAAUGCUUCCAAUCCUGAGGCAUCAUCCUCUACUUCAGCGACACUCAAACUCAAAUUCGCCAGAGUCGCUAUCAGCUCCUGCGUUUCUUUAGCCUCAGAAACCGCAUUUCUCCUUCUACUCAAGGCAUCUGCCACCUGGUUGGCUUUUCCCGGAUGAGAGGAAAUUUCCAAAUCAUAAUCAGCCAAUAAUUCUAUCCACCUCCUCUGCCUCAGGUUCAAAUCAUCCUGAGUGAACACAUGCUUCAAACUUUGAUGAUCAGUAUAUAUGUGCACCUUCUCCCCAUACAGGUAAGCACGCCAAAUCUUCAGAGCAAAGACUACUGCUGCUAAUUCCAAAUCAUGAGUCGGAUAAUUCACUUCAUGCUUCCGAAGCUGUUUAGAUGCAUAGGCUACGACCUUCUUCUCCUGCAUCAGCACACAUCCUAACCCGGAUCCAGAGGCAUCGGUGUAUACAUCAUAUGGUAUUCCUGACCUUGGAAGUACCAAUAUUGGGGUCUCUGUGAGUUUCUGCUUCAACUCCUCAAAACUCUGAGAUCUCUUAUCCGUCCACUCAAACUUAACAUUCUUCUCCGUCAAGCUGGUGAGAGGUUUGGCAAUACGGGAGAAAUUAGGCACAAACUUGCGAUAAUACCCAGCCAGACCCAAAAAGCUACGAACCUCAGUAACACUUUUAGGUACAGGCCACUCUGUCACUGCAGUGAUCUUCUCAGGAUCCACUGCUACUCCCUCUUCGGAGACAAUAUGCCCAAGGAAUCCCAUCUUCCUCUGCCAAAAGCUACACUUGCUUAGCUUCGCAAAAAGCUGCUAAUCCCUUAACUUCUGCAGAAUCAUUCCCAAAUGCCAUUCAUGCUCCCUCUCCGACCUUGAAUAGACCAGGAUAUCAUCAAUAAAGACAAUCACACACUUAUCCAAGUGCUCCCGAAAAAUAUCAUUCAUCAACUUCAUGAAAACUGCAGACGCAUUAGUCAAUCCAAACGGCAUUACCACAAACUCAUAAUGACCAUAUCGAGUUCGGAAUGCUGUCUUACUAAUGUCCUCAUCUGCUAUUCGAAUCUGGUGAUAGCCUGACGCCAAAUCAAUCUUAGAGAACCAUGAAGCUCCUUCUAACUGGCCCAACAACUCAUCAAUCCUUGGCAAGGGAUACUUAUUCUUGAUGGUCACCUUAUUCAGCCCUCUAUAAUCAAUGCAAAGUCGAAAGAUUCCAUCUUUCUUCUUUACAAAUAGCACGGGCACUCCCCAUGGCGAGCUGCUUGGCCGAAUAAAUCCUUUAUCCGUCAAGUCCUCCAACUGCUUCUUUAGCUCAGCCAUCUCUGCUGGUGCCAAUCGAUAUGGAACCUUCACAACAGGGACUGUUCCAGGUUCUAAUUCGAUAGUGAAGUCAACUCCUCUUCUUGGCGGAGGUCCAGUCAAUGGUUGGAAUACGUCCGCAUAUUCAUUUACCACUGGUAUCUCCUCAAGGCUCUUAGGUGCUCCUUCUCCUACCAUAGAGACUGUCGCCAAGAAGGCUUCACAUCCUUCCUCUAUAAGAUUCUCGGCAUGAAUCAUCGAAAUAACUGGCACUCCUGUGUCGGUCUUUACUCCUUGAAAGACAACCCGACCUCCUCGAUGCGGAAUAUAGGCCCUCGACUUCCGGCAAUUCAGGACAACUUCAUAAUGCUUCAGCCAGUCCAUUCCAAGGAUGACAUCAUAGUGGCCCAACUUCAUUUCCACUAGAGCCCAAGGAAAAUCUGCUCCUUCCAACAAGAUAGGCACCUCUUCAUGGAUUCCAAUGGUCUCCACCUGCUCACUUCCAGCAGUUUCCACUGCUUUCAACCUGGGGGUGAACUUUCCGGAGAAGGUCUAACACUGGGUCAACCUCGGGCUCACAAAACUAUGUGUGGCACCGGUGUCGAACAGUGUAUAUGCAAUCGCGCCCCCUACUGAGACCGAUCCUACAUGAUUACUUAUAUCUAGUCAUGCAUUUCCAUUCUACAUUCCUAUUCACAAGCAAAAAUAUAGAAUCUCACAAAACAUUACUAACCAGCGAUCGGUGCUGCUCCUUCGGGAUCUCCGAUGGCAAAAACACGGGGUUCCACAGCUUGCCUCUUAGCUGGUGGUCCUGGCAAUGCUCCCACUCCUUGCUGAGGAUUCGCAUUCCCCGGACAAUCCCUCCUCUGAUGGCCACUCUUCCCACAACGGUCCCCACGACUGCGCAAUCCCUCUCAUGGUGGCCAACACUACCACAGCCAAAACAUUUGGGAGCGCCACACCUUCCUAGGUGCCUCCUUCCACACCUCUGGCACAUAGGCAGUUCCACCCCUGGAGCUGCCAUAGUGUCCCAAGUCCUUUUCGGCCCUUCCUGAGCACGGUUUGGACGAGACGAGUCCUGCCUGACUCUCCUUAGCUCCUCAAGCGAGGUCUCUUGGAUGGCAGCGGUCUCCACAAGCUCCACCAAGGUGUCAUAUCUCCUAAGAGAACACCUGCUCCUCAGCUCCAACUUCAAGCCCUUCAUGAACUGACGAACCAAAUCUGCCUGCGUGAACUGCUUCCUGGAGAACCUCCUCAACCGGUUAAACUCCUCCUUGUACUCCCUUACAGUACGGUGCGCCUGACGCAGGUCCUCAAAGGCACUCUCCAUCUGAUCCAAAGCUUCAGGUGGGAAAUACUCCUUAGCAAAAGCUUCCUGGAAUUCCCGGUAGGUCAACUCAUAACGACCUUGAGUCGCUUCGACCACACCAUCCCACCAUAUCAGCGCCUCUUCCUUCAGGUACUGAACAGCUAGAUCCUUCCGGUAUCCCUCCGGACAUCUCAUGGCUUCAAAAUUCCUCUCCAACCUCUUCCUCCAGUUAUCCGCAGACACUGGGUCAAACCUCCCGCCAAAGGCUUCCAUUCCCAUAUCCUUCAAAUGUUUCAUGGCCUGAUAAAAGGUCAGUCUAAACACAUUGACAGGCGCAGGAGGCAGUGGAGGCACAUACUGCUGCUGAACAUACACUGGCGGCACUACCACAGGCGGCGGCUCAAACACUGGCGGCUGCACAUUCUGCUGCUCCUGAUGCUGCGGCUGCUGCUGCUCCUGCUGAGCAUUCACUCCCACUCCAGGGUUCAAGUGGCCAUACAUCUCCCGAUAACGGCGCAACUCCUCCAGGACUGCAGCAUGAGCUGCUUCUGCUGCUGGAGGCACUUGAACAGGCACACCUCCCGCAAGGUUCUCUCCCUGCUGAUCCACUGGAGCUGGGGACACUGGGGCAACACUUCCAGAUGUGCCCGAGGCCUCAUCAGCACCACCUGAACGACGAGCUUGGGAUCUGGUGCGCACAUUCUUUGCCCUCGGAGGCAUCUGACAAGACAUGGAGACAGAUAAGUUAGCCUGGUCCCGUAAAGACUAACUUCCUACAAAAGAAAGAACAACAAAACUAGAGAGGCUAGUCUAGGUGGUGGUUUUCUUUCUUUGAAAACAUUUGAAAAAUCUUUGAACUUUGAAAACUUGAAAACUUUUUUUUUUUUUUUUUUUGAAAUCCGAAUCCCAUUCCCACUAUUCUAGACUUAGCUCUCUUAACACCUAACUCGAACCAUGCUCUGAUACCAAAUUGUAACACCCCGAUCCUGGUUCCAGAGGAAACCAGAAUAAACUGGGAUAUUAACUAACCUAAACUAAACCAAUUUCAAAUAACUUGUUGUUCUUUAUUCAAAUCCAAACCUAAAUCCAAGUCUUACAAUAGAAAUGAAAUAACUUAUUAAAUCUGAAAUAAAAGAGAAACAUUGUCUUAAAAAGAAAGGUGAAAUAGUUCUUAAAAACAAUAAAACUUCCUCCAUUUCUGAAGGCACACCACACUAGAAUUACUCGUCUAGUUCUUCCCAGACAUCAUCACAAUCACACUCACAAUCACAAUCACCUGCACAUCGGAAUUUAGAGAGAGAGAGGGGUGAGUAAUUUGGGAGAAUUACUCAGUGAGAACCAAACCAGGCUCCCGCCUUAUUCAUUUAUUUCCACCAACAUAUUAAGAAUAAAUCUAAUGAAACCAUACAAGCACUCUACAAGUGCACAUACAACUAACAAGCAGUGAUGUCUCCGAUCCCACCUCUCAAUAGGCCAAACCACCUUGUCACUCGGACACAGGUCGACAUUUCACCCUGUCACACAGACAGACGCCCUGUCACACAGACAGAGACCCUGUCACACAGAUAGUCCAAUCCCGGCAUGUCACAUGGACAGCCCCGUGGGUCAUCACUCCACCGGAUGAAUGGAUUAUUGCCACGGUCACACAGACGGCACAUAACCCAGCAAACAAGCCUGCAUUCGGCACAUCACUAUACCAGAAACAGACUAUGACCUUUAGGACUUUUACCAAUCACUAACCAAUCAACAGGGUUAUCAAUCAAUCAUGCUGGUUCUUCCUCUAAUGAGAUCCUAGAUCUUAUUAGUUAUAUACAUAUAUGGAUCUGCCUAGAUGCACAAGAAGACAGAUCUGUCCCACCAGAUCUAGACCAGAUCUAGACUCAACACACCAGAAGAAGAUAAAGGGAUAAGAAGAAAGACCUAGAUCUAAUCCUCACAUUGGCCUAAAAGCAGAUCUGAGAUUAAGGAGAACUAGAAGAGGCAAAAGAAUCAAGCAACUUCUGAAAAGGUAGAGGCAGGCGAGUGCUCCUUCUUCUCUCGGCAAGCGGCGACGGCGGCACCCUUCUCCGGCGGCGGCGGCUUCCCUCCUCGGCGGCGGCGGCGUGCAGCUUCUCCUUCUCUCUCUCACUUUCUUUUCUUUGGGGGUAAGGGUAAUUAGAGGCAAAAUGAGGCACAUUAACUCCUAAUUCCCUAUUUAUAUUAGGGUUUCUGGAGUGGGCCUGGAUUUGCUGGGCCUCCUCUAUUUGAGAUGGGUUUGGGAUGUUACAAAUAUAUUAGUUUUUCUUUUUCAUUUUUUUAAUUGACAUCAAGAGUUUGGUUUUCCCAUCUUUGGAAAAACUAUUUUACACAUAUAUCGACUGAAUCAAAUAUAUCUUGAUCAUGUUAAGUACUAAGUUUGAGAUAUCAAACUUUAUAUAAUAAGAUAUAAACAAUACCAAAAGAAAAAGACUAACCUGAUGUAAUUAAUAUCAAAACACAUAAUCAAGUAUAACACUAAACAAAAUAAAAUAAAAGUACAUCAGAAUAAAAUGAAGACAAACAUAUCCUCGAAGGGUCUUUGAAAUCGAACUCUCUUUGACGUUUGCUGCUACACUCUUGCAUACUUCGCAUACUAUGUAAUUAAGAUUUUCUUUUUAAUUGACACCAAAAAUUUGGUUUUCCCAUCUUUAUUAUUUUAUCUGAUUGGCAAACAAUAUUUUACACAUAUAUCGACUGAAUCAAAUAUAUCUUGAUCAUGUUAAGUACUAAGUUUGAGAUAUCAAACUUUAUAUAAUAAGAUAUAAACAAUACCAAAGAAAAAAAAACUAACCUGAUGUAAUUAAUACCAAAAUGCAUAAUUAAGUAUAAAACUAAACGAAAUAAAAUAAAAGUACAGCAGAAUAAAAUGAAAACAAACAUAUACUCGAAGGAUCUUGAUUUGAAGUUGAACUUUUCUUUUACGUUUUCUGCUACACUCUUGCAUACUUCGCAUAUUAUGUAGUUAAGAAAGAAAAAAUCCACAGUUAGUUUAUUUUUAAACAAUAUAUAUAUAUAUAUAAUAUUAACGUUUUGGAAAAAAAAUAUUUAACUCACAAUAUACUUAGUCUGUUUGACCACAAAUAAUUUAUUUACACAUUUUAGUAAGUAAGGAUUAAUUACAUUUUGCAUAAACAUUCAAGAUUGAUUAAGUUUUCAUCGUCUAACUAUAUCAUAUAUCGUAGUGGAUUUUGAAUAUCCACUACGGUUUCUUCAGAAAUAAUAGAAUUAAUUAUUUUUUUUGAAAAAAAAUCUAUUUUAUUUUUGUAUUUUUGUGUUAUUAAACAUGUAAAAAAAACAGAGUUAUCAACCAUACAUGUGUUGAAAUACUUUAAAAAAAAAAACGUUGCUUCUUAUAAUAUUCCAAUUAUAAUUGGGUAGGAUGGGCUUAAGAACCUUGAAACCUUAACCGGGAAAAUCGAAGUGAACCAAUUUGAUUUGGUUAUAACUUAACCUAAAAAUCCCUUUGGUCAUUAUUUUUAUUAAAUUUUGAACUUCUGAUUUCUAAUUCUAAUUUUUCUUACCUUUUUUGCUUAUAAUUCACUCAUGUUUUGCUUACAAUUUACUUUUGUUUUGCUUAAUUUUUCAAAAUUAAUUUUGAAGUAUUUUAAAAUAACUAUUAUCUGCUGAAUUUCAAAACAAAAUUAUUUAUCCUGAAUAGCUUUUUUCUGUCAACAGCUGGAUAAUAACUCAAACAGCUCAGAAAAUCCAAACCGGAUGUAUAUAAAAUUUCCACAUAGUGGCAGAGCUAAAAACUUUUGCGAAAUAAUAUAUUAAAUAAAUAUAAUCAACAAGAGUAAUAAAAAAAUUAUAUGUUAACUAAAUAUAAUCGACGAAUUUAAUUAAAAUCAUUUAUGUUUCAUUUCAUAUACAAUAUAUAUAUAUAUAUAUAUAUUUUGCAUAUACAUAAAUAUAAAUAAAUAUAUAUAUAUAAAUAUAUAUAUAUAUGAAUUCAUACAUUAAAAUUUGUAAUCUAUGAAAAAUCUAAAAUAAAAACUCAACUUCAAAUAGAUCUUGAUAUAUGUGAUAGUGUUGGUUUGUUGUUGUUAAAGAUUUCAAAGAAAAAAUCUUGUAUAUAUGUGUUUCGUGAAAAAUUAUAACCUAAUUACAGUAGAUUGUUAAACAAUUUUUUUGACAAAAUAGUAGAUUGUUUACUUAAUCAUGUGAAAUAUGAAUAAGUACAUUAACUUCUUUAUAGUUACCUCUUAAUUAUUGACAAGAGUCCAAGUAAAUUAACUUCUUUAUAGUUUUUAUGAGUUUUGAUUGGUUUUGCAUAGGGGUAAAAACUUAUUUAAAAUUGGGGUCAAUAUACAUAAUUAUUCAUAAAUAACAUAUAAUGAAUUUCGUAAAAAUUUUAGGUCAAUUGAUCCCCUAUCAUCUAUCUACCUCGGCCCCUGUUUGGAUAAUGCGUUGACGUUUGUGUUAAACGUUUUUGCAAUUUAUUUAGUCUUUUUGUUUCAUUUGAGUGUUUGCCAAUGCGUUUGGUUUAAAAGUUUUUGGUUACGUUAGUGUUCUCGGCGAACAUUUCCAUUUUGCAUUUUAACAUUUAGUAGAUUUAUUAUGUAUAUUUUACAAUUUUUAGAGGCAACUAGGUUAUUUACCACGCCUGGCAUGCAUGAGACAGACCAUCGUUGUAUUGUUGCUCUUCCGUUUAAUUACUUAGAUUUAUCUUCAUGAUGCGUUAUUACAAACCCAACAUAACCUUUAGUCUUGGUUAAUAUUUACUUUCAUAAAUCCUCUGUAUCACUAUUGGUUCUUGUGUAUUUGAUCCUAUAUAUUUUACCAAAUUACCAUAAACUUCACCUUACAUUUUGUAGAUUUAUCGAGUUAAAGUUCGAGAUAUAUAGUUUUUGACAAAGUUGUCGAGAAUGAAUUUGUCAUCCAAAGAUCAAGGAUUCAAGUUUAACCUGUAAUAUUCUUUUAUUUGCUACUAGUUAUCAGAGGCCACAAUCAGCUCCCCUCAUUCUGGAGUAGUACGGAUACAAAUAUGGGUGAAAUCGUUAGUAGAAAGCUCAAUCAGGAUAUGAGGAUAAUGAGUGAAUGGCAGCUUCCGUAAGCCAGUACUUGACCAAAGCAAAACACUUAUUCUUAGAAACAAGAUACAGUAAAAACUCUAUAAAUUAAUAAUGUUAGAACUUUGAUAUUUUAUUAAUUUAUAAAGUUAUUAAUUUAUAAUUUUAAAUAAUAAAUAUUUUUUAUUUUUUAUUAAUUUUUAAAAAGAUAUUUUUUAAAAGAUUCUAAUUUAUAAAAUAUUUUUUUCUAAAAUGAAAGAUGAGUUAUAAGAAAACUUUAAUUUAAAAUAAAUAAAAAAACAUCAGUAAACUCAUAUUUUAGUAGAUUAUCUCACUUAUAUGUUUAUAUUAGAUUUUAUUUAUGAUAAAUAUUAAUUUAUAAUACUAUUAGGACCAUAUAUUUAUAUAUGAAUUUUGUUAGAUAUAUUAUCUUAUCGAAUUAUGUAAUAUUUUAAACCAGUUUAACUUGGAAUUAUGAAAAAAUAUUAAUUUAUAAUGUUUAUUAAUUUAUCGAGUAUAAAUUUAUAGAGUUUCUAUUAUAUAUGAGUUGGUGUAGCAGUUGUUUUUUAGCUUGGAAACAAUUCACGGAAUAUACAUUAGAGAUCACUCUCAUCACAGCUUCACUAAAAUUGCGUUACUGUCUUACUGAACAUCUAUUACCGAGGAGAGAUUUUGGAUGGCUCUAGACAUAGCCAGUAAUGGCGAAUGCAUGACCAACUCUACAAAAGAAAUUCAACUUCUUGUGGAGAAUCUAACAAGUAUCUAGCAACAAAAACCAAUGUCCAAACUAGUAUAGGUCCAACACAAGAUGUAGCACCAUAAGCACACAAGAUUGAUGAGACAAAUGCCAAGAUUGAUUAGCUUUAAAGAGAGAUUAAAGGUCAGUUACUACAAUGAGGACUAUAGAGGAGCUCAAGGAGAUCAGUGUUAACAAAAGUGUAAUGGAAAUUGUUAUGAAGUGUAACAAGUAGGAUCAGUGGAGAUCAGGUGAACUAAUUAAUUAAUAGAGAUGAACUUCAUUGGGGAUCAACAAACCUAAACAUACUUUUCGACGUUCUAUAAAAACUCAAACUGAUGAUCAAUGGUCAUAUAAAAAAUAUUACAUAUGAACGAAAUAAAUAUCAGAUAAGAGGUAGAGUUGGCAAUCUUUGCAAUGGAUCCAGAAAUAGCUACAUGACUUUGUGGGAUGAUUGUUGGAUUUUAACAAAGGUUUUAAUGUGGAAAAGAUCUCUAGAGGUCAGUCUGUAAGGUAUUCAAUUGUAUUAGUUACUCUUUCUUAGAACAUAAUCAAUAUGGGUGGCAUGAUACCAUCUAAAUAUCAUCAACGACAAUAGUUUAUAGGGAAUCAAACAAAAGAAGAAUCUAACCUGGAUGAACAAUCACUAAAACUUGGAGGAAAUGCAGCUUAAUGAAUACAAUUUUUGCAUGGGAAUGGAGUCAACUACAAAUUAUAAACAGAUUACAUUUAGAUCUUUGAUAAGCUACAUGGGAUCUUGAGGUCCUCUUCAAACCGAAAUCCUCUCUCAACCAUUUUUUCUAAUUCCAUCUAGUGUCAUGACAGUUGACUUCUUCUAUCUUUGUCAAUAGUGUUUUUUGUUUCUUAUAAAAUACGGAAAAACUACUUACGAUGAAGGAUUGGCAAAGUAGACCACUAUCACGUUUGCUCAGGCCAAAUCUACAACUAAAUCAUAGAAACCAUACCGUAGGUGAGAUGACACAAGAUCGUCUGGUUCAGAAGAAGGAUUUUGAAAAAACACUUACAUGGAUGUUCCUCCAAAUCAGUGUCCUAUUCAAGAUCGACUUAUCUCUUGGGACAUCCAAAUCGAUCCUCCUUGCCUGCUUUGCAAUCGGAAUCCAGGAAGCGGAGAUCACUAUAUUUUGCAUGUGACUUCUCUUGAGCGGUCUGAAUUGAGCUCUCCAUGAAAUUACGGUUUUCAGUGAUUUGGAAUACUCUUCUAGACAUUUCAUCUCCCUCCAAGGCAACAAUCACAUCAAAUAUAUUACUCUUUCUUGAUUGACAAGCAACCAAUCAUCUUCGAACACUUAACACAUAUGUCUCGUCAAACUAUGUUAUAAAUAACGAAAAAGUCAUCAAAAAGGUUAAACAGCCCUUUUUGAUCCUAUAAUCCUCGAGCUGCCAGCAAAACCAUACAAUUAUGGAUUUAUGGUUCUUUCUGCUCUGGAUUUUCAGUUGUUGCUUUGGUUCUAACGUUCAUUCAUGUCACCUCUAUUUCCAUAUAGAUCACUAUCAUAAUGGGCUUCUCCUUUUCUUUUGGUUUGUAUUAGUUCUUUGUGGACAUCAUUUCUACUUAUUCAGAUGGACUCUAAUGAUCUUUAAAAAAAAAAUUAUUUGAAUUAUUAAAAAAGGCUGGAAAAUGAUAAUUUUCAACAUUUUUAAUCAAAAUCUUUAGCGCCAAUCAAAGUUUUUAUUCUCAUGUAUAAAGUUUUUUGUUCACAAGUUUAGCCGGGUCCUACUCCUGUCCUAACUCUUUACUCUUUAGUUUCCGCGUAGAUUCGAGAUUGUGACAUGUUUCUUUUGUGUAUCACGGAAUCAAAACGGAGCGUUCCGGUUGCUUUCUUCUUUCGGAGUAAUUGUAUUUGCUCAACUGUUUCCAACUUUAUAUUCAGACAAAACCUACUUGAAGCCAAAUCUUCUAUAAAUUUAUAAGCAUGAUUGGUUAUUUAUGCGUAAAUUUGGAUAUAGAGCUUUGUGAAAGUAAAAUAAGGAAACUAAUAAUGAACAAAAGAUAGUAUUUAAAAAGAAUUGUAUAACCUAAGCUCUUCUCAUAGAUCAAAUACAAAUGUCUAAAGAAAACAAUGCUACGAAACUAACAAAUCCAAAUGAAAGAAAAAAUUCAAAAAAAGAAAAAGAAAAUGAAAUAGAAAAAUACAAAUGAUAAAAGGUAAAAUUUCUUCUAUACAACAAACAACUCUUUUUUUAUCCUCCGUUUAUUUAUUUUUCACCAAAUAAAUUUUCUAAAGAAUCUCGAAUUGCGCGUAUGCUUUGUAAGAAUUGACAAACCGACAUCGUAUCGCGUUUUAGGGUUCGUGCCACGUCAUCGUUUCGGUGACAAGUUUUCUCAAAAGAAUCAAUAGAACGGCGGUGGUGGAGGAGAAGCAUAUGAUACUCCGAUGACCGGCGGCAAUGGUCCCUCAUAUUCAGGGGACGGUGGUGGUGGGCUGUGGUGUAUCACCGCAGGUGGUGGCGGAGAACUAUGAUGGACUGGAGGUGGCGGCGGUGAGCUGUAAUGGACUUGCGGUGGUGGCGGCGGUGAGCUGUAAUGGACUUGCGGUGGUGGCGGCAAUGAGCUGUAAUGAACCGGCGGUGGAGGGGGUGAAUUGUAAUAGACUUGUGGUGGCGGUGGAGAGUUGUAAUGGAGUGGUGGAGGCGGUGAGCUAUAANNNNNNNNNNNNNNNNNNNNNNNNNNNNNNNNNNNNNNNNNNNNNNNNNNNNNNNNNNNNNNNNNNNNNNNNNNNNNNNNNNNNNNNNNNNNNNNNNNNNNNNNNNNNNNNNNNNNNNNNNNNNNNNNNNNNNNNNNNNNNNNNNNNNNNNNNNNNNNNNNNNNNNNNNNNNNNNNNNNNNNNNNNNNNNNNNNNNNNNNNNNNNNNNNNNNNNNNNNNNNNNNNNNNNNNNNNNNNNNNNNNNNNNNNNNNNNNNNNNNNNNNNNNNNNNNNNNNNNNNNNNNNNNNNNNNNNNNNNNNNNNNNNNNNNNNNNNNNNNNNNNNNNNNNNNNNNNNNNNNNNNNNNNNNNNNNNNNNNNNNNNNNNNNNNNNNNNNNNNNNNNNNNNNNNNNNNNNNNNNNNNNNNNNNNNNNNNNNNNNNNNNNNNNNNNNNNNNNNNNNNNNNNNNNNNNNNNNNNNNNNNNNNNNNNNNNNNNNNNNNNNNNNNNNNNNNNNNNNNNNNNNNNNNNNNNNNNNNNNNNNNNNNNNNNNNNNNNNNNNNNNNNNNNNNNNNNNNNNNNNNNNNNNNNNNNNNNNNNNNNNNNNNNNNNNNNNNNNNNNNNNNNNNNNNNNNNNNNNNNNNNNNNNNNNNNNNNNNNNNNNNNNNNNNNNNNNNNNNNNNNNNNNNNNNNNNNNNNNNNNNNNNNNNNNNNNNNNNNNNNNNNNNNNNNNNNNNNNNNNNNNNNNNNNNNNNNNNNNNNNNNNNNNNNNNNNNNNNNNNNNNNNNNNNNNNNNNNNNNNNNNNNNNNNNNNNNNNNNNNNNNNNNNNNNNNNNNNNNNNNNNNNNNNNNNNNNNNNNNNNNNNNNNNNNNNNNNNNNNNNNNNNNNNNNNNNNNNNNNNNNNNNNNNNNNNNNNNNNNNNNNNNNNNNNNNNNNNNNNNNNNNNNNNNNNNNNNNNNNNNNNNNNNNNNNNNNNNNNNNNNNNNNNNNNNNNNNNNNNNNNNNNNNNNNNNNNNNNNNNNNNNNNNNNNNNNNNNNNNNNNNNNNNNNNNNNNNNNNNNNNNNNNNNNNNNNNNNNNNNNNNNNNNNNNNNNNNNNNNNNNNNNNNNNNNNNNNNNNNNNNNNNNNNNNNNNNNNNNNNNNNNNNNNNNNNNNNNNNNNNNNNNNNNNNNNNNNNNNNNNNNNNNNNNNNNNNNNNNNNNNNNNNNNNNNNNNNNNNNNNNNNNNNNNNNNNNNNNNNNNNNNNNNNNNNNNNNNNNNNNNNNNNNNNNNNNNNNNNNNNNNNNNNNNNNNNNNNNNNNNNNNNNNNNNNNNNNNNNNNNNNNNNNNNNNNNNNNNNNNNNNNNNNNNNNNNNNNNNNNNNNNNNNNNNNNNNNNNNNNNNNNNNNNNNNNNNNNNNNNNNNNNNNNNNNNNNNNNNNNNNNNNNNNNNNNNNNNNNNUUGGUGCUGCGAAACAGGUGGUAACGGAGUUACAACCGGAGGACGAGACGGAACAGACCGGCCACAACUAAACGAUCCACAAUUUACCGGCGGCUGAGACAAGAACGCUUUACAUUGCCCUGGAGACCUCUGAGCAGGUCUUCCCGGCAAACAAUUUCUCCGAUCGUCAAACUCUGGCAAUCUAAGACACACAGGCGCUUCUCCGGUGAAGAAAUUGUAACUAAAAGUGAAGUUCUCAAGUUUGGGUAACUGGCAAAUACUAGCCGGAAUCUUCCCGGAUAAUUUAUUAUGCGCCACAUCAAGCUGCUCCACCGAAACCAUCUCUCCUACACUCUCCGGCAACGGCCCCACAAGCUCAUUAAAGCUGACGUCAAACACCGUCACGUUUUUCAACCGUCCGAUAUCCGCCGG